GAAGUGAUGUGACUUUAUGCGGACGCUUCUAUCGUGAGUGGUGAAGACCUCGUUCCCCACAGUCGGGUCUCCAAUGUCACUUGAUGCAAACUCCAGAUAUGGGUGUCCCUCGAUCGUCCGGGCACUGAGGUAGUUGCCAUUAUCGCCCUUGAAGGCGACAUGUUUUGGCAAUAUCAAUAGUGAUUCCCAAUCAAUGAUUGUACAGACAUCGCAGAGGUCCUUGUUAGGCGAGGCUGAUCCUGCAAACAAACAAGAACCAUAAGGAGGUGGAAGUCUCCAUAAGCAGGCAUAGUGUCCGAGCUGGACGUGGCGAAAUCGGAGUGUUUGAGCAUUGCCAUCUACGUGCACAGGUUCGAACAAGGUACAUGACCAUGAAGAUUGGUCUUCAUCUGGUUCGUCGGCCCCGGCAACAAUCCACCAGUGGUUCUUGGACCACCUUACCCAGUAUUUGUUGUUGUAACAGCAUCUUAUGUGCACGAGUCCCUUGCCAUUCUUUGCCCUCUCCACUUGGUACUUUGAGUAGGGGGUCACAACCUCCUCUCCAGAGAAUUGGAGAAAUCCAUGAAUCUGCACAUCUUCAUGGAUGUACCGCAAGUACUUGUCGUUAUAUUUUGAUUUCAGCACCACAUACCUUGGUAAUGCCAUUUCCUCUCUAAUCACUUCUAUUACUUCUCACUGCAAUUUUCUUCCACUAACUCUACCUUAUUUAUAAGGGAAACAAACUAUAUUUAAAUGUAAAACCAUGUUUCAAUGGAGCAAGGAAUUUAAAUGAUGUUCAAUGUGGAGCGCUCUAAAAGCAAGAGGCCCAUCAUUUGGUAGGUAGCUUGUAUUAAAAUACUGGUUAAGUGGUCUGCACUUUUCAUCACUAAGCAUGAAUCAAUGAAUACCAGUUUAAUGCCUUGGAAGCCUGCUUAAGAUCACCAUUACAGGCAAUCAUUUACUCUAAUGGAGUAACUUUUUGGACACCCAAACAUUCUCAUAUCUAGUUCUUGGUAUGAUUAGUUCUUGAAAGGGUCAUUAGGCUAAUACUGAUGUAAAUGCAAGUGGACAGGGCAGUAGGAUGUCAACAUAUAUCUAUAUCUAUAUAUAUAAAUUUUAUGUUUUUGUUUCAAUUCACAAUGACACAAUCACCAGUCAUGUAACAGUCAUCUAUUCUCAACAAUCUACAACUCAUAUAUUGAUUCCUAUAUUUUAUUUUUUUCAGUUGAUUUUAGUUUUUCUCUCAACCAUAAUUGCCAUAACAAGAUGGUAUUGAUUUUUUAGAUCUUAUGACAAAUUUGUAGAUAAAAUAUAUGAUCCAACUUUACUCCAAAUUGAAUUAGCCAAAACGUAAAACCAUAACUCACAUUAUAGACUAAGAUUCGCAUUCACAUCCCAUUCUCAUUGGGUGGAUACUAAUGAAUCCAACACACUAUUCCAUUCUAUACGUCUCAAUAUAAUUUCUCUCUAUAUGUCUUAAUACAUUUACUAAAUAUCAGUAAUUAUUGUGGGGUUGGGAAAAGAUGAACUUCUUUGUACUAAACUAAAAUUGAUUUUUCAAAAUUUUAAAUUUUAUUGGAUCUAGCUAAGAAAAAACUAAAAAUUUCAAUCUAAUAUGUGAAUUGUAAAUAUUUUAGAUUGUUGAAAACUUAAUUGAUUAGGAUAUAUGCAUAGAGGAUUUUUAAAUUUGUGUGUCAAUCCACCAUGACACUUUCAUCAAUCAUAAAUAGUCGUCAAUUCAUGAUAAUCUGUAACUUUUAUACAUUGACUACCAUAUUUUAAUUUUUAUAUUUUGCUUUCUAUUGUUUUUAUUUAUUUUUCCUUGAGUAUAAUAUUUAUAUAAUUAUAAUAUUGAUUAUUUAGAUUUUAUAAUGAAUAUGAAGAUAAAUUACAUAAUCUAGUUUGAGUCCUAAUACAGCCAACCAAAAACUAAAUUUAAAUGUAAAACCCUCCUUCCUAUUGUAGACCUGCAAUCGCAUUCCCAUUUGCAUUUCCAUUGCCAUUUGGUGGAGAACAAUAAUAUAUAUUAGUAUCUCAAAAAUACGAUUUAGAUUCAUUUUUCCCCCUUUGCUUUUUGUUCAAUUAUUAUAACUUCACUUUGGGUGGAAGAAAAACAAAACAAGACAAUGAACAUCAAAGUACUUGUCCAAUGGAUGAGCAAAUACAAUCUUUUUUAAAACAUAGUUCUUAGAAUGCAGUAGUUGAGAAAUGAUUUUCAAAUUUACAGGAGUUUGUAAGGUGCAAAUUAAAAAUUGAUUUUUGAAGAUACGAUUUAUAUCGAAAUUUUAAGCUAUCUUUGGGAAAAUGAUUUCAAAUUUUGGAAUUUAUAAUCAAACUUUCCCUUCAAAAGUCACUCCUUAGAAUAUGGUUAUGCUGAAGUCAUUUCUUCUAGAAAUUGAAUUUUCGAUUUCACAUCUUCCAAACAUGGUUUUUCAAUUACUAUGUAUGUUAAAUUACUUUUACAACUAUUACCUUUUAUAAAUACUAGUAAAGAAACUACUAAAAAAUAAUAAAUAAUAUAUAUUUCAUUGUUUUUUUUAAUUAACUUAAAAAUAAAGAUGUUAUAAAAAAAAUUAGAAAAAAUAUAUUUUAAGUGUAAAAUUUUAAAAUAGAACAUUACUUAUAAAUCAAAACAACGAUUAUUUUUUGUAGAAAAUAUUUAUUAAACAUAGUAGGUAACAAAUAGUAUUCUAAAAAGUUGCCAUAUGUUUUUGACUUAUAAAUCAAUGUGUAAAAUAAUAAAUAAUGAAACAUAUUAAAAAAGAAAUAUGAAAGUAGGUGAUUAUAAACUAUUAUUGUAACAACCUGCUCCAAGCAAUAUAGAUAUUGUCCAUUUUGGGCGUAAAAGUCCUCACGACUUUAACACACAUCUGUAAGGUUAAGGGAAGUCCAUACAUAUAUAAUAUCGGAUUUUUUUUUCUAUAACCAAUAUGGGACAUCAUAAUCUCCCCUUAUGCAAACACAAUGUCCUCAUUAUGUCCCAUGGGAUUAUAAGGCCAAAUUGGAAGAUAACCCUUACAAGGCCAAACAAAUCCCCACACCAAGGUUGGGGAUUGACUUUGAUACAAUUUGUAACCACCGACUCCUAAUUGUGUAAAUAUUGUCUAUCUUGGGCUUGAAAGACCCUCAUGAAUUUAAAACAUAUUUACAAGGUUAAGAUGAACUCAUACAUUAAAGGUUAGAAACUUUUUUUUUGUUUUUUUAGUUUAGUUAAGCACAAACAUGGAUAUAUAAAUGGGUGUUUUUAAUUGAUUUUAGCCAAUUAAUUAACAACUUCAAAUUUCAUUUUGUAAACUCUUUUUAUUAUAUCUCUAAUCCUUAAAGAGAGUCCCUUUAGUUUGACAGUCAAUUGAUAGGGUUAAAUUAUUACUUGCAAUCAACAACACCACGCUUAGGAUGAACACCACACAAUAUUCAAGUUCAAGCAUGAAGGUUUGUGUAGAUUUUGACCGAUAUAACACUCUAAGAAGUAGGUCCAUCUAGAUAGAGUAUUUCUAUAUAUAUUCCUUUCAUAUUUAGUGAAUUUAUUUAUUGUCAUUUGACCCAUGGUUUUUUUUUUACAUCUAUGAAAUUUUUAGGAAAGUUUGUAGGUAAUUUUCCCAUGUUACAUCUAGUGUUUCUUGUAUGAAAUUGAUAAACUUUUAAUUAUUAUUGAUACAACUUGUAGCAUCCCACCCUAAAAGUGAUAGCUAGAAGAUAAAGAGCCUACUCAAGAUUGAAAUCUAGAGUGGAAUCACCAUCUCAAUAGAUAAAUAUAGAGCAUGAAAAGAAUGGAACAUAACUAAGUGUUCUGAUAAAACAAUAUCAACUUGGUAAAUAGUAAUGGAAACCAAGGAUUACAUGAUGAGCUACAUAGUCAAGAGAAACUAAAUUGAAACUAAAAUAUAUAAGGAAAUGAACUAUAUGUCCCAUAGGUCUAAUAAGGAAAAACAUUCAAGCUAAGUGCCUAGUGACUUUCGCUCUAAAGCUGAUUUUUCCUUUUCAAGAGGCACACAAAAUCCUUACCUGAAAUGUACUAAAACCUAUAGGGUGAAGAUAAAUUUUGUAGUUACAAUAUACAAAUGUUAGGAUGAUCAAUCUAAGAUAGAAACAAUUCUAAAACAUAUCAAAUAAUAAUUUUGGUGUAUAAAAACUAGCAUAAUUUUAAGAAAGUAUGUAGUGUAAAACAUGCAAUCAUAUGUUUGGACAUAUCUAUAGUCAAUCCAUUGGCUAUGAAUAAGCUUACUAUCCAUGGCUACCACACAUCAACAUAAUCUUUAAGGUCUCACUAUCUUAGAUCACAAUACCAAGGAGCUCAUCUUUUGGUCAUCUUAUUAGGAGCACAACAAAGCAUACGCUAACACUUUGGGCUCUAUGACCUAACCCAACAUCAAAAUUUCUAGUUCCACCUUAUAACCUCCAUCUUUCUACACAAGUAAUGAGGAGUUCCAACACAAAUUCUAAAAAACACUUUAUGGGUGCACAUAUUAUCAUGAUCAUCAUAUAUAAUGUCUAAAAGUCCAAUAUUUUAUUUAGAUUAUGAUAAGAUAUGUAAUUUCAUCAAUUGUAAACAUAAGUUAUUAAAUAAUUGCUUAAAGAUGAAGUAAUAUUUAUUUUUGUAAACUCAAUAUUAAUAAUGUGCAUUUGUCCAAAUAAUAAUUCAACAUAUAUCUCAUAUCAUUAGUAAAACUAAGAAAGUAAUAUAUAACAUAUGCAAGACAUAUCUAUUUUAAGAAAAAUUAGUAAAAUCAUGCAUGUUAUAACUACUCAAAAAAUUCUAAAGCAAUCAAAACUCUAGUAAAGCUCACAAUAUGGUGGCUCCAUGAACUUUGGUUCUCAUCUAACAAAAGAAAAUAUAAGUGGACUUAGAGAUUUGGAAAUUUCAUAAAAACGGGAACUAAGAUUCUAAAGUCCUACAAGCCUAUCUCACCCAGAUAACACCUUUUAUAGAAAGUUACAAAGUUUUUAAAUAUAAGAGUCUAGACAAACAAAGUUUAAUUCGAGUGAGACUUGAGCUAAUGAGUUUGCUGAUGAAUCUAGGUACCUUGAAGAUUAAUAAAUAAGCCAAAUGAUCGCCAAAAGACCAACAACUAAGCUGAACUUGAAUUAUUUCUAGAUUUUCCUAAAAUAGAGCAUGUUGAAAUACCACUCAUUUUCUUGAUUUUUUUUUUUUACUAAUUAAAUGAGUUCCAAAAACUCUGAAACUCUAUAGAUCUCUACUUUGUGAUGAGUCUAUUAUAAAAUUACUUAUAAAUCCAUAACUAAAUUAAAUAAUAUCAAAAUUCAUAGAAUAAAAAUUUGUCUCAACAUAGGAUGCUCAAAACCUAUUUUUUUCACAUACAUUUCCAUUUGAUGUGAGACUUGUUUUCUCAAUGAAAAUUUGAUUUUUAUAAAAAUUGGAGUUGCAACUUAUUUUUAUUUAUUUUUAAAAGGGAAAAUGUCACGCCCCAAAAUCCACUCCAAGGGCAUGACGAUCAUUUCACACCUCAAGCCCAAAGGCUCAAAGUGGAAACGACACAAACAUUCAUAUUGUAACUGGAAAUUUACCAAUUACCAAAUUCCUGUUCAGAGUAGUAGGACAAAAUUCUAAAAUCUCCAAGUAUCAAAUUUUAAAAAAACUAACACAUCAACCAGAGUGUUAUUGUCCAAAUAACUCCAAAUUCAAAUAAUUAAAUGGAGAAUUAAAUUUUAACAUCUAAACAAUGUCCAAAAUAAAGUUUGAACCAAAAUCCUAAGAAACAUAAAUUCCCUAGCCUAGCCAUCACUCCUCACCCGAACUGAGAGUACCUAAAAAAUUAUCAACGAAUGGGCAUGAGCUUAAAGCUUAAUAAGGAAUAUUAAUACAGUUUCAUGGAUCAAACAUUUUCAGUCAUGCUUGAAAUAGGAGAUAUAACAUAUACUUAUUUUCAAAAAAACCUUUGAGUUCAAAAUACUAAUACAUUCAAACUUUUCAACAAAACUUUCUCAUAUCCAUUUCAAAACAAUUUCCUAUCAAAACCAAAUCGAAUGCAUUCAAUAUAUCUUUACUCUGGUUAUCAAAUAACAAAUGGUGCCCAAUUAGGUGAGACUUCACAAAUGAGUGGCUAGUUUCAAACUCGUUCUAGUUAAGGUGAACAAAGCCAAAUGUCAACAAUUAUAACCCGUUGACUAGGGUCAUAAAGUCAACUAUUAUAACUCGUUGACUAGGGUCAUAUAAUAUCAACUUUUAUAACCCGUUGAUUAGGCCCAUAGAAAUGUCAACAAUUAUAACCCGUUGACUAAGGCCAUAGGAACCAGAGUCAAACAUUUUAUUUCAUUAAUACAAACUUGCAAAACAAAAUAUUGUAUCUCCAAAAUUUUUCAUUUUUUCAUAAACAAAGAAGAUUCUCAAAUAUACUUUCCAUACAAAACACAUAUUUGAUCCAUGCGAAAAGAUAAAAAUAAUAUUUUUACACAUUUCAAAAUACAAUGUAAAAAGGAAAUUAUUUUCUUUUAUAAAAAUCUGCAUUAAUUUCCCUUACCUUGAAGAAGCAUUCAAAAUCUUGAAGUAUUUAACUCUGAAGAAUUUCCUCCUCACCUAACAUAAUAUCAUACACAAUAUUGAUUAUUGAUUAUUUAUCUAAAUAUAUAAAUUUGACAAUCCUAAAAAUAUUUUAUUUAGUAUUAAAGAUCCUAAUUAAUUUCUCAUAUUAAUAUUAUUACCAUCCAAUAAUAUUUUCAACUUCCUAAGCAAUAAUUUAUUUAUUUAUUUUCUAACUUAUCUAAACUAAAUAUUUUAAGAAUAUUUAAUUGCAUUAAACUAUUAUUACUAUUAUUUAAAUUUCCUAAACUUAACAAAUACCCCAUGUAAUUUUAUUUUAUUUUUAUUUACUUAUUUAUUUAUUUUUUUCAACAUGCCAAAUCCUUCCUACGCAUCUUUCAUUUUUUUUUCCUCUCUAAAGUCAAAACUUUUAACCUCCAUUCUCACAAAUUUUAUGUAAUUUUCACAUCCGAAACUAUAUAAUUUUUUAUUUUUUAUUUAUCUAGAUCUAUUCAUUUGAGUAAUCAAAAUUUAUCCAUCUCCAUUAAUAAAUCAAACUAUGUUCAUAACUUUUUAAUCUUUUUGACCUAGAAAUUAAUUAAACGAACUCUAAUCAAAAUUAAGAUAUUCCAAAGAAUAUCUAAAGUGUUCAAAACUAAUUAACGAAUAUAAAAUAUUAAUAUAAGGAUUAAAAAUCUUACCUGAAAAAAAAUCUGAACUUCAAACUCUAUACCUCCAAACCUUUAGCCCUACGUUCUCCAAUUCCCUGCUUUUUGGUUAAUAAAGUUUUUUGAAUAAAGAAGAUAAGAGGAAAAUCUAAUUUAUACCUAGGAUUUUUAAUUGUAAAAUGACUUUUUUUUUUUACCUUUAAUGAGUUUAAUUAAUAAAAUAAUAAAAUUUUAAUUUACUAUUUUGCCCCUUAAGUUUAUUUUGGGGUGUUACAGAAAAUAAAAUAAGAAAUAAAACCUUAAAAAAUGACUCCUUGUAUUUGGAAAAGCAUGUCUUUGAAAACCCAAGUCUAAGUCCAAAGGUUAGAUUGCCUAUCAUGAAGGUAUCAUAAUGGUAGCACCCCUUUAAGACUUGAAAACAUAGGUUUCUACUAACUAGGUUGAGGUAAGCAUGACAAUUAAUCGAUAAAUCACGAAUAACAAAAAUAACAAAGGUGAUUAAGUUUAAGGCAAAACAAAAGGCUAUUCAUAUAUGAACAAACAUACCAAAGAAAUCAAUCACAUGAGAGAAAAAUAUAAGUGUACUUAAGCUGCACCCCAAAGCACUUUCAUGAAAAAAUCAAGGUUUGUUAAGACAAUAUAGUAUACAACAUGCAUUUCAUCUCAUUUAAGAAAUCAAACAAUAAUCAAACAUACUAAGCAAUAUCAUACAUAAAGAUGCUCACACAAAGUUUUGUCUAUUUAUAGAAUUAAAGAGAUAAAAGGUAAUGAAUGCACAUGGAUAGCAUGCACAACUUACAAUGUGCUUGCAUAAGGCUAAAAGAGGUUGGAUCAAUUAUUAUAUAUAACAAAUAAUUAUGAUACUGAAUCCUAAUAUACAUGGUAUAUGUACAACUUAAAUGAAAUGAUAAGAAUCUAAAAAAAUACCAACUAUCACAUAGGACAUGUAUACAAUUCAUUGUUAAAGUUAAACUAAUGUACAAAAGAGUUAAAAAAAUAAAAACAAAAACAAAAUUAAGGACUAGGACAAAGUAUGCAUCAAAGGGUCAAAACAGUAACACUCAAAAGAAAAACCCAAAAUAAAUAUCUAGAAGCAUUAUUUCAUCAUGGAAAAAAAUAGGCAACAACCUCACUAUGUCUAUAUUAUGGGACAAAAUCCAAAAUCAAGUCAUGAUUUGCCAAUUAACUCCAAAUUUAAUGAAAAAGUGAACACUAUGCAGAAUUUUUAGCAUGCAGUCAGAGUAGGAAGAUUCACAAAACAAAUCCUAAAAAAAUAUUUAGAAAGAGAAUUUAAUCACACAAAAAAUUAGGGAACCUCUCCUACAUGUCUAGAUUAUCACCUAAGUGGCCAAACAAUUUAUUGCAGCCCCAAUGAAUCCCAGUUUACAAAAAUCUCCAAAAGGUCUAAAAUAGGACAAAAUUCUAGGACAUGCAUAAACCAAUUUUUUUAACAAACCCAGAGGUAUGAUAAAAUAAUACAAAAAUCAUACAAUAUGUUUAAAGUAUCUAAUUCACAAAAAAAAUAAAGGCAAAGUUAGUAUGCACAUGGACCAAUUUUAAAAUCAAGCAAAUAGUUUUUAAUAUCUUUCGAUUGAAAAAACAUUUUUUAAUAUUUUGUGUCAAAAAUCAACUUCAAGAUGUCUAGAUUUGAGGAAAAAUAUCAAAAUAAUUUUAUAAAGUCAUCUAAUAAUUCAAAAACAUAAAAAUAGUUUGGGUAUCCAAAAUUGGAUGAAAACUAAACUCAUCAAAAGAUUCAUUCAUAUCUCUCAUUUGAAAAAAGCUUUUUAACUCAAACAAAAUUCUAAAAUCAAGUUGAAGGAGUAUACAAUCAUACAUCCAUAGGGAAAAUUUUAGGAGCAUCUUAUAUUAGCCAAAUCAAAAUUUUAUUCUAGGCAUGCAAUAAAUCAAUCAAGUUGGCAACAAAGGUUUUACAAAACAAAGAGUUUAUGUAGGGGUCUCACCAAAUCUCCAUUUGAUAUACACAAAUCUAGCCUAUGCAUUCCCAACCUUGCACAAGUAUUGAUAAACUCAUCAAAGGCAAGAAUUAUCCCAUUUAUUUGGGGCCACAAGCUAGGAUUCAUGUUCCACUCAAAACCAAAAUUUUAUUGAAAACCAAAAAUGAAAAAUGCAAAUUGAAUGAAAUCUAGUUGCAUACUUAAAAAAAAAAAAAAAAAAAAAAUUGGAUUUUGACCCAAAGAACCCUAAGAUGAGUUUUUGAAACAGAUUUUCAAAGGGAUCUUCUGAGAAAAGGUUUUCUUUUUAGAAAGGAAAAGAUUUUCAAGGAAGAUCAAUAGGAGAACUUAAACCUAAACAUGAAAGGGACAAAGCCGACAAUGAAGGUAGUGAAGCCAAUGCUAGGGCUUUGUUUAGUAUUUUUAAUGGAGUUUGUCUAGAUGAGUUUUGAAAAAUAGCAAACUACAAGCAUGCAAAGGAAGCAUGGGAUAUUCUUCAAGUCACUCAUUAAGGUACGUCAAUUGUAAAGAUUUCAAAAUUAAAAUUAUUUGCUACUAAGUUUGAGGAUAUUAGGAUGCAUGAAAAUCAAACCUUUUCUUCCUUUUAUUAUGAAUAAAGUGAUAUUGUAAAUUCCUCGUUUAACCUUGGAAAACCUAUUCUAGAUUCUAAGGUAGUUAGGAAAAUAUUGAGAUCUCUUCUAGAGAGAUUUAGACCUAAAUUAAAUAUCAUAGAGGAGUGCAAGGACAUUGAUUCCAUGAUAGUUGAUGAACUUAUAGGCUCCAUUCAAACAUAUGAGUUGACCUUACCUAGUUCUCAAAAGCCUAAAGACUCUACUUUUAAGGCUUCUAAGAAUGAGGAUAAAGAUAUUGAAAUUCCAUAUGAUAUAACUAGAAAUGAAUUGGCCCAUAUGGCCAAAAGGAUUAAAAGGGUCAUGAAAUUCAAUAAAAGGUUUAACAAGAACCAAGAAUCUCAAAAAGAAAAAAGACCUAAUGAACAAUCAUCCAAUUGAAAGGAAAAAGGUUCAUCCAGAGGUAAGAAAGUUGAAUACUUUAAUUGUGGAGGUUUGGGAAAGGCUCAAGAUUGUUCUAGUCCUAAAUAUAUCAAAAAUUCUAUGCAAGCAACAUGGAGUGAUACAGAUUUUGAAGAAAGUGCUUCCAUAACUUUUGAAAAUGCAAGGUACUAUCCUGAUGACUUGUUAGCAUUUAUUACAUCUGUGGAAUAUGUGUAUGAUAGUGAUUGUGAUAAUGAUGAGUUCACUAAUGAAUAGAGGGCUCAAUUCUUGAGUAAUAUUUUUGUUGAACAUGAAAGACUAAUUAAGAGUUAUAUGAAAAAUAACGAUAUUCUUGAAGCUCACAAAAAUCAGAUUGAUGUGCUUAAUGUUGAAAAUACUAACUUGCUUGAAAAAAAUUAGUUUUCUUGAAUCUAAGCAUCAUUCUCUCCUUGAGAAGAAUGAUGCUCCCACUAAAGAGAUCAAUAAUAAUAAGUCUUCUUCAUUUGUGAAUGAAAUUUUUUGCCCUAGAACUAAAGUACUAAACAAAAUUCUUGAUAAAUGCAAAAACUAUGGUGAUAAAAGAGAUUUGAGGUACAUUAACAAAGAUGAAACUUCCUCUAGUGGAGAAACUAUGUUUGUCAAAGGUAAGGAUGAUAUCCUUAACCAAGUAGAAUCUACUAAAAAGACAUCACUAUGCAUACACUGUAAGAAAACUGGGCACUUUCAAUUUAUAUGCUACACUAGGUUUCUAGAAAGGUUUGAAACUCAAAUGAAUAGACUUAUGAAUGACUUUAAUUCCGUUAAAAAUAACAUCUUGAACAAUGGGAUAGGGAAUUAAACCAAUUAGAGGCCUAGAAGUCAAUCUAAUUCCUCCAAGUCACCAUUUAGGACUAAGCAAGUUUGGUUGAGAAAGGGUAGGUUUAAAUGGUAAGUUGUGUUCAAUGUUCUUAAAGCUAAAUCUUCUAGUGAGUGGUACCUUGAUAGUGUCUUCUCUAGAAACAUGAUAGGAGACAAAACCUAUUUUACUUCUCUUGAAAAUUAUAAUGGUGGAAUUGUUACUUUUGGAGAUGGAAGCCAAGCUUGUGUGAAAGGCAAGGGUAGUAUAGUUAUCUCUGGUUGUCCUAAACUACACGGAGUUUUAUAUGUUGAAGGACACAAAGCAAACUUCUUAAGCAUUAGUUAAAUGUGCAACAAUGACCAUAACGUGAAUUUUCACCAAGACUUAUGUGAGGUAGUCAAUAAAGAGGGAAAAGUAGUCAUCAUAGGACAUAGGACUAUGGAUAACUAUUAUUCCAUAAAUCCUAACUCUAGAAUACGUCUUGUGUGCAGUAAGGUGAAGCUUGAUCCUACUGAGCUCUGGCAUAGAAGACUAGGUCACAUAAACUAUAAGGACCGUGUGCAUUUAGUGAAUACUAAAAAAGUUAGAGGUAUCCCUAAACUUAGUGGUGAACCUAAACCCAUGAAACGUGAAUAAAAAAGGACCACUAGACCUUAAUUUAGACCUUCUAUAUAUGGAUAUUAUGAGUCUAAUGCAAACUAAAAGUAGAGGUGGAAAAAGAUAUGUCCUAGUGGUUGUAAAUGAUUUUUUCAAGAUACUCUUUUGUGAGUUUUCUAAAAGAGAAGUCUGAGGUCGUUGAACAUUUGAAGUCAUUAUUCAAUAAAAUAUGAUUCAUUCCCAAUUGGUGUCUCAGCUGAUUCAUGUCCAGCUGGUGCUCCUUGACUGAGGAAAUGAUCAACAAAAUUUAUAACCUAUAUCACCAUGCAUUAGGAUAGCUUUAGCUAAUAUAGCAUAGUGGCUCUAGGAUUGUUCACUGUGAAGGGUUUUCAACUCACAACUGAUACCAAUUCAAAGUAAAUUGGUGCUUUUUCAUUUCAAGGUUAGCUUAAGAAAUAAAACACAAACUUUGUUUAAAUGAGGUUUUGUUUAAAGCUAACUAAAAAGAAAGUAAUGGAAAUUACUUAUAAAGAAAAACAUUCCUUGGAGGUUUAGGUUCACAGGGGAGGUUCCUUAUGCAAAAACAGAGUUCCGGUCAUUUGGUUCAUUUCCUCGCAUUAAAGAAUUAACAUAUAGUCAAUUCUCUAACCGGUGCUGUACAGAUGUAUCCUUUAAAUGGAUUUCAACUCUAAUUCCUUCUCACUGAUGCAACUUGCAAUGGCUCGUGCCUCUCACCUAGCAUUUGCCAUUCAAGGUGAUCUUUAACUUUGGACUUCCCUUCUCAAGCUCGCAAGAGAUAACUAAUGGAUGUCUCCUUGGAGUCCAAAAGCUUACCAAGUGUUGGCAAUUCUAGAAAAUCCUACCUUCAAGUCACUUCCCAAAAGCUCGCAAGAGGUAAACUAGUGCAUCUCCAUGGACGGAGAUCAUGUGCCUUACCAAGUGUUGGCUCAAGUGACUUGAAGGUGUUUUAAGUUAACUAAAAACAUAGAAAUCAUUAAAAGAUCGCACUUUCUCUUCAUUAAUGACUGAAACCACAAAGCUACUAAUUCUUGCACUUGGAACCUUUCCUGGCAACCUUAACUCCAAGGAACUAAAAGUCUAGCCACCCAUUCUUUGAGGAAACUUUCUCAGAGCUUGUUUGGCUAAUAAGAAAACUAACGAGAAAACAAUUAUAUGAAGGAAAAACAGAGCAAGUGCUCUGUGAAAUAUAUUUCUUUCUUCCGUCGAUUACAUAAUAAUCUUCUGUAAAGAAAAUUACAAACUAUAUAUAUGAGGUUAUUCACCCCUUUGUUCUUACGUAAAGACUAAGGAAUCCUAUGAUAAGUGGAUUACAAGGAGAGUUUGGGGAUUUAGACAACAAAUAUCUAAAGCAAAAUAUCUCAGGAUGUCGGUUAGAAAUAUCAGGAAGCUUCAGGAGAAUAUCGUGGCACUAUAUACUAAGAGAAAAACUCUCUUGGUAAGCGAUAUUAGUGGAUCCGGAUAUGUCUGAUCGGAAAAGCUGAAACGUCCUCCUCUCCCAUCCAGAUGUGAGAUAUCCGGAUGUAAAAUGUCGGCGCACGGAAUUCCGGAUAUGAAAUAUCCGGAGAAGGUGGAAAGUCGGCCGGAUAGAAUUCUUUCCCGGGUGGAAUGAGCUAUGCUGCGCAAGCGGACCCCUCUCUCGGAUGACACAGAGCGCGCAAGGCUAUCUGGAUCAACUCCAUCUGGAUUCCCCAAGAGGACAUGUGGCGCGCUCCCCCUAUCCGGACUCCCUUAGGGAGAAGCACACGACACUCAUGAACAUCAUACCCGGAUGAUAACAUAUCCUAUCCGGAUAUGUUGUCCAGAUCAUUGACUUUCGCCGCCAUCCUGUCCGGACGCCCUGUCCGGACAUAUUUUACUCCUUGCGUUCCAGAUCUACUUAUGGCAAAGGACUUCAAAGCUUCGGUUCUUCAUGUUUCUGAGCUUUCCAUUGCUUUGCCAUGGAUUCCAAAGAACUCUCCUUAAUCACGGAUUGCUUUGGUGAUAAAAAAGCUAUCAAAACACCAAAACUUAACACAAUUUGAUUAGAAUUGAUUGCAAGGGUCCUUAAUAUGUUAAUUGGGUUAAAAGGUGAUAACUACUACUCAAAAGUGUUUAAAAGAGUUAAUUACAGGCUAUCAAAUAACACUUUUUGAGUAGUAAUCAGAAUACAAGUGGAAAUAAGCCAUCCAAUUAUAAGUAUUAGGAGGGAUAGGGGGAGAAAGUUUGACAUGUAGAUGUUGACCUUUUUUUUGUGAAUCAAAAGGAAUUAAACAUUAGCUGAAAAAAAAAAAGUGCUACAAAAAAUGCCUAGGGUAAUGAUUCAUAUGCUUAAUAACCUUAUGCAAUUUUGGGCAGAAGUAAUUAAUAUUGCAUGUUAUACUGCCAAUAGGAUUUUUCUUAGGAUAGGAACAACUAAGACAUCUUAUGAAUUGUGGAUUGGAAGAAAAUGUAAUCUUAAAUAUUUUAAAACCUUUGGUAAUGAAUGCUAUAUACUCAGUGAUGAAGAGAACCUUGGUAAAUUUGAUGCUGAAUUUGAUUUAGGUAUCUUCCUAGGCUAUUCUACUUCUAGUAAAGCUUAUAGGGUUUAUAAUCAAAAUUCACAAAUUAUUCAAGAGUCUUCUAAUGUGAUUAUAAAUGAUAUCAGGUAUGAUUAGGAUAUAAUUGAUAAUCAAAUUUUAACCUAUGAAUCAAUCAAGGAUAACCUUAAAGAUGUGGAGACUACUAAAGAAAACCGUAAAGAUAUCCUUGAAAGAAACAUUAGCCCUAACAAUGAUGAAUUUGUACCUCUCAAUGAUACAUUUGAAGAAACAAGAAGUAAGCAUAGAUCCAUAAUACCUAAGAACCACCUAAUCUCAUAUUUUAGAGGAAAUAUUAAUGAGCAAGUGGUUGCUAAGGGACAAUCAAGAUUAAAUGAGAAGGGUUUUGUAUGCUAUACUUCGCAAUUGGAGCCAAAGAAUGUGAAGGAAGCUUUAGGAGAUGAAUCUUGGACCAUCACACUCUAGGAAGAGUUAAAACAAUUUAAAUGGAAUUAUGUGUGGUAUUUAGUCCUUAGGUCUAAAGAUAAACAUGGCAUAGAUAUAAAAUGGAUAUUCAGGAAUAAUUAAGAUGAAAAUGGUGUCAUUAUGAGAAACAAAGCAAGACUAGUUACCCAAGGAUACUCACAGAUAGAGGGGAUUGAUUAUGAAGAAACAUUUUCACCUAUAACUAGCUUAGAAUCAAUUAGGAUACUUUUGGCAAUAACAUGAUCCUUGAGGAUAAAGCUUUACCAAAUGGAUGUCAAGAGUGCAUUUCUUAAUAGGAUUCUGAGUGAAGAAGUCUAUGUUGGUCAACCUAAGGGAUUUGAGGAUCCAAAAUUCUUAAAAUACAUAUCAUUUGAGAGACCUCUCAUUCUUAAGAGAGAGAAUCCUUGAGAGAAAGCCUAAUUGCCACACCAUUCCCAAUCUCUUAUUCAAGGAUUUAAAUAUUUGAAUUGUGGGUUGAAGACUUUAAUCCCUUGAGAGUGGUCAAAGGAUCUACUAGGAAGCAACAAGGAGUUGUUGUGUCACGAACAUGGAUCAAGUUGUAGGUGCUGGAGAGUUAGUCUUUAGGGUAAAGUGACCAGGUAAAUUUGUGAAACUUAAUUUUGAAUAAUGGAUUUAGAUUGGUAGGUCUUAGACCUUGUGGUUUUUUAUCUACACAAUUUGUGGGGGUUUUCCACUUAAAAAUCUUGUGCCUCAUUGCAUAUCUUUUUAUUAUUGGUUAUAUUUUAGUUGAUGAAAUUGAUAAACUUUUUUAUUCAUUGGCUAGUUUGUUAUUGAGAUGGUUUGGUUGGUUAUCUUGGAGGUUGUGGUUGUUAUUCCUAACCAAUUAUUGUUUUUCCCUAACUACUCUCAGGAUAUUUUUUAAUUGACUUGUUGGGAUUGUUAUUGAGUUUGUUAGGUUGGUUAUUCUAGUGGUUAUUGUUAUACCUAACAUAUCUCAAUAUACAUUUCAGAUAUUAAUAAUUAUAGUAUUUUAUCUAUAACCAAUUGCAGGGUAUAUCUAAAUAGUUAAUAAUCAUAUUUGUAUAAACCUAAAGAUUCUAGGUUUAUCUUAUAUAGUUAUUUAGGACAUCCUUGAUUACUACUCAAAAUGUGCUAUUUCAUAGCUUGUAAUUAACUCUUUUAAAUACUUUUGAGUAGUAGUUAUUGCCUUUUAACCCAAUUAACAUGUUAAGGACCCUUGCAAUCAAUUCUAAUCAAAUUGUGUUAAGUUUUGGUGUUUUGAUAGCUUUUUGAUCACCAAAGCAAUCCGAGAUUGAGGAAAGUUAUUUGGAAUCUAUGGCAAAGCAAUGGAAAGCUCAGAAACAUGAAGAACCAAAGCUUUGAAGUCUUUCGCUGCCAUGAGUAAAUCCGGAAUGUAAGGAGAAGAAGCAAAGAGAAUCUGUCAUGAAGCAUAUUCUUGAUGACAGUCAUGUCAGCCACUUUUGGAGUACUUCCCGAAGUCCAUUUUCUAUAUGGUAUAUACCAUUUUAAAGACCAGGAAGUCAAGAAUCCAAUGCUUCAAAUAGUGUGCAAUUCGGAGUUGAAACGAAGAAGUUACAGCCAUUGCAAGCCGAUCACUCCAAGCUGAAGGAAGAAUUUUGCAAAGUGCUGCGAAAUCACCCUUUUGUUGUGAGAUGAUUUCGCAGCCUUUUUGUACAGUGCUGUGUUUUCCCCCUGAAGUUUCUCGUCACGAUGGAAGUCGAAUACCACAAGUUGAAGGACCACUUCGCAGCGCUGCGAAAUCAACCGUUUGCUGCGAAAUGAUUUCGCAGCCCUUUUUGUGCCUCUGCGAAAUUUCGCAGACCUCGUUUGCACCUGCCAAAUGAUCCCUAGUGCUUCCCGAUAUUUGCUACCGACAUUGGGAGAUAUUUUUCAUCAGAUUUUUGUUGUCUAAAUCCCAAAAUUCUCCUUGUAAGCCACCAAUUAUAAGAUUCCUUAGCUUUUAAGUUAAUAAAAAGAGUAAAUAUCCAUGUAAUAAUUAGUUUUGUAUUAUGUUCAUAUAAAUAGCUCUCAGGAGCCUGUUCUCACAGGAACCCUUUUUGUAAAAGUUUAAAAGCAAGUAAAGUUCAGGUCCUCUAUUUUACCUUACCUUCUCACUUUGUAUUUUUCAUUUUUUUUCUAAGUUAUGCACUCUCUAAGGAAGUUUCCCCAGAGAAUGAGUAACUAAACCUUUAGUUCCUUGGAGCUAAGGUUGCCGGGAAAGGUUCCAAGUGCAAGAAUGCAAAGCUUUGUGGUUUCAGCCAUGAAUGAAGAGGAAGUGAAAUCCUUUAGUGAUUUCUAUGUUUUUAGUUAGCUUAAAACACCUUAGAGUCACCUGGGUCAACACUUGGUAAGGCAAGUGAUCUCCAACCGAGGAGAUGCACUAGUUUACCCCUUGCGAGCCUCUGGGAGGUGACUUGAAGGUAGGAUUUUCUGGAAUUGACAACACUUGGUAAGCUUUUGGACUCCAAGGAGACAUCCAUUAGUUAUCUCUUACGAGCUUGAGAAGGGAAGUCCAAGGUUAAAGAUCACCUUGAAUGGUUAAGGCUUAGUGAGAGGCUCGAACCAUUGCAAGUUGCAUCAGUGAAAGAAUUAAAGCUGAAAUCUAAUUAAAGGAUGUAUCUGUACAACACCGGUUAGAGAAUUGACUAUAUGUUGAUUCUCUAACGCGAGGAAAUGAACCAUCUGACCGGAGCUUUGUCUUUUGCAUGAGGAACCUCCCCAGUGAACCUGACCCUCCAAGGAAUGUUUUUCUUCCCAAGUAAUUUCCAUCACUUGCUUUGUAGUUAUUUUACAUCUAAAUCCUUACCAAUCAAAGUUUUUGUUUUAUUUCUUGAGCUAACCUUGAAAUGAAAAAGUACCAAUUCACUUUGAAUUGGUAUCAUUUGUAAUUUGGAAACCCUUCCCAGUGAACGAUCCUAGAGCCGCUAUACUAUAGUAGCUUUUUCUUUGCUACCCUAGUAUAUGGUGUAAUAUGUUAUAAAUUUUGUUGAUUACUCUCUCAAUCAAGGAGCACCAGCUGGACAUGAAUCAGCUGAGACACCAAUUGGGCAUGAAUCAAAUGGCGCCGCUGCCGGGGAAGGUGUCAAGUUUAUAGUGAUACUAUUUCUGAGCACUUGUGAUUUUCAUCACAAGUUUGGUAACGUUUCUUUCAUUUUACUAAUUCUCAUUCUUUCUUUACUAAUUCAUAAUCCAAAUUUAUCUUUUAAAUUCAGUUUAGUUUAAUUUUGUUGUAGCCUUGUUUCCUUUUGUUGUCCUUUAUUUUCCUUUUAGUUACAGAUAGAUACUAGUUGUGUAUGCCAAAUUGGAUACGAGACAAUGGAGGAAGGCUUGUUAAACGUGAUACACCUCAUAACAAGGAAUUGGAAUUGAGCUUGAAUAUCAUGGAGGCUACACCUGAAGAUCAGCAUAGUCACCAAGGUCGUCAAGACAAUCUCAAUGAAUUCAGAUCAAUGAGGGACCGCAUGCAUCCACCUCGUAUGAGUGCACCAUCAUGUAUAGUGCCCCCUAUAGAGCAGCUAGUGAUCAGACCGUAUCUUGUUCCACUUCUACCAACUUUCCAUGGGAUGGAAAGUGAGAAUCCCUAUGCACACAUCAAGGAAUUUGAAGAUGUUUGUAAUACAUUCCAAGAGGGAGGAGCUUCAAUUGAUUUGAUGAGGCUUAAGUUAUUUCCUUUCACUUUAAAGGAUAAGGCCAAAAUUUGGCUUAAUUCUUUAAGGCCAAGGAGUAUCCGCACUUGGACUGACUUACAAGCUGAAUUACUCAAGAAAUAUUUUCCCACUCAUAGAACAAAUGGCUUGAAAAGGCAAAUUUCAAAUUUCUCAGCUAAAGAGAAUGAGAAAUUCUAUGAGUGUUGGGAAAUAUACAUGGAAGCUAUAAAUGCUUGCCCUCACCAUGGCUUUGAUACUUGGCUAUUAGUGAGCUAUUUUUAUGAUGGGAUGUCUUCCUCAAUGAAGCAACUCCUCGAGACAAUGUGUGGGGGAGAUUUCAUGAGCAAAUAUUCGGAGGAAGCUAUGGAUUUCUUGAACUAUGUAGCUGAAGUUUCAAGGGGAUGGGAUGAACCAACCAAAGGAGAAGUGGGGAAGAUGAAGUCUCAACUGAGUGUUUUUAAUGCUAAGGCUGGGAUGUAUACCUUGAAAGAAGAUGAUGAUAUGAAAGCAAAAUUGGCAGCUGUGACAAGAAGAUUGAAGGAGCUGGAACUAAAAAAAGUGCAUGAAGUGCAAGCUGUUGCUGAAGCACCGGUGCAAGUAAAGCUUUGUCCUAAUUGUCAAUCAUAUGAACAUUUGGUGGAGGAAUGCCCUGCAAUUACAGCUGAAAGGGAAAUGUUUAGAGAUCAAGCAAAUGUUGUUGGACAAUUCAAGCCCAAUAACAAUGCGCCUUAUGGAAAUACUUACAACUCAAGUUGGAGGAAUCAUCCAAAUUUCUCAUGGAAGGCCAGAGCAACUCAGUACCAACAGUCGGAUCAACCAUCUCAACAAUCUUCAAGUCUUGAACAAGCAAUAGCAAAUCUCAGCAAGGUGGUGGGAGAUUUUGUUGGAAACCAAGAAACCAUCAAUGCUCAACUCAAUCAAAGAAUUGACAGAGUGGAGAGUACUUUGAAUAAAAGGAUGGAUGGAAUGCAAAAUGAUAUAUCCCAAAAGUUUGAUAAUCUCCAAUACUCAAUUUCAAGGCUCACAAAUUUGAACACAGUGCAAGAAAAGGGAAGAUUUCCUUCUCAACCCCACCAAAACCCUAAGGGUGUCCAUGAAGUGGAGGUUCAAGAGGGAGAAUCAUCACAGAUGAAAGAUGUCAAAGCCUUGAUCACUCUAAGGAGUGGUAAAAAAAUUGAGAAGCCAACACCCAAGCCACAUGUUGAGAAAGAAGAAGAGAUAAAGAAAUGGGAGGAAAUGGAAGACAAAGAGAGUGAGAUCAGUGAAAAAAAGAAGGACUAUGAUUCAACAAUGAAUGCAAUUCCAGAGAAGGAGCUUCAAAAAGAAGAAAUGCUGAAGAAAUCAACUUCUUCUCCUUUUCCUCAAGCAUUGCAUGGGAAAAAGGGGAUUAGAAAUGCAUCUGAAAUUCUUGAAGUAUUGAGACAAGUGAAAGUCAAUAUCCCACUGCUGGAUAUGAUUAAACAAGUUCCAACAUAUGCAAAGUUCCUAAAGGACUUAUGUACUAUUAAAAGAGGGUUGACUGUAAAUAAGAAAGCCUUCUUGACUGAGCAAGUAAGUGCAAUCUUACAAUGUAAGUCUCCAUUGAAGUACAAAGAUCUGGGAAGUCCUACCAUUUCAGUCAUGAUUGGAGAAAAGGUAGUGGAGAAAGCUUUGUUAGACUUGGGAGCAAGUGUGAAUUUGCUUCCAUAUUCCGUCUACAAGCAAUUGGGACUUGGUGAGUUGAAGCCAACGGCAAUCACUCUAUUUCUAGCAGAUAGAUCAGUAAAAAUUCCAAGGGGGGUAAUUGAGGAUGUCUUAGUUCAAGUUGAUAAUUUCUACUAUCCAGUAGAUUUUAUUGUUCUUGAUACAGACCCUACUGUAAAGGAAGCUAAUUUAGUUCCUAUCAUCCUUGGAAGGCCAUUCCUUGCUACCUCAAAUGCAAUCAUCAACUGUAGGAAUGGGCUUAUGCAACUCACUUUUGGCAACAUGACACUUGAUCUCAAUAUCUUCUAUAUGUCUAAAAAGCAAACCACUCCGGAAGAAGAAGAGGGUCCAGAAGAGGUGUGCAUUAUUGACACUCUGGUAGAGCAACACUGUAAUCAGAAUAUGCAGGACAAGCUGAAUGAAAGUCUUGUGGAUUUUGAGGAAGGUUUGUCUGAACCCCCUAAUGUGCUUGCUACUCUACAAAGUUGGAGAAUGAUAGAAAAGAUUCUACCUUUGUUCAAUAAAGAAGAAGAGGCAGUUGCUGAAAAAGAGACUCCAAAACUCAAUCUGAAGCCUCUAUCCGUGGAGCUAAAAUAUACAUACCUUGAAGAAAAUAAUCAAUGUCCUGUUGUAAUAUCUUCAUCUCUGACCAGUCAUCAAGAGAAGUCUUUACUGGAAGUUCUCAAGAGGUGUAAGAAGGCAAUAAGAUGGCAAAUAUCCGACUUGAAAGGCAUUAGCCCUUUAGUUUGCACGCAUCAUAUAUAUAUGGAGGAGGAAACAAAGCCAAUUCGUCAACUUCAAAGAAGAUUGAAUCCUCAUUUACAAGAGGUGGUGCGAGCUGAGGUGCUGAAGCUACUUCAAGCAGGCAUUAUUUACCCUAUAUCUGACAGCCCUUGGGUGAGUCCUACUCAAGUGGUACCAAAGAAGUCAGGUAUUACUGUCGUUCAGAAUGAAAAAGGGGAAGAAAUUACUACACGCCUCACUUCAGGUUGGAGGGUGUGUAUUGACUAUAGAAAGUUGAAUGCUGUAACCAGGAAAGAUCAUUUUCCAUUGCCAUUUAUUGACCAAGUACUGGAGAGAGUCUCUGGCCAUCCGUUCUAUUGCUUCUUGGAUAGGUAUUCAGGGUAUUUUCAGAUUGAAAUUGAUGUGGAAGAUCAGGAAAAAACCACAUUUACAUGUCCAUUUGGAACAUAUGCUUACAGAAGAAUGCCUUUUGGUUUAUGCAAUGCACCUGCAACAUUUCAAAGAUGUAUGUUGAGUAUUUUCAGUGAUAUGGUGGAGCGAAUUAUGGAGGUUUUCAUGGAUGACAUCACCGUAUAUGGAGGUACAUUUGAGGAAUGCUUAAUCAAUUUGGAAGCGGUUCUUCACAGAUGCAUUGAAAAAGACCUGGUGCUCAACUGGGAGAAAUGCCAUUUUAUGGUACGUCAAGGAAUUGUCCUUGGCCAUAUUAUCUCCGAAAAAGGCAUAGAAGUUGAUAAAGCAAAGGUGGAGCUUAUUGUCAAAUUACCAUCCCCAACAACUGUGAAAGGAGUAAGACAGUUCCUUGGCCAUGCAGGGUUCUAUAGGAGGUUUAUAAAAGGUUUUUCAAGUCUUUCAAAACCUCUUUGUGAGCUGUUAGCUAAGGAUGCUAAGUUUAUAUGGGAUGAAAGAUGUCAAAAUAGCUUUGAUCAAUUGAAGAAAUUUUUAACAACAACUCCAAUAGUGAGAGCCCCUAACUGGCAACUACCCUUUGAACUGAUGUGUGAUGCCAGUGACUUUGCUAUAGGAGCUGUACUUGGCCAAAGAGAAGAUGGGAAGCCCUAUGUGAUCUACUAUGCAAGCAAAACACUGAAUGAAUCUCAAAGGAACUACACAACUACAGAGAAAGAAUUGUUAGCUGUGGUAUUCGCCUUGGACAAAUUUCGUGCUUAUUUAGUAGGGUCUUUCAUCAUUGUUUUCACUGACCAUUCAACCUUGAAGUAUUUAUUGACAAAGCAAGAGCAAAAGCAAGGUUGAUUAGAUGGAUUCUUUUGUUACAAGAAUUCGAUCUCCAAAUCAAAGAUAAGAAAAGAGUGGAGAAUGUGGUAGCUGGCCAUCUUUCGAGGUUAGUUAUAGCACAUAAUUCCUAUUCCUUGCCUAUUAAUGAUGACUUUCCUAAGGAAUCACUCAUGUUCCUAGUAAAAGCUCCUUGGUAUGCUCAUAUUGCUAAUUAUCUAGUUACUGGUGAAAUUCCAAGUGAAUGGAAUGCACAGGACAGGAAGCACUUCUUUUCAAAAAUUCAUGCUUAUUAUUGGGAAGAACCUUUCCUUUUUAAGUAUUGUGCAAAUCAGAUCAUAAGAAAGUGUGUCCCUGAAGAUGAGCAGCAAGGGAUUCUAAACCAUUGUCAUGAGAAUGCAUGUAGAGGUCACUUUGCCUCUCAGAAAACAGCCAUGAAGGUGUUGCAAUCAGGGUUUACUUGGCCAUCUCUUUUCAAAGAUGCCCACAUCAUGUGUAGAAGUUGUGAUAGAUGCCAAAGGCUUGGAAAGUUAACAAAAAGGAAUCAAACGCCUAUGAACCCCAUUCUAAUAGUUGAGCUAUUUGAUGUAUGGGGCAUUGACUUCAUAGGGCAUUUCCCAAUGUCUUUUGGUAAUUCUUACAUUUUGGUGGGGGUGGAUUAUGUUUCUAAAUGGGUUGAGGCAAUCCCUUGUAGACAAAAUGAUCACAGAAUGGUUCUCAAGUUUCUUAAAGAGAACAUUUUCUCAAGAUUUGGGGUGCCCAAAGCCAUCAUCAGUGAUGGAGGUGCUCAUUUUUGCAACAAACCUUUUGAAGCUCUAUUAUCCAAGUAUGGAGUGAAGCAUAAGGUAGCUACGCCUUAUCAUCCUCAGACUUCCGGGCAAGUUGAGCUAGCUAAUAGGGAAACAAAGAACAUAUUGAUGAAAGUGGUGAAUGCAAGUAGAAAAGAUUGGUCUAUUAGGCUUCAUGAUUCAUUAUGGGCGUAUAGAACAGCUUAUAAGACUAUUCUCGGCAUGUCUCCCUAUCGUCUUGUCUAUGGCAAAGCAUGCCAUCUCCCUGUGGAAGUUGAAUACAAAGCUUGGUGGGCAAUAAAGAAGCUGAACAUGGACUUGAUCAGAGCCGGAGCAAAGAGGUGUCUAGACCUUAAUGAGAUGGAGGAAUUAAGAAAUGAUGCUUAUAUCAAUUCCAAAGUUGCAAAACAGAGGAUGAAGAAGUGGCAUGAUCAACUAAUCUCCAACAAAGAAUUUCAGAAAGGACAAAGAGUUUUACUUUAUGACACAAGACUCCAUAUCUUUCCUGGGAAGCUCAAGUCAAGGUGGAUAGGGCCGUUCAUUAUUCACCAAGUAUAUGUCAAUGGAGUGGUGGAAUUAUUGAAUUCCAAUGGCCAAGAUACCUUUAGAGUCAAUGGAUAUCAUCUCAAGCCAUUCAUGGAGCCAUUCAAACCAGAAAAGGAGGAAAUCAACCUCCUUGAGCCACAAAAAGCCUGAGCAAAUAAGGGUUUGAUGGACUUGGUUUUACCACAGUCCAAAAUUUUUGUAAAUUUUGUAAAUUUCAAAGUUUUUUCCAUACUUUUGAUCUUAGUUUUUGAUCUUAAAUUAUGUGUUUAUAUGUGUUUUAAUCUUUUUGAAUGAUCUCAUGUGGAAGAAAAUGCAAAGAAAUUGAAAGGAAGAAUUCGGAGAGAAAUCGGAGCAAAAACAGAGUGUAAACAGAGCAAAAACAGGGCUCUGCAAGACUUCGCAGCCUAAGGAAAUCCUCUGCGAAAUUAGCACUUCACUGCGAAACCAUUUCGCAACUUAAACGAAGCCGUUGCGAAAUCAGCAUGUCUCUGCGAAAGCGGCCAUCCUUUGCGAAAUCAUUUCGCAACUCAUUUGACUCUUUUGCGAAAAUUUUGGCAGCUGCGAAACCAAGUUUGGCACACGAGUGCCACUUCGCAGCAUAGGAGCCCCCAAUUCGCAGCUGCGAAACGGGCUGCGAAGUAGGCUGUGAAAAUAGCUUUUUGCUGCGAAAUCGACGUUCUUCUGCGAAACUCAAAAUGACUUUUAAUAUUCCGUUAUUUUUAUAUAUACCGGUCAUUUGAGCUACGAAAGGGUUUCAAAAAGAGAGCGCGCCAUAGUUGUUGACUGUUCAUCUCCUUGCCCGAGCCCGACGUCGUGCGAACCAACGAUCAUCUUCUCCGGUCAUCACUUUCGGCCAAAUUUCGGCAAUCCGAAAUGGCGCGAACCAGAUGAGCCAAGUCUUCAUCUCCUUCCAGCCGCAAGCGAGUUCCGCGAGAGGAGCCCAUUCUAGAUCCCAUCUCUGAACCUCCGCGGCCAAAAGUUGUUUCCCCUCCGGCAAAGCCCGCGCCGCAGAAGCCUCCGACGAGGCGUUAUCUCACUAGGUCAGGGGGCCGUCCCCUGCAAAAGAGAGCCAGGGUUGAAAGCUCAGAGCCCAUAGACUUAACAGAGCAGUCCCCGGUUCCCUCACCAGAGCCCUCUCCAUUGCCAUCUCCGGUGCCAUCUCUAGCGUCACCAGCACAGCCUCAGAAGCUCCAGCCGCCACUUUCUGAACCCCAAAUUCCAUCCGGGGUAGCUCCUGAAGUGAUAAUUAGGCGUCCGAUGCUCACUCAGCCGCAAAUAGAUGGGAACCUGGACUGCAGAGCUCGACCAUUCCACUCUGAGCUAUGCUUUGACACAGCCACCUUCCAAUUGAGGCCGGAGCAUGCGGAUUCUUUCCGCCUGUUACGAAGAUAUCAUAUGGAGCAGCUGCUGGCCCCUAGAGACUUCUUCUACCCCAGGGUAGCCAUGGAUUUUUAUCAGUCCAUGACUACCAAGCAGGUCAAAGAUCCUACUUUAAUUCAUUUUACUAUAGAUGGUCGGCAUGGCAUUUUGGGAGCUCGCCAGAUAGCAGAGGCCCUCCAUAUACCAUAUGAGCCAACUCAUUUUGAGGAUUUCAGAGUGUGGACUAGUCCCACUAAGCUGGAGAUGGUACAUACCUUGUCCAGAGGAGCUUCUACACGUCCACAUUUGUUGAGGGGGGAACUUCCUCCAAGCAUGUUUCUUAUUAAUGCAUUUCUGCGUCAUAACAUCUAUCCACUCCAGCAUUGGACUCAGAGGAGAGGAGUGCUUUUGGAGGCCUUGUUCAAGAUUUCUGAGGGAUACUUCUUUGGCUCUCACCACCUAAUUAUGGCUACCCUUCUCUAUUUUGAAGAGAAGGUGCAUAAGAAGAAGCUGCAGAGAGCUGAUGCCAUUCCACUUCUCUUUCCACGGCUGCUAUGCCAAAUUCUGGAGCAUCUGGGGUAUCCAUCAUAUCCUCAGUUGGAGCGCAAACGUAUUUGCCGAGAGGUCUUCACUCUCGACAAAUGGAAUAAUAUGACAGCAUAUAGAGUUGAGCAGCCAGGGCAGCCAUAGCCAACUCAGAUACCAGCUGCCAGGAGAGCAUCUCCACGUCAUAUACCUGAGGGUAUACCCAUUGCUUCUCCUGCCAUACCCAGAGCCCCUGCAGUUACUCCAGCCUCAUCUGAGCCAUCUUCUUCAGCUGAGCCGAGGAUGGCCAUUCCUAUUUCUGAGUAUAGGGAGUUAUGCCACUCACUGCAAAUCCUCACCGCUUCUUAGAGCAUGCUCACUCAGUAGAUCACAGCUCUUAGUGCUCAUCAAGAGAAGAUUAUCGCCACUCAGACCCAGCACACUGCCAUCCUGAGGCAGAUUCAACAUCAUAUGGGUAUUAUAUCACCUCCUGAGCACUCCAUUCCUAUCCCACCAGAGCCAUCACAGGCCCUCCUUUUGUACAUCAGACUAUGCCUCCUGAGGAGCCGACUACAGGAGAGGCAGAGGCAGCAGAGCCAUCAUCUCCACAUCAUCCUCCAGCCACCAUCUGAUCAUUUUCAUAGUUUCCUUUAUAUAUGUCCUUUAUGUAUUUCCCUUAUAUUUUCCUUACUGGAGUAACUCUAGAAAUCCCAUGCUUUUGAUAUUAUAUACUGGGAUUAAUUGUAUUACUUGUUCUCUUUUUGUAUUUUCAUCAAAUGAAGUAAUACAAAUCUAUCAAUUUUUGAGUACUCUUAGCAUUAUUUUAUCCUAAUUCCUCUACUCAUAUCUUUUAUUGUUUUUGAAACAUGUGGUUUCUCCAAUCAGUAGUCGAAAUUGACAUCACCCAGGAGGUAUCACUUCCUCCCUUUAAUUGCAAUCACCCAUAUCACAUUGAGGACAAUGCUCAGUUCGGUUGGGAGGGGAGAAAUGAGGAAGGAAGUAUGCUAAAUUAAAGGAAGUAUGCUAAGUUAUUUUGGUAAUGCAAUUAUGUUGAUAAAUUAGUUGUAAUCUUUUACAGUCCACUCUAAUCUCCAUGGAUUUUGAGGAAAAAUUUUCAAAUUAAAUAAGGAGAAAUUGAACUAUUGCUUUUCACUUGACUUAGAGUAUGGAUUAUGCUUAUUAAAGUGGUUCAAUUGUUGAAGCUUCUAUUGAAAUCGAGUUUAGUUCUUCCACUUUAAGCUAUUCACACACUGUGCACAAUAGGUUCCGAGUAUAAGAUGAAAAACUAUUUCCCUCUUGACUUAGGAAAAUUUUGGGACUUGGUACCUUAGACCUCAGUUGAUAAAGUUGAGACACCUUAUAAAAGGCCAAUGAGCCUUUGAAAUAAAGAAAGAAAAAUGUUUGCUUGCCUUGAAACCCGAGCAAGGUAUGAGGGGUAUAUGAUGAAAAUCUUUAAAACCUGGUGCCCUAAGCCUUAAUUGGUUGGGAGUCACCGACCUCAAUGCUUGUUACAAGGGUGGAUAGGUGGAGUUAGCAUAUGGUAGGUGCUUGGGUAUUAAAAAAAAAAAAAACUCAAUCAUUCUCAAAAGUCCGGGGUAAAAUCCGAGGAGUUAGUGGUUGAAAGAUCCUUAAAGCUUGAUGCCCUAAACCUUAAUUGGUUGGGAGUCAUCGAUGGACCCCCGUUACAUGGACAAUUCAGAAAAGAAUACCCCUUAAAAAAAGUGUGUUCUCUGCCUAUUGAUUUUGGUCAGUUUGCUAAGUGUUGAAAAGAGAUAGGUUGGGGGGAGAGAUUAGUUUAGCAUACUAUAUUCGGAAGCUAAGGAAUCAUACACUUAGAUUUUUGUGGAAGAAUAAAGUUUGGUUUUUUGAAAGUGAAAAUGAUUUUAAAACUUCAGUUUGCAUAAUGCAUUCCCUUGAUUAAUAGUGUUUAGCAUAGUAUGUGAUAACUCUUGUUGAAAUUUGGGUUUAUAUUUCUUCAAUGUUCCAUGUGAGAGUUAGAUCUUCAUGCCACUUAAAUUUUUUUUUUGAAGUAAUCAGCAUGAUGUUGUAAAUUAUAGUAAUGUUUAUUUUUAUUUUUCUCUCCUUCAUUGCUAAGGGACUAGCAAUAUGUCGGUUGGGGGGAGUGAUUACUACUCAAAAUGUGCUAUUUCAUAGCUUGUAAUUAACUCUUUUAAACACUUUUGAGUAGUAGUUAUUGCCUUUUAACCCAAUUAACAUGUUAAGGACCCUUGCAAUCAAUUCUAAUCAAAUUGUGUUAAGUUUUGGUGUUUUGAUAGCUUUUUGAUCACCAAAGCAAUAUGAGAUUGAGGAGAGUUAUUUGGAAUCUAUGGCAAAGCAAUGGAAAGCUCAGAAACAUGAAGAACCAAAGCUUUGAAGUCCUUUGGAGAAGAAGCAAAGAGAAUCUGCCAUGAAGCAUAUUCUUGAUGACAGUCAUGUCAGCCACUUUUGGAGCACUUUUCGAAGUCCAUUUUCUACAUACUAUAUACCAUUUUAAAGCUCAGGAAGUCAAGAAUCUAAUUCUUCAAACAGUAUGCAAUUCGGAGUUGAAACGAAGAAGUUACAGCCAUUGCAAGCCGAUCACUCCGAGCUAAAGGAAGAAUUUUGCAAAGUGCUGCGAAAUCACCCUUUUGUUGCGAGAUGAUUUCGCAGCCUUUUUGUACAGUGCUGUGUUUUCCCCCUGAAGUUUCCCAUCACGAUGGAAGCCGAAUACCACAAGUUGAAGGACCACUUCGCAGCACUGCGAAAUCAACAGUUUGCUGCGAAAUUAUUUCGCAGCCCUUUCUGUGCCUCUGCGAAAUUUCGCAGACCUCGUUUGCACCUGCGAAAUGAUCCCUAGUGCUUCCCGAUAUUUGCUACCGACAUUGGGAGAUAUUUUUCAUCAGAUUUUUGUUGUCUAAAUCCCAAAAUUCUCCUUGUAAGCCACCAAUUAUAAGAUUCCUUAGCUUUUAAGUUAGUAAAAAGAGUAAAUAUCCAUAUAAUAAUUAGUUUUGUAUUAUGUUCAUAUAAAUAGCUCUCGGGAGCCUGUUCUCACAGGAACCCUUUUUGUAAAAGUUUGAAAGCAAGUAAAGUUUAGGUCCUCUGUUUUACCUUACCUUCUCACUUUGCAUUUUUCAUUUUUUUCUAAGUUAUGCACUCUCUGAGGAAGUUUCCCCAGAGAAUGAGUAACUAAACCUUUAGUUCCUUGGAGCUAAGGUUGCCGGGAAAGGUUCCAAGUGCAAGAAUGCAAAGCUUUGUGGUUUCAGCCAUGAAUGAAGAGGAAGUGUAAUCCUUUAGUGAUUUCUAUGUUUUUAGUUAACUUAAAACACCUUAGAGUCACCUGGGCCAACACUUGGUAAGGCAAGUGAUCUCCAACCGAGGAGAUGCACUAGUUUACCCCUUGCGAGCCUCUGGGAGGUGACUUGAAGGUAGGAUUUUCUGGAAUUGCCAACACUUGGUAAGCUUUUGGACUGUAAUGAGACAUCCAUUAGUUAUCUAUUGUGAGCUUGAGAAGGGAAGUCCAUGGUUAAAGAUCACCUUGAAUGGUUAAGGCUUAGUGAGAGGCUCGAACCAUUGCAAGUUGUAUCAGUGAGAGAAUUAAAGCUGAAAUCUAAUUAAAGGAUGUAUCUGUACAACAUCGGUUAGAGAAUUGACUAUAUGUUGAUUCUCUAACGCGAGGAAAUGAACCAUCUGACCGGAGCUUUGUCUUUUGCAUGAGGAACCUCCCCAGUGAACCUGACCCUCCAAGGAAUGUUUUUCUUCCCAAGUAAUUUCCAUCACUUGCUUUGUAGUUAUUUUACAUCUAAAUCUUUACCAAUCAAAGUUUUUGUUUUAUUUAUUGAGCUAACCUUGAAAUGAAAAAGUACGAAUUCACUUUGAAUUGGUAUCAUUUGUAAUUUGGAAACCCUUCCCAGUGAACGAUCCUAGAGCCGCUAUACUAUAGUAGCUUUUUCUUUGCUACCCUAGUAUAUGGUGUAAUAGGUUAUAAAUUUUGUUGAUUACUCCCUCAAUCAAGGAGCACCAGCUGGACAUGAAUCAACUAAGACACCAAUUGGGCAUGAAUCAAUCCUUCAUAUCUCUUGAGAUAAAGUUUUGGUAUAACAUAUAAAUCUUUAUUUAAAUUUUUAAAUCACCCAUUUAUCCCCCCUCUAGGUGUUCCCUAUUGGACUUUCGAUCGUUUUUCAAGUGGUAUCAAGUGCAAUACCAUUUUUCAAGUCUAUUGUUUUGUAAAAUAAUUAGUGUUUGUUAGGUCUACUUGGGUGAUCCUAAGGAGUUGUGUUCAUGUAAACUAUGAUCAUAGUAGUUCCUUAAGUGGAACUUGACAUAAGCUCUUUGUGACCUAAGAUAUGUCAAUUGAUCACAAUGUAAUCACAAGAUAAGAAACAAACACAUACUAAAAAAGAAAAUGAUAUCACUAAGUAAAGUAAGAGUACAUCAUGUAAGAUGUAGGUCAAUAGGGUCAACAUUCGAAACAAAGAGUACAAACUCAAAAUACUAGAAGUAAAACAAGACACAAAGACAAAAUAAGACAAAAUAAAAACUCAAGCGACCAACAAAAACUGUAGUCCCAAAACAUGUUAACAAUGUCUACAAAAAAUUAAGGUGUCUCAUGAACAUUAGUGUCUUAAGUGUUUGAAACAUGAUGAUAUAAGUCUGAAUGAAGAGGAGUUUCAUGUAGGGAGUAAACUAGGCCAAAAUUGAUAUUUGUGGUCGAUGUAGGAGAACUAACUACACCAUUGUCAAUAAGAUCCUAGAUGAUAUGGUGUAGUGAAGCACAAUAAUUAGUAUGAUGGCUUGCCAUUUGAUGAUAUGAGAAAAACUUAUGAGCACGAAAACGUGGAGGCAAAGUUCUCAAAGUGGCCUAGAAGCUAUUAGUACCAAGAAUCUAGCAUCUUUAAGCUGCUUAAAAGCUCUAUCUAAGGCAUCCCUAAUUCAAAAUAAGUCCUUCAAUGUUGCUAAAGGGGACAAGGUUGCUUAUGUUGUAGGGCAUUAGUUUAUGGAUAUCGAAACUAAAAUGAAGGUCGUAUGGCUAUAGUAUAACCAAUCAUGGGAGGAUACCACUGAGUUGACUAAGGAUGAUGAUAGUGUGGGUGUGAGAAACCACCCUUGGGUAUUUGUGGUAAUCUAGCAUAAAGGUGAUGACUAAGUCGUUGACACUGAAAAUUGGUAGAACAAACAACCCUUUGACUCUCAGAUGAUCUAACAACUCUCUUCCCCUUAACAUUUUGGGGAGGAAUAAUAUCUUACCAUAAUCCUCUAGAUAUGCCCUCCUCUAUAUUGAAUAAAGCUUGAACCAAUGAUCUGAAAUCCUAAAAAGAGGUCCCCUAUCAAAUGUUGAGCAAAACUAGGUUGUAAACUCUUAAAAAACAUAUAUUUGAUUUCUCUCUAUAGGUUGCUCAAUCAUCUCUAUGGCCUUCUUCCUUCAAUGAGAGAUAAAAGAAGAAAUAACUCAUCCAACCUCUACCUAAGGGACUUAAACUCCUUACAAGUAACAUCCACAUCACCAUUGAAUAAAUACCAUCUCAAAAACUCCUAUGCCAAAUCCUCCCAAGUCUUUUUGUAGGAUAAUUUAAUGAAGCAUACCAUCUCUAUGUUACCUCACUCAAUGAUAAUGGAAAUAAAGUAACCAACUAUGCCUCAUCUAAUCCAAGAGCCCUCAUAACUAUGCUAUAGAGUUUGAGAAGAAUAGAAGGACACCUAAAACUAACAUAUCUCUUUAUCUUAAGCAUUCUGAAAUCGACAAGUAAAGUGGCCACUAUCAUACCCUUAAUAUCAUCCUAAGAAAUAAUCCUUUUAGACCAUCUCAUAUGUCUCAUCCUCUACUCAAGUUUAUCCAUACAAGAGUGAAAAUCCUUAAUAAUAGUAGUUGGUAUGACAAUGGGUGGAACAAUAGUAGUUUGAUCAUGUGAAGUAGUAGGAAAGGCUUGUGAACUGAUAUCUGAAUAGUUGGAGGUGGUGAUGGAACUAAAUCAAAUGGUAUACCCUUAAGUAUUGCCUGUUUGCCAACCAUGCUGACUGUCAAUCCCUUGACCUAAACUUAUCAACGUCCCAUGAAUCAAUGACAUAGUGGUGGUAAACUAAUCAAUUGAAACUGUCUAUGGAUCCAUUUAGAGUGACUCUAUGACAUAGGUCAACCUUCUCCAACUUAACCCAAGGCACUGAACCAAGAUUGGGACUACAGAUGGAAUCCUAUAAAAGAAUAAAAUAAAAUAACUGAAACACAACUUUUAUGAUGAUAAAAGUAGUGACAAAUGAUAACCAAAUACAUGAUAUGACAUAACAUGACACAAGACAGGAUGCGAUACAUGGUCCUAUGAUGGCAAUCAAAAUUUGGAUAUAUAAUAGAAACUUUAAAUUCAUAAAGGUAUCUAUUGUGAGAUGAUUAUAAAUAUGACCAAAGAAUUUUUACUAAUAAUUCAAGGUGAAAGAGGUAUGAAGAAUGACAAUAUCAUGAGAUUAAUAGUCCAUCUCUAAUUGGAUACACUUAACUCAACUUCCAACCUGAGCUUUAUAGAAGAAAAUGAUAAGGUGAUCAAGGUGAAUUUCUUAAAAGGUAUGAAUAUGAAAUCAGGUCAAUCAUAGAAUAAGGUAUCAAGUUCAUGAUAAGUGUAGAGUUUAAAAAGAUGAACAUGAUUAAUGAGCAUACCUUGAAGUAUUGAGCAAAGUGUUUAUAAACCAAAGAAUGCUAACUCAAGAAAGGGAAAACUAAUAGAAGCCUUAGGGAGAUAGCAAGCUAGACUCAAUAAGAGACCAGAAGAAGCCAACACUACACUAAAAGGAUGUUCCAUUGAAACUCAAAACCGUAAUAUUGAUCUCUAGAUACUCCAACAAGAGACUAAGUAGAGGGAAUACUUGAUCCAAACUAUGAAUAAAGCGACUCCUAAGGCUCUCAAAUGCACUCACAUGUGGAGAAGAAAUUUCUCAUAAAAGGAUCUAAGCUCAAUCUACAAAGUCAAGGUGGCUUUAAAAAGGAAAAGGGUAGGCUGAAAGGAAUCCCUACAGAAGUAAUUAUACCCAUCAACAGUACGCAACCUCCUGCAUGCCUUUGAAGAAAUGAGACAUUUCCAUGCAAGUUAGUCAUUACCUCCACAUAUGCACUACCUCACAUGCUAAGGGGUUUCCUAUGGUGAAGGCUCUCACAUUUCUCAACUCUUAGUGGUGAUCUAAGUAUACAAUGAACUAUAUGGAUGCAUCUGAAAAAACCUUUUAAUCCAAAACAACAAAGAGAACACACUAGUCACAUAAGUAUCCUUAAAUCUAGCUAUGAGCUAUACAAGUCUUCAAAUAUCAUACUCCAAUCAACAUUAAUGUGAUUAAUUCCUCCAAAAUGCUCCCAAACAUACAUAUAACCCAUUGCUAGACCUUACUUUGAAUUAGUAGCUUGAUUAGAGAAAAAACAAAGCAACAAGUCUCAUAUCUAAUUUGAGAUCAAAGGAAACAAGGUUGAUUGAGACUAGGGAAUUGGAGAAAAGGGGAUAGUUGUGUGUCCCAUAAAGACAAGCAACAUGCAAUCAUAUUGGAGAAGGGUAGUCAUGCAAAGCAGGUAUAUCAUCCAUAUCUAUACUCAAGCUAAUCAAGGAUAAGAUAAUUACAUAUAUGCAUACACUAAGAUCAAUUAUCAUGGUAAAGAAACAAGAGAAUCAAUCUAUAUAAUCAACAUGUCAAGAUCUCAAAUGAUUAUUAUAAUCAAGUAUAUAUCAUAAGUAAUCACUAUUAGGAACCCUAGAUUUCUCUAUUCCCUUACCUUGGAUCAUAUAGGUGCAUGAAAAACUACCCCUAGGCCUUUAGAUCCUAUGUAAUGGGAGCAACAAACAUAUUUUUACAAUUCUAGGAUCAAGAAAAAACCAUUAGAGAACUUUACCUUUGAUUUGGAUGUUCCUAAAUCAAUUCCACUUAGAGAAGAUGAAGAAUAAUGAAUUUGAAAGUCUCGUACACCCAAGAUCUUUUGCUCGAUGACUCGAACCACGAUCUUGACACUCUAAAGUGUGGACUUUGGAAAUGAUGAUCUCUUGGCUCUGAAUAUCUCUCUCUUUCUCUUGGUGGAAGACAAAUGUCUUUAAAAGUUAUGGAAACCCUAGUCCUUAUGAGGGUAUUUAUAAGGUUCCCCUACUAGGCUUAAGUGAUUUGAGUCAACUAAGACCUAGGUAAUCUAGCCCAAAAUCAGUCUUAAUUGAUUAAUUAACCACAUAGGGUCAUCUAAUUAAUCAAUUAGCUGAAUCUAUAUAACUUGUUCACUAUCCCUUGUGCAAUAUUAUGUAAUUACCAAAAUGCCCUUAUGCAUAAGAAUGAACCAAGAGCCAAUUCAACCCUCAUAAACCAUGUCAUCAUGGUAUAUGAGCUCAUAAUGGGGAGCACUGGGACUCAGAGGAGUACUGGCUUCCUUAGAAUCCAAUUAUGAAGUUGAUUCAAUAUUCCACUAAAGAUAAUCAACUACACUCUAAUAUCAUAUGUAAAUAACAAUGAGACGAGCUUGGGGUCCGUGACUUACUAUCCACUAUAUGUAGACUCCACAUGAAUUGGUGUUUGUAAUCUAACAAGGUAGUGUUAUCACUUAUCAAGAUUACCUCUCCAAUCAAUGAGUUAUAGAUCUCACUUAUUAUGUGAUUAAUUGACAUACUCUAACUCUAAGGAGCAUAUGUCAAAUUUCCACUAAAGGAAAUGCUAUGGCCAUAGUCUUCUAAAUUCUAUGUCAUUUGGAUCGCCCAAGGGGACACACUGUCUCAAUCCAUGAGAUAUCAUGGUGCCUCUAUUGAGAAUACCUAUUGCCACUAGUCUCCAUCAACAGUGACCCAAUCCAUAGGGAUAUAUGAUCACUUUAAAGUCUCAUCCAUAGGUCAAAGCCUCCUAUUAACUUUGGCACAAGCUUAAUAUCUUCUCAAGGUUAAGAGUCCAUGCAGUAUAGUAACUUGGUGAAUCAUGACAAUUGAUAGCCUUGUGUCAUGAUUCACCAUAGGUCCUAUCCAAUGCACAUCACAUGCACUAGUACACUCACCAUGGGAAAACCAUCCUGACAAUUAAGACAAGCUAUCCUUCCAAUUAGACGGUAGUGUACUAUAGUCUCAGAUGGAUAGCCCAAAUCCAUGAACCAACUAUGGACUACUUACCACUUUACAAGGAACCCAUGACUUGGAUCUUCUGUGUAACUCCUAAUGCACCCAAGUCAUGUAUAACAUAAGUGAUGUAGGACGUGUAUGCUAAAAUAACCAAUUAAUACAAAUUUAUUUAAGGAAAACCAAAAAACAUAAAUAAUAAUUUAUAAAUGAAUCUCAAUCUGUUCCAUCAUGCCAUGCUUUCUAGGGCUCAAUUCCAACAACUACCAUAUCAAAGCUCUUAAUAUGCUAUCAACACUUAAGCAUACAAAAACACCAAAGAGGGCUAUGCACUGAUUGAAUAAUCAAACACCAUAUUUCUCUCAACUUAGGUUCAAGCGUAACCUUCUAAUUCCCCAAUGGAGUUACCAUUUUAUGGACCCGCAUUUUUUACAUGCAUCCUCCCUCGAUGACAAGACUCAUUUUUUAGUGUAGAAAAAUGAUUUUUGAAAACGGUGGAGUUGCCACUUAUUUUAUUAUUUUUUAAAAGGGAAAACAAAAUAAGAAAUAAACUAAGAGUGACUUCUUAUUUAGAAAAAACAUGUCUUUGAAGAAAAAAAAACUAAGUCUAAGUCUAGGGGUCAAGUUACCUAUCAAGAAUGUAUGGUGAUGAAUCAUAACACUCAUCUAAGCCCUAAUAACAAGUCUCUACUAAUCAAGUUGAGAUAAUUAUGACAAUUGGUCAAUUAAUCAUAGAUACCAAGAAACCUGUUGUAGUGAAUCGAUUGAGAAGACUAGUCAAAUAAGGUAUGCAUAUCAAAUGGAAUCAAACAAAUAAGAAAAGGAAGGAGCGUACCUUGAAGCAAGCUAAGUGCUUUCAUAAAAUAAUGAGGGUUAGCUCAACAAUCAUUAACAAUGAAUAUAAACAAUCAUCGUAAAAAUCUCACAUCAUUCAUUAAUUCAAAGCAAAAAUCAAGAGUGAAGACAAUACAUAAGUAAAAGUGGAUAAAUCAUAAAAAUAUAGGUAAAACACACUAAAAUGAAAUGCUAAAAAUGACAUAUGAGGUUAAGAGAAGCAUACCUCAUGUGUGCAACAUCUCUAUGACAUAAAUCAAGGUCAAAAUAAAUUCACAAAUAUACAUAAGAAAGGUGAAUUGUCAAAAAUAGAUAAAACAUUCAACAACAAAGCAUAACAAGAAUGUGCAUAAAAUAAAUUGAAAUAAAAUAUCUAGAAAUGACAAAACAUCAAACUAAAAAAAUAAAAUCACCCUCAACAUGUCUAGAACAAAACAUAAUUGCCAAAUUAAUUUAAUCAUGUGUCAUGCAAUGUCAACUUUAAUCACAUUCAAAUCACUCUACUUAAAUUUUAGCUGUGUACAGAAUAAUUCCAAAUAAAAUAGUUAAACCUGGUAUUUCAACAAAAUAAAAAUUUCAUAAAAUAGUUAAACAUGGUAUUUCAACAAAGUAAAAAUUUUAUAUCUUCCACUAUGAGUCUAGAACAAAACCCAAUUGGCCAAUUGCCUAAACCAUACCCCAAUUAAUACCAGAUUAAUUCAAAAACACAUUGGUCAGGAAUAGAGUAGCUUUCAAUAGCACUUAAAGAUAAAUUUUAUUAGCCUAUUUAGAAGCAUGAUAAAAUCGUAAUAAAAUUCUCACAAUUCAAUUAAGAGUCUACUUUAAAGGAAAAAUAGCAGCAUAAUUAAAUCAUGUAAAGAAGAAUUUUAAGUCGAGCCAAACAUCCCCUGAUUGCAUAAUAAGUCUAAUUCACCAAGUGUAGAAUGAAUGACUUUUUUCUCCCAUUUGGGAAUUAGUUUUUAAUGAAAUAGGUAUCUAAACUUAAUUUCAGGACAUGUAGAGUAAAGAAAAAUAUCAAUUGUACUUAAAGAAAAUGGGAAAUAAUUUAUUUCUAUAAAUUUGGUUUGGUGUCCAAAACAGGACCUAUGUAAAUACCAACUUGGUUCUCCUAUUUGAAAAAUGGUUUUUGGUCAAAUAAAAAUUCAAUUGACAAGUUUAAAAAGUUACAAAAAUGUUCCAAGCAUAGAAAUUUUUUUAUAAAAAACCUAACUCAUUUGUUUCCAAUUUUCCAAAUCAGGGUAAGAAAUUGUUAAAUGGUAGCAUUAAGUUUUUGAGAAUUGAAGAAAUGUAGGGUUCUUACCAAGUCUCUAUUUACUAUACACAGGUUUAAUUCAUGUAUCCUCAACCUCAUAUGAACAUUAAUGAGUUCAUCAAAGCCAAGAGUUAUUCCAUAUUUAUUUGGAUUAUUCACUACAAAAGAAAGGCCUCCAUUGGAUUAUAGUGGGGGUGACACCUUCUUAAGGACUUUUUCUACCAAGGCUGCCAUUGAUAUGAGGAGGUUGGCUUAUAAGGAGAUCACACUACCAUUUUAAAAAGGCAAGAAACCAAGGGCUCUCAAAGACACAGCCACAUAUUGACAGUCCAUAUUCUCGGGAUCAUAGCACGCACAUUCGAGAGACAGCUUUCUUUUCAUGAGGGAGAUUCUUGGGAUUACAUAGUCGACACAUGCCAUAAAAUCUCUACAUGGCCACGACAUAGAGGAGGAGGCACCAUUUUUUUUGUAAGUGAAAAGGGGAUUCACGCUACCAUUAUAAAGAAUAAAAAGGAGCACAUGCAAGGGAUUUCUUAAAAAGAGGAUUCCAUUGACGAUGCACCAACAUUGGAGGAUAUAUAUACGUAGCCUGCACAUCAUUCUAGGGGGAAAAGGAGCCUCUGUCAUCACCAUUACGCGAUAUGGGAGGAGUCCACACAGCCGCUAGGCCAGCUCGCAAAAGAAGCGAUCUUUGAAAAAUCUUGAUGGUGCACAUUCUUGGCCAUAGACACUAAAAAGGAGGGAUCUUCAAAAAAUCUCGACAACACGCAUGCACCAUACCAGGGGGACUCUCCACCAUAAGAAACCAUGCGCAUAAGCUGUUAAAAAGAAAAAAAGACAAGGUAACGAGGAUUCACUUUGAUACAAUAACUGCAAUGUUUGAAAUAUCUCUACAUAAGGUAAGUUUUCAAUGAAGUUCUAAUUAAUUUUUAGUUUGAUAGACUAUAUAUUAUUUAGUUUUCUUUAAAAAUCUCAAGUGAAAGUUUUGAUUAACCUUAAUAGUUGUUAUAUAUUUCUUUGAGACUUUAGUUCUUAAUGUUAUCGAUCCUAAGUUAGUAUAAUUUAAAAAUCCUAAGUGGUAGUUUUGAUUGAUCUUAAUAGUUGUUAUUUAUUUCUUUGAUUCUUUAUGUUCUUAAUGCUAUUGACCCCAUGUUGGUGGUCUUUAAAACCUUAAGUGAUGAUUUUGAUUGAUGUGGAUAGUUCAUGUGUAUUUCUUAAAUUUUUUAGAUUCUUAAUGCAUUUGGUCCCAUGUUGAUAUUCUUUAAAAUCCUUAGAUGAUAUUUGAUAGGUUACUAUUUUUUUUUUAAAAAAAUCUUAAAUGAUAAUUUUGAUUGAUCUUGAUAGUUGAUUUGCAUUUCAUUGAUUCCUAGAUUCUUGACGCUAUUAAUCCAUGUGUUGGAGAGUCAAUCUUCCUAAAUCUUCCAUAUUAAGAAUAGAUGAUCUGUAUAUGUUAGUUUUCCUAUUGCAAUUCCUGACUUAUAGCUGGAUAGCCUAGAAUACAAUAAGUUAAUUCCUAACUUGUAGAAAAAGAUCACAAACCUCCUCGUAUAAAUACACACUUCAGCAUUAAUAAUAUUAUUCAGCCAAUUUCCUCUGUCAUUCAUCUUUUCAUGGUAUCAGAGUAGGACUAUUAUUCAGCCAAUUCCCUCUGUCAUUCAUCUUUUCAUGGUAUCAGAGUAGGACUAAAAUCCUGAUUCAUCACUGCACUCUAAUCUCUCGUGUAGCAUCUUUUUUCUUUAGUCAUCAUGGCAAAAUUAGAGAUUCCUACAGAUUUCUUAAAGGCAGAUCUCUCCAAUCCCUAUUUCACUCACCAUUAAGAUCACCCAGGUUUGGUUUUGAUUUACAAAUCUUUGAAUGGAGACCAUUAUUCAGCUUGGAAAAGGGCUAUGAUUUUAGCUUUAAAUUCCAAGAACAAAUUGGGUUUUGUUAAUGGCUUGAUCAAGACUCCUUAAGAAGAAACUGAUCCUAAAGGUUAUGCGACUUGGUGACUUGGUCACGGUGUAACGACAUGGUUCACUCCUGGAUCGUCAAUACUCUCAAUCCAGAAAUUACGGAUAGUGUAAUCUAUUAUUCUACUGCUCAUGAAGUUUGGGAAGAUCUCCGUGAGCGAUUCUCUCAGAGCAAUGCACCUCACAUCUUUGAAAUUCAGCGAGAUAUUGCUUGUCUUUGACAAGAGCAACUCUCUGUCUCUGCCUAUUACACAAAAUUGAAAGACAUGUGGGAUGAACUAGCUUCCUACAACACUGCAGCACAUGGGGCACAACAAGAUCAACAAAAAUUGAUGCAAUUUUUUAUGGGUUUGAAUGAAUCUUACAGUGCUAUUCGCGGGCAAAUCCUCCAAAUGAAUCCUCUCCCUUCUGUCCGCCAAGCAUACUCCUCUGUCUCUCAAGAAGAUAAGCAACGCCUCCUCACUUCGACGAACGCAGCAGCGAAAUCUGCCGCAAGUGCUGCUAUGGCCGUGCGCAGCAACGACAAGUCUUCGACUUCUUGGAAGAACCGAAUAGAUCGAUCUAACAUAAGAAGGAUGGAACCGACUGAUCGCCCCUCUGGUUCUCAAAAUUUUUAGGUGAAUCGGUCUUCUCAGGGGCAGGAUGGCAGACCAUUUUUUGAUCAAGAUUGGUGCCGCAUGGGUUCUGGAAAAGGAUGCCCCCAGUGCUCGUAUUGUGGAGAUAUGGGUCAUUGGGUCCAAAAGUGUUUUCAACUAUAUGGAUACCCACCAAGCCAUCCUAAAGCAAGAAUGAACUUAGGCUCAAACUCAAAUCGGAAUAAAAGUUUUUCUGCGGCUAACCAAGUUUCUGAGGCAGGUGAAGGAAGACCUGCAGUUGCAUUAUCAGAAGCCCAACUCAAGCAACUUUUGUCACUUCUUAAAAAUCAAGAUGAAAACUCUAGUUCCAAAGCGAAUGCGGUAACAAAGUCAGGUUUGUCCAAAGUCGCUUCCCGCAAUUGGAUUAUUGAUAGUGAGGCGACGGAUCAUAUUACUUCAUCCUCUAAGUUAUUGCAUAAAGAUAAAAAUUGCUCGUUAUCGCCCCGUAUUGUUGCCUAGCGGAUAAAAAGCGAAUAUUGUUACGAAAGGGUCUUUGCCUCUGAAUUUCGUCUAUUAUCUGCAUGAUGUCUUAUCUGUGCCUACAUUCAAAGUUGAUUUAAUAUCAGUUAGUUAUUUGACAAGAGGUCUAAAUUGUUCAGUAACGUUUUUCCCUUAUUGGUGUAUUUUGCAGGAUCUGGCUACGAGGAGGACGAUUGAUUUGGGUAAACAACAUGAUGGACUAUACUAUUUCGUGGCAAUAGCGACGGAGAAAUCUUUGACCAACCAUUUCUCAUCCACAAACCAACCAGCCUGCAAUCUCGCCAUUUCUUCCACUGAUCUCUGGCAUAGUCGCUUAGGCCAUGUAUCACCUUCUUGUUUGAGUUUUAUUGCUAAGAAUUUUUUGAAUUUUUCUGUUCAGUCCAAUAAUGCUUGCCCUAUAUGUCCUUUGGCUAAGCAAAGUCGUUUACCUUUCGGUACUAGUGCUAUUUCUUCUACAAAACCUUUUGAGAUUAUUCAUUGUGACAUUUAAGGUUGUUAUCGACACCCUUCUCUGCUUGGUGCCCAUUACUUUCUCACAAUUGUCGAUGAUUAUACACGUUUCACAUGGAUAUUUUUAAUGCGACAUAAAGAUGAAACACAAUCACUUUUAAAACGUUUUUUCAGCUAUGUGUUCACACAAUUUGAAUUUCGCAUUAAAACUUUUCGAAGUGACAAUGGUGGAGAAUUUACCUCACUUCGUUCUUUUUUUCAAGAUAAUGGUGUCAUCUUUCAGCAUUCUUGUGUUUACACUCCUCAACAAAAUGGGGUAUGGAACGCAAACAUCGUCAUAUUUUACAAGUAGCCCGAGCUUUGAAAUUUCAUGCUCAAGUUCCCACUCAAUUUUAGGGGGGAGUGUGCUCUCACUGCCGUACACAUCAUCAAUUGGUUACCUUCACCAGUAUUGUCUUUAAAACUCCUUUUGAAUUGCUUUACUCAAAACCACCUUCUUACUCUCAUCUCCGUGUUUUCAGAUGUUUAGCCUAUGCCACCAAUGUUCACACCUCUCACAAAUUUGAUUACCGUGUCAUGCCAUCCAUCUUCAUCGGUUAUCCUACUGGUCAGAAAGCAAACAAAUUAUUUGAUUUAUCAACCAAAAAGGUCUUUACUAGCUGAGAUGUCAAAUUUCAUGAAGAUAUUUUCCUUUAUGUCUCUCUCAAGCCCAGCUCUACUAUCCCUUCGUUGACCCAUAAUUCUGGUCCAAUCCCCUUGGUGGCCCACGACAUCUCUUCCUCCCUUGACUCUACUUCUCACGCAUCUUCCCCUCUUAUUUCCAACCACACAAGCACACAGUCUCCCACCACAGAAAAUGAUGACUUUUCCUCUCCUUCUCGACCUUUCAAACUCGUUAUCGAACCUUCUUCUCAGAUCGAUUCAAACCCUCCACCAUCGCCUUCUGCAACUCUAGUAUCGCCUUCUUCGGUGCCAUCGUUUGCAACCAUCCCGUCCGCUCCUCCAACCGAGACACCCAUCUUUUCACUAGAAACACACUCACCCGAACCAGCCGCUCCGCUCUGUCACUCCAGCUGCCAUAUCACCCCGCCAAUCAAGCUCCACGAUUAUGUUUGCUCCCACGUUUUCUCCGAUCAAUCGUCUUCCUCGAUUCCAGGUCUGACUAAAGGUACACAAUAUUUACUGGCCAAUUAUGUUUCUUAUCAUAGAUAUAAGCCUGCAUAUAGAUCUUUUGUUGCUCAACAUAGUGCUGUCACAUAACCCAGGUCUUAUUCGGAAGCCGCCGCUCAUCCUGAGUGGCAAGAGGCAAUGCGUUCCGAAUUGCAAGCUCUCCAAGCUAAUGGCACAUGGUUUCUCACUUCACUUCCGGUCGGCAAGACACCGAUUGGCUGUCGAUGGGUGUAUAUAAUUAAACAUCGUUCAGAUGGGUCUAUUGAGCGUUACAAAGCACGAUUGGUAGCGAAGUGCUUUACUCAAUUAGAAGGUGUCGAUUAUCAGGAUACCUUUUCCCCCACUUCCAAAAUCAUAUAUGUCCGCUGCUUGCUUGCAUUGGCCACAACCCGUGACUGGUCUCUUCAUCAAAUGGAUGUCAACAACGCUUUUCUUCAUGGCGACUUACAUGAGGAAAUAUAUAUGUCUCCGUCACUAGGGCUUUGCCGACAGAGGAAGGAAAACUUGGUAUGUCGCCUUCAUAAAUCACUUUACGGUCUGAAACAAGCUUCUCGCCAGUGGUUCGCCAAGUUCUCAAAAGCUAUUCAAUCUGCCGGUUAUGCAUAAUCUCGAGCCGAUUAUUUUUUGUUCACUAGAAAACAAGGCAAGUCCUUUACUGCCCUCUUGACAUAUGUUGAUGAUAUUCUGAUUAUUGGAAAUGAUCCUGUGAGCAUUGCUACAACAAAAAAAUUUUUGCAUAGUCAUUUUCAUCUCAAAGAUCUAGGUGAUUUAAAAUACUUUCUUGGCAUUGAGGUUUCUGCUUCUAAAAAUGGGAUUUUUAUUUCCCAACGUAAGUAUGCAUUAGGGAUUAUUGAGGAUGCAGGAUUGUUGGGCGCUACCCCCAUUGAUACACCUAUGGAACGAGGAUUGAAAUUGUCUGAUAAGAGCGAUUAGCUCAAGGAUCAAGGUCGUUAUAGGAGAUUGGUUGGAAGGUUAAUAUAUCUAACUCUUUCGAUGUCAGAUAUCACUUAUGCAGUUCAUGUGUUAAGUCGGUUUAUGCAUUAAUCGAGAAAGGCUCAUAUGGAAGCAGCACUCAGAGUUGUGCGUUAUCUCAAGAAUGCACCUGGUCAAGGUCUGUUUUUCUCUUUGAAUAAUGAUUUCCGAUUGAGAGCCUACUGUGAUUCGAAUUGGGCAGGUUGUCCACUUACUAGAAGGUCCACUACAGGCUACUGCGUAUUCCAUGGACCUUCAUUGAUUUCUUGGAGAUCAAAGUGACAGAAAAUAGUGUCACUCUCUUCAGCCAAAGUAGAGUAUCGUGCAAUGAUAGGAGCUUGUUGUGAGUUGACGUGGCUUCGGUACCUUUAGAAAGAUUUGGGUGUUUUACAUCAGGAACCUGUCUUGCUGCAUUAUGACAACAAGGCAGCGUUGCACAUUGCAGCCAACCCUGUUUCCCAUGAGCGUACUAGACAUAUUGAGAUGGAUUGUCACUAUAUUAAGGACAAGAUCCAAGAUGGUUCCAUUAUUGCAAGACAUGUGAGCUCAGCGCACCAACUUGCAGACAUUCUGACCAAACCAUUGGGAAAAGAGAUUUUUGCUCCUAUGAUUUGCAAGUUGGGAGUGCAGGAUAUCCACUCUCCAACUUGAGGGGGAGUGUUGGAAAGUCAAUCUUCCUAAAUCUUCCAUAUUAAGAAUAGAUGAUCUGUAUAUGUUAGUUUCCUAUUGUAAUUCUUGACUUAUAGCUGGAUAGCCUAGAAUAUAAUAAGCUAAUUCCUAACUUGUAGAAAAAGAUCACAAACCUCCCUGUAUAAAUACACACUUCAACAUCAAUAAUAUUAUUCAGCCAAUUCCCUCUGUCAUUCAUCUUUUCACCAUGUUAGUUAAAAAUUUUCUUUAAGCCUUUAAUUUUGAUUCUUGAUGAUCCAUGAUGUUAUCAUUUUUCUUGAAAUCUUUUGUUGUAUGAAAUUCGAGAUUAAUUCAUAUUAGUUAAAAAAAUUAUAUAAGUCUUUAGUUUUGAUUAUUGAUGAUCCAUUAUUAUAUAAUUUUAUUUGAAAUCAUUUGUUCUAUAGAAUUCUUGAUUAAUGCAUGUUGGAUAAAAUUUUUGUUUUAAGUCUUUAGCUUUGAUUCUUGAUGAUCCAUGAUUAUAUAUAUUUUUCUUGAAAUCAUUUGUUGUUUAUAAUUCUUGAUUAAUACUUGUUAGUUUAAAAUUUUAUUUAAGUCUUUAGUUUCGAUUCUUGAUGAUCCAUGAUGUUAUGGAUUUUCUUGAAAUUUUUUGUUGUUUAUUAUUCUUGAUUAAUCCAUGAUAAUUAAAAAAAUUUAUUUAAGUCUUUAGUUUUGAUUCUUGAUGAUUCAUGAUAUUACCAUUUUUAAAAAAAUCUUUUGUUGUUUAUAAUUCUUUAUUAAUCCAUGUUAGUUACAAUUAUUAAUUGUUAUUUUGAUUGGCUCAUUUUGAUUUUUGUUAUCCUUUGAAUUAUUAGUUCUUAGUUUUGAUAAUCUAUGUUAAUUUAUUCAUGUCUCUGAAUUCUUCGUUGUUAAUUCUAACAAUCCAUGUUAGUUUAUAUUUGUCUCUAAAUAAUUAGGUGUCACUUUUAUAUGAUCCAGGUCAGUUUAUAUUGUUCUUUGAAUUAUUAGAAUUUGUGUUAAUGAUCUUAAUGUUCAGCUUGUAUUUCCUUGGAUCUUAAUCUAUUGGUUUAGAUUAAUUUCAUGUCAUUUAUCUUUUUAAAUUUUUGUUAGAUGUUGUUUUAAUGAUCCUAAUAACGUUUAUUAUUUCUUUGAAUCUUAGUUAAUAAUUUGUGAUAGUCACAUGUUAUUAGUUUUGUUUUAAAAGUCAUUGAUACUAGCCCUUGAUUGAUUUUAUCUUAGUUCAUGUGCUUCUUGAAUUCUAGUUGUUAGUUUGUUUGAUCUAGAAGUCAUUAAUUUGUUGCCUUGAUGAUUGUUUGUCAAAUCUUUUUUUGGAGGCCAUAAAAAACUCAUGAAAGUUUGCCUCUACUCUCACCAUAUUGGUUUGGUUAGUUGUCAAAAAUUUCACUUUGUGAUUUUGUUUUCCUUUUAAAUUGCUUGUAUUUGAUCCUUGUGUUUUGUUAUUUGCAAAUUCAAAACUUUUCUUUUAAAUAAAGAAAAUAUUUUUUUAAAAGAUCCCUUUCAAAGCCUAUUUAAAAAAAUUCACUUAGAGCCCUUAGGAUAAAGAAUAUUAUUAUUAUUAUUAUUUAAAUAUGUUAUCAUAUUUCAUUCGAUUUGCAUAUUUCUUUUGGUUUUUAAAAUUCUGCUUUAGAGUGAAACAUGAAUAUAAGUUUAUGAUCCCAAAUAUUUGGGAUAAUUUUUGGCUUUGGUGAGUUUGUCAAUACUCAUGUGAGAUUGGGAAUGCAUAGGCUAGAUUUGUGUAUAACAAUUGGGGACUUGGUGAAACCCCUACAUAGAAUUAUUUUUCAAAAACUUUUUGUUGUCAAGUUAUUUGGUUUGUUGUGUCUUUGAAAUAAAAAUUUGUUUGGAUUUAUUUGUUUCUAGAAAUUUUCCUAUAUUUGUAUGAUGUUGUUGACUUCUUGAACUUGAUUUUAGAACUAAGCAUUUUUCAAAUAGGAGUUAUGAAGUCAUCUUUAGGUAGGUUCAAGUUUCACCCAGUUUUGGACACCUUGGCUACUAUUUUUUUUUAAAAUUAUUAUAUAAUUUUUAAAAAUUAUUUUGAUAUUUUUCCUUGAUUUUAGAUUUCUAAAAUUGAUUUUAGACACAUAAAAUAUUGAGAAAUGUUUUCCAAUUGAAUGAUAUAAUUUUUCGCUUAUUACACCAAGUACACUAUCUUGAUUUUGAAUAAAGGUGUGGUUUGAUUGUUUUUAAAAUUGAUUUGUGUGUACACUUGCCUUGCCAUAAUUUUUCUUGUAAAUUAUACUUUCCAAAUAUAUUGCAUGAUUUUUUUGUAUGAUUUUAUAUCGCUUCUAGGUUGGUUAAAAAAUCGGAUACAUGUUAUUGAAUUUUAUCCUAUUCUGGACCUUCUCAAAUAUUUUUUGUAAACUGGGAUUAAAUGGAGCUUUAUUAAAUUGUUUGAGUAAUUGGAUGAUCAUCUAUACAUGAAGAGGAUGUUCCCUGAAUUUUUUUGUAAUUAAAUUAAUCUUCUAGAUUUUUUUUAGGAUUUGUAUUGUGAAGAGUCAUGUUUUGACUGAAUGUUGGAAUUUCUAUAUAGUUUUUGCUUUAUAUUUUAAUCUAGUAUUAAUUGGUAUAUCAUGACUUGAUCUGGUUUUUGUUUUGUAUUAUAGACAUAAUGAUGAUGUUGUAUGAUUUUUUCUAUGAUAAGAUAUUGCUUCUAGGUAUUUAUUUAGGACUUUUAUUAUUUAUUUAUUUAUUUAUUUAUUUGUUUUUUUUUUGUUUUUUUUUUUGUUUUUUUUUUGUUUUGUUUUGUUUUUUGUUUUUUUUUUUUUUGUUUUUUGUUUUUUUUUUUUUGUUGUAAAUGUCUUUGUUUUGAGUAUUUGCUAAGUGUUUAAAAUAAGUUAUCCAUUUUUCCUUCUUUAGUUCACUUUUAAAUUAAUAAAACUUUAGUUAUGUGUUGUGAACAUGUCAUACAGGAUAAAUAAGCUUUUAUUUAAGUCUUAGGAUCACUUUUGGUAUUUUAUGUGGUUUCAUUCUGUAAUUGUUUGUUUGUUGGAAAUAUAAGCCUUGGUGUUGUAUAUUAUUCAAAUUUCCUAUCUCUUAAUUUGAGUUGUACAUAUAUUAUGUAGUAUAUGGGCUUCUGAUCAUGUUAUUCUUCUAUUUAUUAUUACCAUUUGUAAGUUAACCCUCUUUAGCUCUAUGGAAGCACCUUGUAAGUUGUUUAUGCUAUCUAGGUACAUUCCUCACCUUCUUAGCUUUUUAAUUUUAUAAAUAUACUUACUUUGUAUGUUUUAUUAUUGCUUGGUUUUCUUGAAUGGGAUAAAAUACUUACUAUAUUGUUUGAAUUAACCUUAAUAUUUUCAUGAAAUCGCAUUGGGUUGCAGUUCAGGUAUGUUUAUACUCCUAUCCUCUAUGUUUGGUUGCUCUAGCAUUAUUUUUUGGAUAUGAAUAGUAUCUUGCUAGGCUUUAGAUUUAAUCACCUUUGUUAUCUUUUGGUAUCCUAUGAUUUAUUAAUUAAUUGUCAAGCUUAACUCAAUCUAAUGAAUAGAAACUUGUUUUCAAGGCAUAGAGGGGUGCUACCUUUAUAGUACCUUCUCAGUAGGUAACUUGACCUUUGGACCUUAACUCGAGUUUUCAAAGAUACGCUUUUCAAAAAAUAAGGAGUUAUUCUUAAGCUUUUUGUUUAUCAUUUUAUUUUUCCUUUAAAAAAUAAAUAAAAAUAAGGGGUGACUCUAAUUUUAUAAAAAUCAAAUUUUCAAUAAGAAAAUGAGUCUUACUGUCAAGUGGGAAUGCACGUGAAAAAUGCAAGUCCAUGGGUCCAUUCACUAUAUGUUCAUUUGCAAUAAUUUCAUUAUGGAAAAUUUGAUCAUUCAUUUAUUGUUCUUGCAAGUUGUCAAACUAUUCAACAACUGUAGGAAUAACAACUUGAGAAGAAGUUAUAGCUAAGAAACCAACACCCUAACUUCUUAGAUGUUCACUUUACAUGGUUCCACACUCCCACUAAUGUCGCCAUUUUCUAUGAACUUAGCAUUUCCAAUUUCAACAAUUCUUGUACUAUGGCCAAGACAAUAAAAUAUAUACCCUUUAGAUUUUUUUGGAUAACCACUGAAGAAGCCAUUGGUUGUUCUUGAGUCAAGAUUCUUUUCAUGUGGAUUAUAAAUCCUUAAUUUCGUCAGAUAACCCUAAACAUGCAAGUGCCUUAAAUUGGGUUUCCUUCUCAUCCACAGUUCAAAAGAGGUUUUUGAAACUGCUUUACUAGGAACCUUGUUUAAUAAAUACAUGGCGGUUUUCAAGGCAUGCAUCCACAAAGAUAAGGGUAAAGAAAUAGCUCAACAUACUCUUAACCAUGUCCAUUAGAAUACAAUUACGCCUUUUUACAAUACCAUUUUGUUGCGGUGUACCUAGCAUUGUUUAUUAAGCACAUAUGCCAUGCUUUUCAAGGAAUUUAGAAAAUGAAUCAGGGCAUUGUCCAGUUUCAUAAUGCUUUCCAUAAUAUUCACUACCUAUAUCAGACAUGACAAAUUUCAUUUUUCUAUCUAGCUGUCUUUCAACCUCAUAAAUAAACACCUUUAAAGCAUUUAUUGACUGAGAUUUUUCAUGCAACAAAUAAACAUAGUUGUAACGUGAAAAAUCAUCAAUAAAGGUGAUAAAAUACUUUUCUCCAUCGAAAGCUAAAAUAUUAAAAGGUUCACAUAUAUCGGUAGGUAUAAGUUCAAGGAGUUGUGUGCUUCUUGUAGUUGUUUUCAUAAUUGUGGGUUUUAUGUGUUUUCCUUUAAUAAAAUCUACACGCUUAUGCCAAGAUCAAUAAAAUUUAAAUUAUGAAGGAUUUUAUUCUUUACCAAUCUCAAUAUUCUUUCUUUGGAUAUGUGACCUAAGUGUUUAUACAAUAAGUAAGUUGAACGUUCAUCAAUUAAACUAUGUUUAGUACCAACAUUAUAAUGCAAGGUUAACAAUCUCAGCAAAAAGGUUAUCAAGUUUUAAUUUGUACAAACCAUCACAUAGAACACCAAAACCAAUGAAAUGAUUAUGUUUAAACAAAUUGAAACAUCCAUUCCCAAAUUUAAAUGAGUAUCCAACUGUAUCAAGUUUAGAUAAAGAAACUAAAUUUCUAGAAAUAAAAGGAAGAUAAUAGUUUGAAAAAAAAAUCUAAAUGAUGUCCAGUAUCUAAAUUCAAACAAUAGGUUCCAAUGGCUUUAAUUGGAGCUUUGACUCAAUUUCUCAUGAAGACAAAUUUUUCAUUUGGAUUUAUGGUUUGGGUCAUAAGGAAUCCCUGCAUUGUAUUAGAAACAUGAGUGGUACAACCAUAAUCAAUCUACCAAGUAUUAUAAGGAACUUCUACCUUGAUUAAAAAUAUACGAAAGCACUAGACUUACCUUUCUUUUUUAACCAUGUCUUACUUUUCAGUCAGUCUUUAUGAUAGUCUCUAAGUUUUUUUUUUUUUCAUAGACAUAACACUUAUCAUUCUUGUGUUCCUUCUUAUGGAUUUUUCUAGAUGACAUAUUAACCUUAUGUGGUCCUUACUUGCCCUUCCCAUUCUACCUUCCAGGUUUUACUCUAGCUCUUUUCUGACCCAUGAGAUUAAUUGAAUAAUUUCCUUAUUUCUUGAACCUAACCUUAUCUUGAAUGAGCAUAUUAUGUAAUUCAUGCACAUUCCACUUAUCCUUAAUGGUAUUAUAGCCCAUUUGGAAUGAGGCAUAUUGAGAAGGCAAAGAGUUUAUAAUGAGCUUCACGUACAAGGAAGUUUUCAUUCAUUUCCAUUCCCAUGGAUUUUAGUUUUGUUGCUAUAUUUGUCAUCUCUGUUACAUACAUGAAUCAUCAAACUUCAUGAUGGUUAAUGUCCCAACUGAAGACUUAUCAAUAAAGUCAUAUUAGGACCGUUCUUCCACAAAUUUCAUAUAUUCCUUUGCACUUUCAGUCUUAGGAACUGUAGACUUAAUGUUGUUUGCUACUGUCAUUCACAUAAACAUCAUGCUUAUUCUGUUUGAUUUUUCCCAAGCCUUAUGAAAAGACCUUUAUUCUAUGUUGCCCGAAUCAGUAAUAGCAGGAGGCUUAUCAGUUAGAAGUGUCAAAUCAAGAUCCAAAGCACCUAGGUGAAAUUUGACUUGUUCACACCACUUAGAGAAAUUAAGCCCUUCAAAAUAGACAAAGCUUGCAAAUGAAAAGAAACAAAAGUAGAUAUUGCAAACAUAUAGAACGCUCAUACAUUAAUGCUUUGAGUCAUAAACUUAAACCCAUAAUAGGGAUUUAGAUAUUAACAUUAACAUAAACAAUAAAUGUACAUUGAAGUUCUCCUUUGGGUGAUCUAUCAAUGUACAACAAUAAACAUAAUUGAUGCUUAAUUUUAAUUUCACAUAAUUGGUAAUUAUAUGUACUCCAACUUGACAUGUUUGUUAUCUUUGGAUAUAUUAAACAUAUCAAAAUAAGGUAUAUCAAUUAACCACAAUCAUUUUCAUAGAUAUAAAAUUAAUUAAUCAACCUUUGGGUGGUCCUUAAAUAUUUUAUAAUAAAUUAACUUGAAUAUACUCAUGACAAAAAUAUAUACAUAUCAUUAUGUCAUCUCAUAUAUAGCAGCAUCACAUAACCAUGAGGAAUUGAAUUUUAUUUAAUUUGAUAUUUAUGAAAAACUUUCUAAUUUGGUCGGUGACUAACAAAUUAUUCAUACUAUGGAUAACAAAUUAGGUAACAAUAUUUCACAAUUUGAUAGACAUCAAACUUUAAUGUUUAGCUACUUAGGUGACUAACAAACCAUUAUAAUAUGUCGUAGUCAAAUUAUAUAAUAAUGGAAUACUUCAACAUAUAACUUUUACAAGAUAAAACUCUCUUCCAUGAGAUGCUUAUCAUUCUAUAAUUCUUACAUACAUGCAUCAAUAAAUGGAUUUUGUUAAAAUUAUCACAUACAAUCAUAAAUAAGGAUUCAUGAAAUAUAUAUAUAUAUAUAUAUAUUCAUUCAUUCAUUAGUGAUGAGCAAAUAAAAAUCAUUCACAUAUAUUUAUGAUACAAAAAUACAUAUAAAGAAUAACAUAUCAACAAAAUUGAUUGAGCAAAAGUCAGUUUAGUAAACUUGAUGAACCUUUUCACUAAAAUAUAUCAAUAAUCAAUGUAUGAGUUAAAGAAAUUGGUAGACCCGAUAUUGAAUGCCAAAACUUUAUAUUCUCCAUUACAUAUUCAUACCAAUUUUGAAUAUAUAGUUCAUUAAGAAUGUUGCAAGGAAAGAUAAAACAAAUCCAGAAUAUUCAAAAACUCAAUAAGAAACCCAUCUAAUAAAGAUAGUAAAUAAAAACUUCAAGGCAUUGUAAUGAUUUUAGAAAGAAAUUGACUACAAAAUACCAACAAAAUCUUUUCAUUACAGCAAAAAACGUAAUCAAUAAACUUAAUUCUUUUGUCAAAAUUUGAUAUCAUAAGUAGGGAUGGCAAUUUUCUGGGCUAAUCGGGUAACCAGCUCCGCCCCGUCCCUAUUGGGACGGGUAUAAAAUAUAAUAAACGGGUAUAAGUCGGGUAUGGGAAUAUUUUAAAAACCUGAAUCUGGUUUGGAACAGGUAUGGAUUUUGUUCCAACCGCCCCGCCUCACCCCGAAUAUACAUUUACAAAAUUACCCUUCAACAACUACUAAAAUGUCAAAAAACUCCCCAUAUAUAUAUACUUCAUUCUUCCCCAUUUGCCCUAAUUCUUACCCUAAUUCUGACGGUCGCUCCUCCUCCUUCUUCUUCCUUUGAUACAGUGGUCUUUCAUUCUUCCCAGCCCCAAUUCCGACAGCCGCUUCUUUUUCUUCCCCACAUCCGCUUCUUCUUCUUCUUCCUUUGAUGCACUGCUUGAAACCCUAUCUCCAAGAUCAAUACUACUUUUUCUUCCUCCCUCACACCAACUAAAAUACUCUGAAAUCAAUUCCAUCAUGUUCUUGGUUUAGUCUCAGAGCCCAAAACCUCUUUUUUGUGACAUGAAACUAGUCACAGACUUCGAUCUCCCUACCCUAAAUAUGUGCAACACAAUUAUCUAGAGCAUCUUGAAGUCUUUGUCCGAGGGCACACACACAAAAGGAACGCGAAAGCCUUUGAAGUAGUGGAUUUGAUGAAGUCUUGGUUCAAAGAUUGGCUUGAAGAGGGAAUCAUAUCCAUGGCUGAUAUUGACCCAUUUUCUCGUUUGGUUCAGUUUUCAUUCUGUUCUCUUGAAAAUGGUUCAAAUGGUUUUUUUUUUUUUUUUUUUUUUUUUUGUGUUUUGCAUUAAUUUUGAAUCAUUUAAGCUAACUAUGGGCUUAAAAUUAUUGAUUGUUGUGGUGUUAAUUUCAAUUUUGAUAUUAUUUUUUCAUAUUUGGUAUAUUAUCAUAAUCAAUGAAAGGAAAGUGUAUUUAGGUAUGAGAUUUGCUCAUUGCUAGUUAGGGUUACGGCUAAUGGACAUUCGGGACGGGGCGGGGAUGGGGUUAUUAAUUCUUUUGUUAACAGGAAUGGGAACCAAUCAACCUGCCCCGACACGGGUUUGUGCUGGGGAUGGGAAAUAAUAGUAUAAUCAGGUGCAGGAAUGGGAUGGGAAUGACCCAUCCCAAACCCGCCCCGUUGCCAUUCCUAAUCAUAAGAGAGAAACAUAUAAUAACCCUUUUAGAGGAAAAUCAUGAGUUCCUAAACCAUGUGCUUUGAUACCACAUGUUAGGGUUUCUUUAAUUUAUGCAAAACAGUCAUAACCCUAAUUCCUACAAAACACUUGUAACUCUAAUUCCCAAAUCUUAAAACUUUGUGAUUUUUACAAAUAAAAUAAAUAAUCAAGAAAACAUACCUUGAUCCAUGAGAUUGAUCUUGAAGAGAAAUUCAUUGCAGAGAAGAACAAAUUAGAGAAAACUUGGUUUCUCUCUUGAUCCCUUUAGUUUGACAUACCUUUCUUGAUGAAGAGAAAGCUAUAUAUAUAAUGGGUAGAGAGAUGGCCAAAUCUAAAUAGUCCCCUAUCACGUUCAAACGGUGAAUGGUUAUUUAGAAAACAUAUCCUCAAUUGACCAAUAGGAUUUUAGCACUUAAUAUUAUUAACCAUAAUUAUCUUUUAAAUUACAUAAAAGGUAAUUAAUAAGCCCACAAUAAUUAUCUUUUAAAUUAAAUAAAAGAUAAUUAAUAACAAAAUAAUCCAUGUGCACAACAUUAAAAAAAAAACAUGUACAUGAAAUAAAGAUUUUAUAAAAUUUAUUUUCUUAAUAUCAUAUAAAAAUUAAUUUAUUUAUAUCUUCAUCAUAAAUAGAAUUUGAUAUGAAUAUACAUGUAAAAGUCACUUCCUCAUUAAACUGGCUUCAUACAUGUACAAACUUUUCCAUAUCCCAUUCAAACCAAAUAUUGCAUCUCAUUAAUGUUAAUAUUUCUCAAUGAUAAAAAUUUGGAUAGUUGGAUUUUAUGGAAAUAUCGUAAAUAUUGAUGAAAAUUAUGAUAAAAAUACUAACAAGACAAAAAUUGAUAAAAUUUCAUAAAAAUAUUAAUUCUUUUCAAAUCAUAAAAUAAAAACUAAUACAAAUAUUGAAGUUAUUUUGUUGAAAAAAUAAUAUUUAAUGCUAAAAUAAUGAUUCAUUUAAUUUAAAUAUAUUCAAAAAUAUAAAAAAAAUCAAUAUAUAUAAUUGGUAAAUAUUAUUCUAUUUGUCAAUUAAAUUUGCUAUGGGUUUUCGACUCAUGAAUCAAUAAGUACAAUAAUAAAUAAUGAACUAUUGCAUACACCAUCCUUUUUUUCUAGGUUAAGCAAGCACAAACAUGCAUAUAUAAAAACCCACUUUCAAAGGUGCCUUUAUCCCCUUAAUCUUAGAAUAAAAUUUCCUAUACUGCCUCCACAUAUAUAGAAAAGAAAAUUUUACAGUUUGUUUAGACAAUAAGAAGUUCAUCACAAGUUUCAUAAGAAAAGAAAGAAUUUACAAAAUUACAAUAAUCAUGACGAAAAACAUAGGCUAACUGUUUUACAUAUAAUUAUCUUCUUCCAUUUUGAGGGUAAGAAAUAGUCAGCAAAAAAAAAUUACCAAUUGGCAAUAUAUGUCAACUAUUUAACAAAAUCAAUGGCCAAUAUUUUCAAACAAAAAUAUUGCAAUGAAUGGGUGGUUUUUUCAUCGUUUUUAGCCAAUUAAUUAACAACUUCUAAUUUCAUCUUUUAAACUCUUUUUAUUAUACCAUCUCUAAUCCCUAAAGUGAGUCCUUACUACAUCUAGUAUUCUUGUGUAAAAUUGAUCAACUUUUAAUUAUUAUUAAUAUAACUUGUAGCUACCCACCCUAAAAGGGGUCACUAGGAGAAAAUGAACCCACUCAAGGUUGAAAUCUAAAGUGGAAUCAACAUCUUAGUAGAUAAAUAUAAAGCAUGAAAAAAAUAGAAGAUAACCAAGUGAUGCUAAUAGAACAAUAACUUGAUGUAACGAUAAUGAAAAUGAAGGUUUACAAGAAAAGCCAUAUGGCUGAGAGCAACUAAAUUGAAGCUAAAAUAUAUAAAGCAAUGGAUUAUACAUCCUAUAAAUCUAAUAAGAAAAAACAUUCAAGCUAGGUGCCUAGUGACUCUCUCUCCAAAGUUGAUCCUACCUUUUGAAGGUGCACACAAAAAUGCUUACUUGAAUACUAUUUAAAUCUAUAAGGUGAACAUAAAGUCUAUUGCCACAAUAUAUAUGUGUUAGGAAGAUUAAUCUAAGAUAAAAACAAUUUUAAAACAUAUCAUAUAAUAAUUUUGGUGUAUAGAAACUAGCAUAGCAUAAUCAUAUUAGUAUUUGAAGAUGUAAUUAAAACAUGCAAUCACAGGUUUGGAAAUAUCUAUGGUCAAUCCAUUGGUUAUAAAUUAGCUUACUACUCAUGACCACCAUAGAUCACCACAUUCGUUAAGGCCUCACUAUCUUAGAUUACAAUACAAAGGAGCUCGUCUUCUGUUCAUCUUAUUAGGAGCACAACAAAGCAUACUCUGCCACUUUAGGCUCUACCCCCUAACGUGACAUCAAAAUCCAUAGUUUCACUUUAUAAUUGAUCCCCACCUAGCCACAUAAGUGGUAUGGAAUUCCAAAAAAAAUAUUGUACAAAACACUUAGUGGGUAUAUGUGUUAUCAUACCCAUCGUAUAUCAUUGCCCAAAAGCCCAACGGCUUGUUCAAAUUAUGAUAGGGUAUGUAAUUUCAUCAAUUGUAAACAUAAGUUUUUAAUAAUUACUUGAAGAUAAAGUAAUAUUUAUUUUGCAAACUUAAUAUAAAUCAUGUACAAUUGACCAAAUAAUAAUUCAACAUAUAUCCGAUGUCAUUAGUAACACUAAGCAAGUAGUGUAUACAUAUGCAAGACAUAUAUAUUUUAAGAAAAAUGAGUAAAAUCAUGUCUAUCGUAACUAAUCACAAAAAUCUAAAGCAAUUAAAACUAUCACAAAGCUCAUAAUAUGAUGACUCUACAAACUCUAGGUUCUUGCUUGACAAAAGAAAAUUUAAGUGGACUUAGAGAUUUGGAAAUUUCAUCCUACAAGCCUACUCUCACACAAACAACACCUUAUAUAGAAAGAUACAAAAUCUUUAAAAAUAAGAAUCUAGAUAAACAGAGUUCAAUUCGAGUGAGACUCAAGCCAAUGAGCACAUUGAUGAGUCUAGGUACCUUGAAGAUUGAUAAAUUAGUUAAAUGAUUACCAAAAGACAACCAAUUAAGCCUUAACAACUUGGCCCAUGUGCUAGCAUCUCAUUUGUGCUUGUGCCAUUUUUUGAAGGUUCUUAAUCUUGUUAUGAGAUUUUUCAAUCAAAUGGAUUCAAUAACAAUCUCACUCCUUGUCAAUUCCAUAACAAAACUUAAACACACAUUCCCAACCUUUACUAGCAUGUAUACAUUAGUCUAAAAAAAUUCAAAGCACAAAUUUCCAAUGAUUUCCCCCACUAUAUAAGUGAAUCUCUACCAAGCACUCAUUUUCUCACUCUGACAUCAACUUCCCCUAUCUUUAUUUUUUUCCUACUUUUUGAGGCCACACUUCAAAGGUGAAGGUGCAAAACUUUAUGAAAACUUGAUGAAACCAAAAACGUUUUUGUGAGUAUAGUUGAGAAUUAACUCAAGGCUUUUAUCAUUUUUAGUUUUCCAAUUAUAUUUUUCUAUCUUUUUUGGACGGUGGACGAUGUACAUAAGUUUUAACUAUGGUUAAGAAUUAAAUCAGAGCUUCAUCAUCACCUUUUCAAGGAGUUAUAUAACCUCAUAUAUUCAAGGAAAUACUCUUGGUACUUAUAAAAACAGUUUUAGUCAGUCAUGGUAAAAGCUCAGUUAAUCCGAGACUGACUAUUGAAAGUAUGUGUCAUAAAUAUGCCUUCAUUGUAACAAAAAUUAGUGUUCUUGAAAAAUUAAUGCUUUACAUAAAUGACAAAUAUUCAAACUUAGUGUGCAAUUCCUUAUGAUGGCUGAGGGGUUACUCCAUCACACAUAAACUCAUAGAUUUUAUGAGAUAUUCAAAUUUGAUUGAAUCCAAAGGCUUUUAAAAAUGUAUGACAUUUAAUUUUCAAUACAAAUAUAUUCUAUUUUCACUAUGACAUUUUUCAACAAGCUCCCUAAUAUAGUGAAAUCGAAUGUUCAUGUGCUUAGUCCUACAAUGCAUCACUAGGUUAUUUGGAGCAUUUAUUGCACAAGUAUUAUCACACAAGAUGAACACAGUAUUGCAUUUGAUUCCAAAAUCUUCUACCAUCUGUUCAAUCCAGUUCAUUGAGUACAAUAACUACCUAUACUAUUCAACUUACAUAUUGGAUAAGUGGAUAUAAUUCUACCUUUUUAUCAUCCAAGCAACGAAGCUACUCCAAAUAUAAAAUCAACCUCUUGUAAUGUUGUAUAAUACAAGAAACCUAGAGUAGUAUUGUUAGUACAUCAUAACCCUAAAUUGAAACAUCUAGCAAUAUAUUUGAUGAUCAUUUUUACUGUUGGAAGAAUAGAUUCUGUUGGGCUUGAUUGAUAGCUAGUACAUAAAUCUACACUACGUGCUGUCUAGCUUACUAGAUGUAAGAUAUAAGAGAUGUCCAAUCUUACUUCUGUAUGUAGAUUAAUCAAUCUCCUUACUUUAUUCAUCCUUUGAAAGCUCAACCCUUGUUCCCACAAAGGUCCUCUCAUGUCUAAGCUUAUUCCAAGAAAAACUCUUUACCAACUCUUUAGCGUACUUGAUUUGGAUAUUAAGAUUCCAUUUUUAAUUUGUCUUAUUUGCAGUCCAAGAAUAUAAGAUAGCUUUUUCAUCACGCUCAUCUCAAAUUUUGUGCUAUUUUCUUAAUAAAUUAUGUGCUUUCAUCCUUUGAUAUGAACUAAAUAUGAUGUCAUCAAGAUAUACUUGGACUACUACAAAGCCAUGCAGCAUCCUCUCUCCUUAGAAACAAAGCCCUAUGAAAUGUAUGUCAAAUAAGGGACCAUGUCUUGCUACAAGUACAAUAUAUCUAAUUUUUUAGAAUUCAAUUACUAAUGAGUAAUGAGAACAAAAGAAAAAAAAAUCCUAAAUUUUAUAACUACAGAAGAUAUACAUAUUAUAUUAAAUUAAAAUUAAAAUAUAAAUUGAAUAUUAUAAUUAUAUAAAAAGAUGUGAAAACAAAUAAUAUUGAAAAUGUUUAAUAUGAUAUUUGAAUACAUGUCAAACAACAUAUUUUUAUGAAAUGGCAAAAGAGAAAAUCUGUUUUUGUAAAGAUAUCAAAGUCUCCUAUUUUAGACAUUGAAGAAGGUGGCAUCAUGUGCUGCGAGCAUAGUGUCACAGGAUGAUUCAAAUGACCCUCCCCAUGGGCUUAUAUAGGAGGAGGGAAGCUUCUGGAGACUCCUGGAGCCAUCUACACUAAGCCAUUGGUGGGAAGAGUGUGGAAGGUUCUAGAAAUGCCUAGAGAUGUCCACACAUCUCUACACUAUGGUGGAAGGCAUGGGAGGAGUCCAAGGCUUUCUAGAGACUUCUAGGAAUCUCUUAUAUAUUCUUGUACAUAGGGUUGUACAUAGAAUAGGGUAGGAUGUUCUAGAAUAUUCUUGAUUUGUAAGGAAUCCUCCAAGGUUCUAGACAGUUCCCUUAGUGCCUAUAAAUAGGUGAGGGCCUCAUUUGGCCAAGGCACCACCCAAAUCACUUCCUAACCAAACAAGUGAGCAUCCAAGCACUUGUAAAGGCUUUCUUGAGUUAAUAAGAGCUUCCAUUCUUUAAGGAGUUGCCUACUAAGCUCUUAAGCUUUCGAGUCGCGAGUGUCUUAACCGAGUAAGCUAAGCAUUGGGGAUCAAGGCUGACUUAGCAAGAUCAAGCGUCUUGACUUGCCUAAGUGCCGCACGAGCUUAGUGAACGACUAAGUCCGUGACAAUAGACUCUUUUGUAUAUAGUUUGUGAUAAAAGCUUGUCGGGCAUUUACUACCCAUUUAUUUUGGCCCGUGCUGCGAGCAUAGGUUCUUUUGUAUACAGUUUGUGAUAAAAGCUUGUCGGGCAUUUACUACCCAUUUAUAUUGGCCCUGUUCUAUGGACCUCCUACUCUGCAGUAUUGGCGAAAAUGGCAAGACAUCUCUUCUUUUCAAAUAAAGAGGCAUGCACCUAGUAUAUUUUUUGAGCUUAAUGUGAGUUGUCAUCCAAAUCAGGAUUCAUGAGAAAGGGAAUUUAUGUUAGUCUACUACAAUGUGAAUAAUGUCUAAGUCUAGGCGACAUGACAAGUAUACUCUUCUACUGAAUGAGAAUGAAAAUAGGAAUCUAUACGUCUAUGUCUGGGUGACACGAUAAGUAUAUUUCUAUCGAAUGAUAAUAGGUAUGAGAAUCUAAAUUUAUAAUGUAAACAACUCUGAGUCUGGAUGAUAUGACAAGUAUAUUUCUAUGGAAUGAGAAUCUAAGUCUACAAUGUGAACAACAUCAAAGUCUCGGUGACAUAACAAGUAUAUUUCUAUGGAAUGAGAAUCUAAGUCUACAAUGUGAACAACAUCAAAGUCUCGGUGACAUAACAAGUAUAUUUCUAUGGAAUGAGAAUCUAAGUCUACAAUGUGAACAACAUCAAAGUCUCGGUGACAUAACAAGUAUAUUUCUAUGACUAGAAUUGUUUUGGAAACUUUUGCAAAAUUUCAAGAGGACCAUCAGGGAGGGGCAAGCAAGAAAACCAAGUUCAUGCUCCCAAGGCUACAGGCCGACUUUUUAUUAAUCCUAAAGAAGUAGCAAAGGAGAGUUGAAUGCCAUUUGUACACAAGAUGACUGAGUCAUGAAUUACAAGAUCAUGUGGAGAGGCAGACCUAACAAACAAGUUGACUGGGUCAUGAAUUAAUUCUAACAUCAUGCGGAUAGAUUCCUAACUUAUAAAUAUUUGCCAAACAAGAAAUUAUUUGGUUUGGUUUAGUUGGUUGUUUAUUAGCCCAGAUUGUUUUACCCCAUCAACCUUGGUUGCAACUAAAGAUUUCAAAAUAUUCCUUGCACAAAGUGGUUACGGUUCCUUCAGAGAUAAGGGUAGACUUUCAUGUAAUGGUAACUGUGAAUGAGCAAAUAGUCAUCAAAUCCCCAUGCAUGGAGGCAUCCAAAGGAGUGGCAUCGUAGAGCACCGGCAUAACCUGAUCUGGCAAAUCAUGGGUCUAUAAUUCUACCCUCCUAACAAGAAAUUCUAUAUUGACUGAGUGUUCAAUCCAACAUAACUACAUUAAGGUGCAUGUUUGGAGGUCAAAAUUUGGACGUCUAUAAAAUGGGUACUUCACAAAUAAGUCAUUGAACUCAAAGUCGUAUAAAAUAUAUAAAGGAAUGUUUCUCCUUCAUUCAAGGCAUUUCUAAGAUCUGGAAAUGAGUUAUAAUAGUCUAGAUGAUAUGUAAGUGAGUAUUUAUUAAGUACAAGAUAUUAAAACCAAAAAAAAAAAAACAAACAAAAAGGAAAAAGAGCCAUACAAUACCCAUGUAAUAUUUAUUUCAUCAAUACUUAGAAAAUACAAACUUAAGUAGAUAGGUUAAAUAAAAGAAACAUCUCUUCUUUAAAGUGCUCUCUAAUCAUGGCCAACUAUCACGGACUUAGUCUUUUCCUAAGCUCGUGCGAUACUUAGAUAAGUCAAAAGUCAAGACCCUUGAUCUUGCUAAGUCAGCCUUACUUCUGAUGCUUAGUUUUUUAGGUUAAGAUGCACUCAACUUAGAAGCUUUAGAGGGCAUAGUAGGCAACACUUAAAGAAUGGAAGCUUUAUUACUCAAAUGAAGCUUUAAAAGUACUUUGGAACUCACUUUGCUUGGUUAGAAAGUGAUUUAGGCAGUGCCUUGGCCAAAUGAAAGUCUCACAUAUUAAUUAUAGGCACUUUAGGAAGUUUUUGGAACCUUGGAGAGUUCCUUACAACUCAAAAAUGAUCUAGAAUAUCCUACACAAUUCUAUGCACAAGCCUAGGUACAAUAAUAUAUAAGAGAUCCCUAAAAUUUUCUAGAAAGCUUUGGACUCCUCUCAUGCCCUCCAUCAUAGUGUAGAGAUAUAUUAACAUCUCUAGAACCUUAUACACUUUUCCCACUAAUGACUUAGUGUAGAUGGCUCAAGGAGCCUCCAGAAACUUCCUGUUCUCCAUAUAACUCCCGUGAAGAGGGUCAUUUGAAGCAUCUUGUGACAAAACACUCUCCAGAGAAGUCCCAAAAGUAAAGGCAAGCACAAUUUUAUUAGGCAAGGAAUGUGAUCACUUAGCAUUUCACAUCACAGCUUUUCUUCUUUGGUCUGGUACUUGACGUUGAAGCAGUUGACGCCAUUGUAAACACCAUCAUCCAUGUUGUAAAUAACAUUUUUCCCAUCGGUCAAAGUGUCGCGCUGAGAGUAGUAGAAAGGAACAUCGCACGAACCCUUAGUUUCUACCAUGCUCACGGUCACCCUAGUCAUUUCCGGCACAGUAACAUUGUACUCAGUCUCCACUACAGUAGUCACUGAUUCAGUUUCUCCCCACUCCUAUGUACAGCUAAACUCGAACGAAAUUUCUAACUUGCCGUCAGCGAUGAAUGGAACGCCGCUUUCUAUAGUGAUUUGGACACCCAACUUCAAUGAGACACUGCCGUUCCAAGUACGGCUCUUAGUCUCUGUAUACGAGAGCUUCACCUGUUGAGUGUGGGGUUCUUGGGUCAUGUUAAUGGCGUCUCCGGUAGUCAUCACGAUGACCCUCUGGUCGUAGAUCCUAGCGUCCAUGAGGCGAAAAUUGACAUUAUAGAUGUUUCUUGAUAAAACAAGCUCUCUCACCUCCAGGCGUGCCUCCCUGGAAAUUGUGGAGACUCGACAUUGAGACAGCUGGUCUUGCCCUCAGUACUGAGUCUAUUACAGAAAUUGUUGUUACCAAAGUUGCGGAGAGCGACCACAUUUUUGUCAACUCUAACGGGCCAAAACAAAGUAUCCGAGUUGUUGUUGGUGGAAUCAUCUGAGUCAGCCCAUAUCCAGUAAGGGCUGCGCCUCCACAAUCUGACUUUAUGAGGACGCUUCCAUCGUGAGUGGUGAAGACCUCGUUCCCCACAGUCGGGUCUCCAAUGUCACUUGAUGCAAACUCCAGAUAUGGGUGUCCCUCGAUCGCCCGGGUUCUGAGGUAGUAGCCAUUAUCGCCCUUGAAGGCGAUAUGUUUUGGCAAUAUCAAUAGUGAUUCCCAAUCAAUGAUUGUACAGACAUCGCAGAGGUCCUUGUCAGGCGAGGCUUAUCCUGCAAACAAACAAGAACCAUAAGGAGGUGGAAGCCUCCAUAAGCAUGCAUAGUGUUCGAGCUGGACGUGGCACAAUCAGAGUGUUUGAGCAUCGCCAUCUACGUACACAGGCUCGAACAAGGUACAUGAUCAUGACGAUUGGUCUUCAUCUGGUUCGUCGGCCCCAGCAACAAUCCACCAGUGGUUCUUGGACCACCUUACCCAGUAUUUGUUGUUGUAACAGCAUCUUAUGUGCACUAGUCCCUUACCAUUCUUUGCCCUCUCCACUUGGUACUUUGAGUAGGGGAUCACACAAUCUCCUCUCUCGAGAAUUGGAGAAAUCCAUGAAUCUGCACAUCUUCAUGUACGUACCGCAAGUACUUCUUGUUAUAUUUUGAUUUCAGCACCACAUACCUUGGUAAUGCCAUUCCUCUCUAAUCACUUCUAUUGCUUCUCACUUCUCACUCCUCCCUGCACUUUUCUUCUCCAAACUCUAACCUUAUUUAUAAGGGGAAAAAACUCUAUUUAAAUGUAAGAGCAAGGAAUUUUGAUUAUGUUCAAUGGAGCGUUCAAAAAGCAACAGGCCCAUCAUUAAUUUGGUAGGGAUCUUGUAUUAAAAUACUGAUUAAGUGGUCUGCACUUUUCAUCAGUAAGCAUGAAUCAAUGAAUAUCGGUUCAUUGCUUUGUAAGCGUGCUUAAAAUCACCAUUACAGGCAAUGACUUACUCUAAUGGAGUAACAUUCUGGACAUCCAAACAUUCUCAUAACUAGUUCUUGGUAUGAUUUUCACUUGCAGAUUGAUGUAAAUGCAAGUGGACAGGCAGUUGUAUGUCAACAUUGAUAGGGGCCUUAGCAUGCCCCAACAGUUUUUGUCAAGGCUAGUCCUGCUUGUCUUUCAAAUCCGGGUUAUUCUCUUAAACUGACUGAGUUGAGAAAAAAAAAAAUGAGGAAAAGAGAUCUAUUUUUGUUAUUUUAUGACAAAUUUGAAGAUAAAAUAUGUGAUCCAAUUUUAUCCCAAAUUGAAUUAAUGGAAAAUUAAAUUUAAAUGUAAACCCAUAAUUCACACCAUAGAAUUAUCAUUCACAUUUCCAUUUCCAUUUCCAUUCCCAUCUAUAAAUACCAAUCCAAAAAUAAUUAGAUGUGGAUGUGAACUACUCAUCUUUAUGGAAAAUAAGAUUAAUUUAAUUCCAAUCUCUCUUGCUAUUUUUCGUGGGGUUGGGAAAAGAUGAAUUGAUUUAGACCAAGCCAAAUAAAAUUAAUUUUUAAAAUUUUAAAAUUUUAUUUGAUAUAUUCAAGGAAAAAACAAUUAAAAAUUUAAUCUAAUAUAAGAAUGAAUAUAUAUAGACAAUUUGUGUGUCAAUCCAAAAUGGCACACUCACCUGUCAUUAAACAGUAUUAAUUUCUGAUGAUCUAUAUAUAACUCAUACAUUGAUUAGUACUCCCAUCUUUUUUCUUUCUAUUUUUAUUUUUUUCUCUUGAGCAUAAUUUCAUAAUAUGACAAUAUUUAUUAUUUAUAUUUUUGAAAAAAUAUGAAGAUAAAAUGCAUUAUCUAGUUUUAUUCCAAAUUGAAUUUACCAAAUACUAAAUUUAAAUGUAAAACCAUAUUUCCCAUUGUAGACUUGUAUUCACAUUCCCAUUUGGAUUCUCAUUCUCACUUGGCAAAUACUCAAAAAUCUAAGAAAUCAUUUAUCUCUAUAUGCUACUUUUAUUAGAUAUAAGUGUAAGAUAUAAGUAUAUAAUAAUCUUUCUGUCAUAUACUUGGGUAAAGAUAAAAAAGACUCGCAAAACAAGUUAUAUAUUUAGCAUAAAAAUAUAAAUAUACUAUGAACACAUGAAAGUUUAAGUAUUUAGUGGUGAAAAUGGUAAAGUGUACUGCAAGCAGUUGGAUUUCAUUAAUAAUUACAUAACACAACGUAAUGAUAGAAGUUAGGUUUGUUAGGUCUCUUUAUAUAAAUAAUUAUUAUUUUAUUUGACAUCUAUUACCACCCAUUCCAAAAAUAAGUUAAUGUAGAAUUGAUUUCAUGUGAAACACAAAUCCUUGGUUAACAAUAAGGUUAAUUUCCAUAAAAAGUCUCUCACACAAUUUUUCAAAAUGUGUGUGUAUUCAUAUUUUUAAAUUUGUGUGUUAAUCAACUGACACUCUCACUAGUGAUUGAUUAUUUAAAUUUUAUGACAAAUAAGAAAAUAAAAUGCAUGAUCUAGUUUUGUUCCUAAUUGAAUAAACCAAAAACUAAGUUCAAAUAUAAAACCGUGUUUGACAUUUUGGAUUUAGAUUUACAUUCUCAUUCUCAUUGGGUGGAUAGCAAUAAUAUAAGAUAUUAUUUGUUCCCUUUAUAUAUGUCUCACAGUAUUUAUAUUAAACUACAAGAGGUCAUUUCUUCCUAUACCACAUGCUUGGGUAAAAUGCAUCAAAGGUAAAACUUUUAAUGGAGAAAAUGGUACUAGCUAGAGUGGACUGCAAGUGGUGGGAUUACAUUAAUAAUUAAAUUACUUAUAAAGAGAUGUUAAUGGUAAAAGUUAGGUUUGUCAAGAGUUUCUCUGUAAAUGAUUAUUAUUUUACUAGACAUUUAUAAAUACAUAAAAAAUAAGUUGAUGUAGAAUCUCAUGUAAAAAACUAAUGGUGAGUGAUAAAGUCAUGUUUAUGGUAGAAGUUAGGUUUGCUUAUUCUCCCUCUAUAAAUAAUUAUUAUUUUAGUGGAUAUCUAUAAAUACACGCUAAUCUCAAGUACAUCUAGUUAUAAUGAGCUUUCCAGAGGAUCAUAGUCUUUUAAUGGUUAAUUAUAUCUUUCUUUUAUAUUAUUCCAACGAAUUAAAGGACUAUUAUAUUUUGAUUACAUAAAAAUCACUUACAAUAAUAGGCAAAAUAGAAAAUUAAAAAUAUUUAAGCAAAUUUAUAAAUGUGAAACAUUUAUAACUUGAAACAUGAAUACUAUUUUAGAAAUAAAUGUUGUUUAUACGGUGUUAUACUGCUUCAUUUUGCAAAAUGGGUUAAUUUCUUCAAAGUAUGAAAUUUAAAAUUCUAGAUAUUUUAACCUAUACGCCGAGAAGAAAAAAAAUAAUAAUGAUAUCUCCAAAUGCAAAUCAUAAAAAAUUAGGGAUUUCAAUAAUUCAAUUCUUAAAAAUAAAAAAUUAAAUUUAUAUUUCAUAUUUCCUAGCUAUGAAAAUAUAUAAAAUUCUUGUAGCUCUAGUUUAUAAUUGAAACAAUAAUUUUAUUUCAUGAUACUUACACAGUUAUUAUUUUUGCAUUUAUAAGAAUAUAUACAUAGUUAGAAGCUAUGCAAUCUAAUAAUAUAUAUAUUUUGACAUAGGUUCUUACUAUGAUAAACAAUAUUUUCAUAUUAUCAUAAAGUAAAAUAAUUAUUAUAAACUCAAAAAAACUAACAUAAUAAUUAGGUAACAUUAAAUAAAGAAUAAAAAUAAAAAAAUAAAUUUGUCAUAGCUUUUGGCUAUGAAUAAUUUUAUUAUUAUAAAUUGAAAAUUUUACAUAACAUCAUGCUAUGAAAUAUUCUCUACAUAACUUUUGACUUUCAAAUUUUACAAAAUUGUUAAUUGAUAAUUUAGUUUUGUAUAUAUUAAAAUCUAAACCAUAGAAAAUUAAGGAUUUCAAUAAUUCAUUUCUUAAAAAUGGAAAAAAAAAUUGUAUUACAUUAUUAUUAUUUUUUUCAAUCUAUAAGAAUAUAUAAAAAAAAAAGUUUCUAUGCAGUUUCGGGCUAUAAGAAUAUGUAAAUAAUUAUUAUACAACUUUAGGCUAUAAUAAUAUACAAAUUAUUUUUCAUGUAACUCCAUGCUACCAAAAUAAUUAUUAUAUACAUAAAAGCAUAUAUUUUCCUACUCUACAAAGUUAGAAGCUAUGCAAUAUAAUAAAAUAAAUAUUUUUUUCCUACAUAGGUUUUGACUAUGAUAAAAAAAUAUUUUCACGCUAUAAUAAAGUAAUAUAAUUACUAUAAACUCCAUAAAUUAAAUUAAUAAUUAGGAAACAUUAAUUAUGGAAUAAAAAUAGAAAAACAAAUUUGCCAUGGCUUCUAUCUAUGAAUAGUUUUAUUAUGAUAAAAGAAAAAUUUUGCAUAACAUGAUGCUAUGAAAUAUUCUCUAUACAACUUUUGAUGUUAAAAUUCUACAAAAUUGUUAAUUAAAAAUUUAGUUUUGUAUAACUUUUAGUUAUACCAUAAUUAAAAAAUUGUCAAUAUAGCUUAUAGUUAUAGAACUGUUAAUUAACAAUUUUGGUUUGUAUAACUUCUAGUUAAACAACAAAAUUUUAACAAUUAUCUAUAUAGGUUUCGCUGUGAAAUGAAUAUCAAUAGAAAUUGUUUUGAUAGCUUGUGGCUGUGAGAAAUUUUCUAUAUAGGUUAUGAUUGUACAAAAUUAAAUAUCAAUAUUUUUAAGCUUUUGGCUUAAACAUAGAAAUUAUGGCUUACAUAGCUUCUAGUUAUGAAUUUUUUUUUUUUGUAUAGCUUCAAGUUAUACAUUCUAUACCUGUAUAGGUUCUGUUGUGAAAUGAAUAUCAAUAGAAAUUGUUUCUGUAGCUUGUGAGAAAUUUUCUAUAUAGCUUAUAGUUGUCUAAAAUUAAAUAUCAAUAUUUUCAAGCUUUUGGCUUAAACAUAGAAAAUAUGGCUUACAUAGCUUCUAGUUAUGAAUUUUUAUUUAUUUUUGUAUAGCUUCAAGUUAUACAUUCUAUUUCACAUAUUUUAUUGUAACAAAAUGUACAAAUUUAUACACAAUUCCAAGCUAUGAAAUAUUCAUUGUAUAGACUUUGGUCAUACAAUUUUGUUUUGUAUAACUUUCGGUUAUACAAUAUAUUUAAAAAAGAAUUAAAAAUUACAUGCAUAGCUUCUAGCUAUGUCAUUAUAACUUUAUAAUUUCUUGUAUAACUUCAUGUUAUGGGAUUUUACAUAUUUUAUAUAACUUCUGGUUUUGAGUUUUUUUUUUUUCAUAAUUUAUGGCUAUAUAAAAAAAUAUUUUCUACAUAGUAUUUGCAUAUGUUUUUCUAUCUAAUAAGGUAAAUCAAAUGGAAAAUAAAAUAAAAAUGGAAUUUUAUCACAUACCUUUUAUGUGAGAAAAAAGAUAUUUUCUAGUAAUAGAUAUAUCCUCUCAGUGUUUCAAUAUUCUAAAAACACUGUUCUACAAGAGGUUUGUAGACCCUCCAUUUUGUCCUUUUAGCACAUGUCUUUAAGUUCACUUCCAGUGCUCCACAAUAGUUCUUUGAUGGUCCAUUACUACUCAUGUAGCUUAUAUUUUCUGAGUCACUUUAGAGACUUUGGUUGAGGGGUUUAUCUGGCUUCAUAUUAUAGCCUUGGUUGCCUCUCAAGUUAAGAUUAGGCUUCACUUAGGUGCACUCUAGGUUAGACUUAGUUAGACCCACCUAGUCUCACCCCAGGCCCAUAUAGGUAUACUCGGCCCAUUAGGCACCACCUUAGGCCAAUUUAGACACCUUAGGCCUGUCUAGGUUCACUUAGAUCCAUUUAAACACCUUAGGUCCAUCUAGGUUCACUUAGGCCCACUUGGCCCAGUAGGCAUUCUUAGCUUGACUUGUAUGGUUGCAUGACUCAUUUAUCUCAUUUAGUUAUUUAUUUAUUUUCCUUUUUUAUUAUUAUUAUCAAUCACCUUUAUUUAAUCAUUUAUUAUAUUUUUAUUUAUUUUAAUUUAUUUUUAUUGUUAUCAAUCACUUUUAUUUAUCUAGUGUUAGCCCAAGGGUUCUCCUAAUUGGGUUUUGAUGAUAACAAACCAUGAUUAAGUGACUAAUUGGUUUAAUGGUUAAGAAUCUCAGGUAUAAACUUGAAAAUUCAUCAAAUAACCAAAUGGAUACAAGAUCAAGACUUUUGGAAGACUUGUGAUCAUAGGAAACGAAUGUAAGAUGAAUGCAUGGGUGCACUUAAGUUUUUCAUACCAUUUCAUGCAUCUUUAAAAACUUGGUUUAUCCUUUAAACUUUCAAUUUCAUUAAAACCCGAGUUGUAACAAAUGUACCUUAGGCAAAAUGUUUUAAAAUUGGCAUAAUAAUUCACCUAAAGACCUUGCCUAAGUGUUAGAAAAGAAACAAGUUGAAAAAGAUAGGUUUUCAGGGCCAAAAGACUCAAUCGGUUGAGGCUAUGGCCAAUCGGCUGAACCGGUUGGGGAACCGGUCUACUGGUUGCCCUUAUCUGGUCGAUCGGUUGCCCUUGUCCAAUCGAGGGAUGCCCAAAAUCUUCUUUCUCUCCCAGUAGCUUCCUCUUCCCGGUUGAGGUUCAUCCCUUCCUGGUCGAGGCUCCCUUUUGCUAUUUUUGGCUCCCGAGCUUAGAAACCUAUAAAUUGAGAGCUCCACUUCAUUUAUGAACAAGAGAACACUUGCAAUCAAUUGUCUACCUACCUAUUCUUGACCAAAAAUCUCUCAUUUCUUUCUUAGAGCAUUAAAUCAUCACUUGCAUAUCCUUUAGUGCACUCUUGUGUGUCAUCCUAGCUUUGUCUUGUAUUUGAGUUAUCCUUAAGCUAGGUUGAGGGAUUCAUUCUUGUAAAAAACUGAGUGUUAAAGCCUUUAAGAGGUUUGAAUCUUGAAGAGAUUGUGUAAGAGCCCAUUGGAGCCAGAAUUCAAGUGUAAGAAGAUUGGAAGCUUGGUUGAAGCUUCAAGUUAGUGGAACCCUCACUCGGUUAGGAGAUUAAGGAGAGUGGACGUAGGCAAGGAAGUGUCGAACCACUAUAAAACCCGAGUUUGAAUUCUCUAACUCUAUCUCUUUAUUUUUGUUUAUAUUGUGCUUGAACUUGUUGUGUUUGAAAAGUUUUUAAAAAACCCAAUUCACCCCCACCCCCCCCCCCCCUUUUGGGUGUUUUUCUUAAUCAAGCAUAUCCUUAUUUUCUCAAUUGGUAUCAAAGCUAGACCUCUUGUUUUAACGACUUAAUCGUCUAAGAGGAAAUGGUUAUUCCAUCAAGCUCAUCUCAAACUGAAAUUUUUUCAAAACAUAGAGCUCCAUUCUUUAUGGGAACCGACUAUCUCUAUUGGAAAACUAGAAUGACUUGAUACUUACAAUCAACCGAUUUAGAUGUAUGGGACGUCAUUGAAGAUGGUCGAACUUUUCCCACUAAACUAGUUGAUGGAGUUUUGGUUCCAAAACCCAAGCAAGAAUGGAAUGAGCUUGAUAGAAGAAACUUUCAAUUAAAUGCUAAAGUCGUUUUUACUUUGCAAUGUGCUAUGGAUAGAAAUGAAUAUAAUAGAACAUGUCAAUGCAAAUCGGCUAAAGAAAUUUGGAGGUUGCUUGAAAUAACUCAUGAGGGAACAAAUCAAGUAAAAGAGUCAAAAAUAAAUUUACUUGUUCAUAACUAUGAAUUGUUUUCAAUGAAAGAAAAUGAGACUAUUGUUGAGAUGAUCACUAGGUUCACCGAUAUUAUCAAUGGUCUAGAAGCAUUGGGAAAGACCUACAAGGAAUCAGAGAAGGUGAUGAAGAUACUAGGGUCUCUCCCAUCAAAGUGGCAUACAAAGGUCACCGCAAUUCAAGAAGCAAAGGACUUGACUAAGCUACCUAUGGAAGAGCUCAUAGGGUCAUUAAUGACAUAUGAGAUCAAUUUGGCAAAGAAGCUACAAGAGGGUGAAGACAAAAAGAAGAAGAGCAUAGCCCUCAAAGCUACAACCAAGGAAGAAGAAGAUGUUGAAAAAGAAAAACCAAGUGAUGAAGAUGAUGAUUUAGCCCUCAUCAUAAGAAAGCUCAACAAAUACAUGAGAGGUGAAAGGUUUAGAAGAAGAAAGUUCACCUCUAGAAGAGAUCCUUCUAAAAAGGAAUCUUCAUCUCAUGGUGACAAUGAGAAAUGGGAAAAGAAAAGAGAUUUGAUAUGCUUCAAAUGCAAAAAACUGGGACACAUUAAAUAUGAUUGUCUUCUCUACAAGAGUGAAGCCAAGAGAAGAAUGAAGAAGGCAAUGAUGGUCACUUGGAGUGAAAGUGAAGAAUCCUCCGAAGAAGAAAAUGAAAAAGAAGUGGCAAACAUGUGCUUCAUGGCAAUAGAUGAACUUGAUGAGGUAAACUUUAACUUUAGUGAUGAAGAUAUGCAUGAUGUUUUUGAAGAAUUAUAUGAGGAUUUUGAAAAAAUUAGUUUGAAAAAUAAUUUUCUUAAAAAGAAAAUUCAAGAACUUGAAGAAGUGAAAGAAAAUUUUUCAAUUGUUGAAAUUUCUAAAACUCGUCUUGAAAAAGAAAAUGAGAUUUUGAAAAAGAAAAAUGAAUGGUUAAAUUCCUCUCUUUCAAUUUUCUCUUGUGGACAAAAAACUUUUGAAAUGAUCUUAGCUAGCCAAAAAUGUGUUUUUGACAAACAAGGUCUAGGAUUCAAAUCUUAAAAAAAUCAAAAGUAUUUUAAAAACUACUUUGUAAAGGAAUCUGCAAUUGCAAGUCCUUCUACCACUUGUAACUUUUGUGGAAGAGGAGGGCACAUUAGUAGCACAUGUCCCUUAAGAAAUGGAUCUCAAAAGAGUUCAAAUGCUAAGGUUAAAAAGGUUUGGGUUGAGAAAUCCAAGGUCACUAACCCUCAAAGACCCAAAAAGAUAUGGGGACCUAAAUCAACUUGAAUUCUAUUUUGUAGGGUUCAAAGAAGGAUAAGUUGUUCUUGGAUAGUGGAUGCUCAAGACACAUGACCGGGGAUGAAUCCAAGUUUGCUUUCCUUACAAAGAGAAAGGGAGGAUACGUUACCUUUGGAGACAAUGCAAAAGGAAGGAUCAUUGGUCAAGACAACAUUAGUAAUGACACAUCCUCUCUUAUUGAAAGUGUUUUAUUAGUGGAUGGUUUAAAACAUAAUCUUUUAAGCAUUAGUCAACUUUGUGACAAAGGUUUUAAAGUAAUUUUUGAAGCAUUUCGUUGCAUCAUCAAAGAUAUUCAAAAUGAUAAAACCAUCUUCAUGGGCCAUAGAUGUGAUAAUGUUUAUGCUAUAAAUAUUUCAAAAUAUGAUGGUCGUGAUAGAUGCUUUUCAAGCAUGCAGAUCAAAGUUGGUUGUGGCAUAGGAGGUUGGGACAUGCUAACAUGGACCUCAUUUCCCAACUCAACAAAGAUGAACUUGUUAGAGGCCUUCCCAAAAUAAAUUUUCAAAAAGACAAAGUUUGUGAAGCUUGUCAAAUGGGAAAGCAAAUCAAAAACUCCUUUAAAAACAAAAAUUUCAUUUCAACAACUAGGCCUCUUGAAUUGUUGCAUAUGGAUUUAUUUGGUCCCUCUAGGACACCAAGCCUUGGAGGAAAAUCUUAUGCAUUUAUUAUUGUGGAUGACUUCUCUAAAUACACUUGGGUCUUAUUUUUAAGUCAAAAGAAUGAAGCUUUUUAUGAGUUUUCAAAGUUUUGCAACAAAGUUCAAAAUGAAAAAGGUUUUACAAUUACUUGUAUAAGAAGUGAUCAUGGGAGAGAGUUUGAAAAUAUUGAUUUUGAAGACUAUUGCAAUGAGCAUGGUAUUAACCACAAUUUUUCAGCUCCUAGAACUCCUCAACAAAAUGGGGUAGUUGAAAGGAAAAAUAGAACUCUUCAAAAAAUGGCUAGAACCUUGCUAAAUUUAAACAAUUUACCAAAAUAUUUUUGGGCCGAAGCGGUUAACACUUCUUGUUAUGUUUUAAAUAGAAUUUUAUUGAGGCCUAUUCUUAAGAAAACUCCCUAUGAGCUUUGGAAAAACAAGAAACCCAACAUUAGCCAUUUCAAAGUCUUUGGGUGCAAAUGCUUUAUAUUAAACACCAAAGACAAUCUUGGAAAAUUUGAUGCAAAAUCGGAUGUUGGAAUUUUUCUUGGUUACUCAACUUCAAGUAAAGCCUUUAGAGUUUUUAACAAAAGAACCAUGGUUGUAGAGGAGUCCAUCCAUGUUAUUUUUUAUGAAUUUAACAAUUCUCUCUAAGAAAUAGAGAGUUUUGAUGAUGAUUUAGGCUUAGAGACCUUCAUGGGAAAAUUACAAAUUGAAGAUAGAAGGCAACAAGAAGAAAUUGGAAAGGAUCCCAAGAAAGAAAAAUCACCUUUGGCACUACCUCCUCCUCAACAAGUGCAAGGUGAAUCAAGCCAAGACCUUCCUAAAGAUUGGAAGUUUGUCAUUAACCACCCACAAGAUCAAAUUAUAGGCAAUCCAUCUAGUGGGGUAAGAACUAGAUUAUCUCUUAGAAAUAUUUGCAAUAAUCUUGCUUUUAUCUCUCAAAUUGAACCUAAAAAUAUAAAUGAUGCUCUAGUUGAUGAAAAUUGGAUGAUUGCUAUGCAAGAAGAGUUAAACCAAUUUGAAAGAAGUGAAGUAUAGGAAUUACUGCCAAGACCUCAAAAUCAAAGUGUUAUUGGAACUAGAUGGGUCUUUAGAAAUAAAAUGGAUGAAAAUGACAUAAUUUUUAGGAAUAAAGCAAGAUUGGUAGCCCAAGGUUUUAAUCAAGAAGAAGGGAUAGAUUAUGAAGAAACCUUUGCUCCCGUAGCUAGAUUGGAAGCUAUUAGGAUGCUACUUGCCUUUGCAUGUUUUAAAGACUUUGUUUUAUAUCAAAUGGAUGUGAAAAGUGCUUUCUUAAAUAGCUUUAUAAAUGAAGAAGUAUAUGUAGAACAACCACCCAGUUUUCAAAGUUUUAACUUUCCUAAUCAUGCUUUCAAACUUAAAAAGGCACUUCAUGGUUUGAAACAAGCACCUAGAUCAUGGUAUGAAAGAUUGAGUAAAUUUCUUUUGAAAAAGGGUUUUAAAAUGGGAAAAAUUGACACAAAUCUUUUCAUAAAAACCAAAGAAAAUGACAUGUUCUUGGCGCAAAUAUAUGUUGAUGAUAUCAUUUUUGGAGCUACUAAUGUCUCUCUUUGUGAAGAAUUUUCUAAAUGCAUGCAUAGCGAGUUCAAAAUGAGCAUGAUGGGAGAACUCAACUUCUUCCUUAGACUUCAAAUCAAGCAACUGAAGGAAGAAACCUUCAUCAAUCAAGCAAAAUAAAUAAAAGAUCUUCUCAAAAGGUUCAACAUGGAAGAAGCCAAAACAAUGAAGACUCCAAUGAGCUCAUCUAUCAAGCUUGAUAACGAUGAGAAAGGUAAAUCCAUUGACUCAACUAUGUAUAGAGGCAUGAUAGGUUCUUUGCUAUAUUUGACUGCUAGUAGACCCGACAUCAUGUUUAGCGUAUGCUUAUGUUCUAGAUUUCAAUCUUGUCCUAAAGAAUCCCACUUAAGUGCAGUAAAAUGAAUCCUUAGAUACUUGAAAGGGACAAUGGACAUAGGCUUAUGGUAUCCUAAGAGUGAUAACUUUGAAUUAAUUGGAUUCUCGGAUGCUGAUUUCGCCGAUUGUAGGAUUGAAAGAAAAAGCACAAGUGGCACUUGUCAUUUUCUAGGACACUCUUUUGUUUCAUGGCAUAGUACGAAGCAAAAUUCGGUAACUUUGUCAAUUGCGGAAGCCGAAUACAUAGCAGCUAGUUUGUGUUGUGCACAAAUUCUUUGGAUGAAACAAACACUUAGUGAUUUUAAUCUAUCUUUUGAGCAUGUUCCUAUUAAAUGUGAUAACACUAGUGCCAUAAACAUUUCAAAAAAUCCCGUGCAACACUUUAGGACUAAGCAUAUAGAGAUUAGACAUCAUUUUCUUAGAGACCAUGCACAAAAGGGUGACAUUAUACUUGAAUUUGUAAGCACAAAGAUCAACUUGCCGAUAUAUUUACAAAACCUCUAAAUGAAGAACAAUUUGUUGAUAUUCAAAGACAACUAGGGGUGAUUUCCUUAUGAUCUAAUGAUUGCUUAAUGAAUUCUUGAUGAAUUUACCUUAUAAUUGCAUAAUUUUCAUGUCAUAUGCAUCAUAUAGACAUAUACCUAGGGAAAUGGUCAAUUUUUGACUGAAAAUAAAAAAUUCCCUUGGCAUUGGAUAUCAAAAAUUGGGGAUUUCAACUAAAAAGGGCAAGAGGAGGAUCACGAGACAAGAAAAAUGAUAAAAAAUUAGAGUGUUGACCGUUGACCGUUGACUAAGCGGUCGACAGGUUCAUCAGGGCUGGGGAUUUAAAGAGGCUCCCACACUUCAUUUUCUCAACUGUUCUCCUCCAUUCCUUGAAGAAUCUUCACAUUCCCGCUUCCAGAGACCGGUUUGGGCAAGAUUUUUUUAUCGAUUUCAAGCCUUGGAGUUGAUUUUGAGACGUUUUUAAGGUCGGGGUUUCGGAUCUGGACCUAGGGUUUCCAUUUUGGAUUGAUUCUUCUCUGACCGUGCGCCUCAGCCAAGUUCAGCUCCAUUUCCGCACACUUUGGGCUUCUGUUUGGGAUUCAUUCUCUCUUGCUCGAGUUCAUUCUCUCUUUUGGCUUCUUUUAUUUCUUUUUUGCUUUUCUGGUGGAGCCUAGGAGAAAGACGACUGCUUCUAGGGCUCAAGUGCCCUGCUGAGCCAUCUUAGCCUGAACAGACGAAGGCUCAUCGAAAGGCGAGGUAUGACACGACCCUCUUCAGUUUCGUUGAAGAAUAUCAUAAAUACAAGUAAAAAUUCACCUAGAGGAAAGUUGUUCCAAGGAGAAGUAUCAAUUUCUCCUAACUUCAGUACUUCGGGUUUGAAGGACUCUUUAGCCGGAUGGGAUGGUUGCCAGUUGUCACGAUUUUCGAGCAGAUCUUCUCUACUUUGAUGUGUGCAUUUUAUUCACAAGUGACCUAUGGACUUGGAGGACCUAUCAUGUCCACUGUUAGAGGUGUUGAGAUCGAGUUGAGCCCGGAGAGCAUUUGCCGCAUUCUUAACAUCCCUUUAGUUGGACUCAGGGUGUAUGAGUCCAAGGCUUGGCCUACUAUACCAGGUUUCGAGCCUAUAGAGGCUAUUCAGAGGUUGUGCUGACUUGCAGACACCCAAGGGAUGGGCAAACCAUCGGCACACAACCUGACCGUGACCAGCCAAGUCCUUCAUCACAUGAUCUGCUCCAUCUUAUUGCCACGAGGUGGACAUCGAGACGAGGUCUCCUACCUUGAGGCUUUCAUAGUGGAUUCCAUUUUGAUAGGGAGAUUGAUUCAUGUAGGGUAUCUGAUGAUGAUGCAUAUGAUAUCCUACUAUGAGAGCACAACCCGAGUACUCCCCUACGAUCGCUUCCUUACUAGAGUAUUUAAGGAUGUCGGGGUUGAUUUGAGCAGAGAGACGGAUUUCGAGGUCCCUACUAGUUAUGAUACUUACAAUGAGCAAUCCUUAGGGCGGAUGAAGUUCGAGAAGGCCCCCGAUGGCUCCUGGAUUAGGAGAGUUGAGCGACUUCCAACAUAGGCCCGGGGAUAAGGACAGAUGCAUCUCGGAGUAGAGGAGGAGGCCGAGAUCAGAGAGAUGGAGGGUGGGUGUAGACCCUCAAUUUUGUCCUCCCAGCACAUGUCCUUUAUAGCAAUUCCCUGGUGGCCCAUUACUACUCGCAUGACCUAUAUUUUUUUAAGCCACCUCGGGGACUUGGGUUGAGGGGUUCAUUUAACCCCAUUGUGACUCUUGGCAGCCCUAAUUUAGACCUAGGCCCACUUAGGCUCCCUAGGCCCUCUAGGCUCACUUAGCCAUCCUAGGCCCACUUAGGCAAUUUAGGUUCACUUAGAUAUACUUAGGCACUUUAAGCCCAUCUAGGUGCACUUGGCCCAUUAGGCAGAACCUUAGGUCCACUUAAGCAAUUUUCUAGGUUUAGUUUCACUUAGAUUUGUUUUCUCGUUUUUUUCUUUAUUCAUUUAUUUUAUUGAUUAGUUUUAGGAUUAAGUGAGUUUUGAUUUAUUUUAUAUCAUUAUUAUUUGUAUUUUUUUGUUUAUUUAUUUUAUUUUAUGAUUGCAUGAAAGGAUUUUUUUUUUGAAUUUUUUUGUGGUUUGAGUUUGACACUUUGAUUAUUUAAUAUGUUGCAUUAGUUUAAUUUCUUUUUAUUGAAUAUGUCUAAUAUUUAUUUAUGUAUUAUACUUUUCAUCUAUAUAUUCAUAUUUUUUUAUUUACUUAUUUAAUCACCUCUUCAAACUUUAGUGAAACCAAUGUUGACUUUUAACCACUUGAAUUAUUUCACUUCAGAUAUGCUCGAGAUUGCUUAACUAAUUUUAAUUGAAUAAUCUUGUUCUUUUAUCCUCUUUUGUUUUAUUUUUAUCUUCAAUCUCAUAAUUUUAUUUCUUUUUUUAUUAUUAUUAUUUUGCAUGAGGAAACGGGUUGCUAUUGACUUUUGAGAGAAUACCCACAUCUUUGAAAGAAGGAAAAUUACCAAAGCUGGUUUUGGUAAAUGAAAAUAAGAAGAUGAAGUGUGUACAUGGACGGAAAAGUGAGUUGUGUUUAGAAUGAAGUGAAAUUCUGAGCCCAAAAGGCAUAUUCGGCUGGUCAAAGAGGGACGCUUAUGGGAAGGGAUCAAGAUGGCUUGAGAAGGUGAUUCCCGACAUGUAAAGAGAGCAUAUUCAGCGGCUCAAAUGAGGAUGCUCAUGGGAAUGAAUGAGGACAGUUAUGUGGGAAAGAUACAGAGGAAGAGAAUAGUUUUUUUUUAGGGAAAGGAAAUUUUCAGAAAAAAAGAAAAAAAGAAAGAAAGAGAAAGGGGGAGCGGGCUGCUGUGGAUGCAGAUAUUUUUUCUCAUCACCUGAUUGAGAGAGAUUUUUUUUCUAAUCACCGGAUUGAAGAAGGGAGCAUUUUUUUUUUUUUUUUAUCAUCGGACGGCUGUUACUUCGAUUUUUUUUUUAUGCCGCACGAAGUCUGGAAGGGGGAUCAUCAAAUGAAAAAUGGAGGGGAUUAGAGGCGGCCAUUUGGAAAGAGAUCAGCAGGCGUGUUGAAAAUAUCAUAGGCUACUGUUCGAACAAAGGUCAGUCCACGUUUUCGGAACGUGAGAAGUUGCUGUUUGAGACGAUCUAAAGAGAGGGUUUUGAGAUCAUGGGAUGGUUUGUUUGAAGGGAUCGAAAGAGCGAGAUUUGAGAGCGUGAGAGUGAGUUGUCGCUUUGGAUCUAUGCAAGGAAUUUUUCAGGGGGAAGAAUGCCAUUUUUUUGAAAGGAUCUGGAAGGAAUUUUUCAGAAUGGAAGGGCGUCAUUAAGAAAGAAAGAAAGAGAGGAGCGGACUGCUGUUGCUGCUGAUUUUUUAUUUAAAUCAAGGGACUGCUGCUGCUUCCAAAGAUCAUCACAAGCGAGAGAGAUUGCGUGAAAGGAUUGGUGCAAGGAGAUUUGAGAAUAGAGAAGCAGCCGUUUGAACUCACCAACGGAACCAUUUGGACCUAUUGGCGCCCGUCCACCCACGCAUCACUCAAAAAACACCUUGGUUCCCGAGCAUAUUGGAGAAAAUAUACACAUACUGUCGUUUUGGUAAGCUAGGUGAGUCAUUUUUAUAUAUAUAUGGCAACAUGUGUUUCAUGUAACAGUGCAAGUUUGGAUAUUUUUUUAAGUGGAAAUAUUAUUAUAAUGGUAAGUGGUUUGACUUUUACAAGUUUUGGCACGUAUUGAUUUUGAAUAUGGUAGCAUGAGUUUAAAAAGACUAAUUGUUAUUUAGGUUUAUGUAACAAUGCAAGUUUGGACAUUUUUCUUUAGUGGAAUUAUUAUUAUAAUAGGUAAGUGGAUUUACUUUUAUUACUAGUGCCGACAUAUAUUUGUUUCAUUUUAAUAUGGCAACAUGGGAAUUGUGUUUAGGGUUAGUUUUUGAUUUAUUAUAUUAAAUUCGGAAAAUAUAAUUUUUUUAUAUGUAGUUUUACUUUAAGAAAAAAAAUAUAGUUUGAUUUUUAUUUAAUUUAGUUUUGAUUCAUUUAAUUAUUAGUUGUUAUUUAUUCAUUUGCUACUAAUCUAAUGCUUUGUAACUUAUUUAUUUAUUAAUGAAUUUGAGCCUAUGGGUUAAAAAUUUAGUUUAAAAUAAAAAAAUAAAAAAAUAAAAAAAUCUAUUGAAGGUGGUUUGAAUUGGCUUUAGGUUUAGUUAAAAUUAUAGUAUGUUGAAAUGAUUGAUUUUUAUGUGUUAAGUAUUAUAUUUUAAACUUGCCUUGAUUAGUGAUAAAAAUGUUUGUUAAGCUCAAAUUUAUUUUACUAAUGUAAGUUUAUUAAAAAAUAUAUAUAUAUAUAUAUAUAUAUAUAUAUAUAUAUAUAUUAUUUAAUUCCUUGAGUUCGUAUUUCGUUUUAAAAUAUAAUAUGGUUAGUAUUUUUGUUUAACUUCAGGUUUAGGUGCUCUUGUAAAAUUUUUGUUUGUUAAAAUAAUUAAUAUUAAGUGUUAAAUAUUUGAUUUUAUACUUGCCUUUAUUAGUGUUAAAAAUAUAUAUAUAUUUUUUAAGCCUAGAUUUCAUUUUAAUAAUGUAAGUUUAUUUCGAAAUUAGAUUCCUUGAAUCCAUAUUUUGUUUUAGUUUCCUUUCAUUUAAAUUGAUUCAUUUUAAUUAUUUUAGGAGUUUGUAUAAUUUUAGGUCAUUAAUAAAAUCAAUUCUAUAUUUGAAAAUUCAUGCCUUUAGUUUACUUUGAUUUAGUUUCACACAUCUAUUCGAUUUAGGUAUUUUAUAUAAGAUUAGUUCAUUAAUAAAGUUAAUUCUAUGUUUGAAAAUUAUUGUUUGCUUUGAUUUAAUUUGGCUCAUUUUAAUCAAUCUAGAUGCGUUUGUGUGUUUAUUGAUCUCAUGCUAAUUCUUGAUUGUUAUUCUUAAUGGAUGUGUUUCUUGAAUAUUCGUCAUUAAUUCUUGGUGAGUAUCUCGUUAGCUUAUUUGAUCUAAGUUUGAAUAGUUUAUUGUUUUGGUAGUCUCUAGUAAAAUUUACUUUUCGGAGGCCAUCGGAAAAUAGUGAAGAUUGGCCUCCAUUCUCACCACUUCAGUUUUCUCAGUUAUAAAAAAUUCUACUUUGUGAUUUUGUUCUUUUUUUUGUUUUGCUUGGUAUUUUGAUUCACACGUUUUAUUGUUUUCAAAUUAAUUUCUUUUAUUUUUAAAACAUAACACUAUUCUCAAAAGAUCCCUUUAAAAAUUCAUUUCAAAAAUUCAUUUAGAGUUCUUAGAAUCAAAAUCUCAUUCCCUUUAGAAAUCCAUUUCAAAAAUUCAUUUAGAGUUCUUAGAAUCAAAAUCUCAUUUUCUCAAAUAAUGUGCAACCAUGUUUUGAUCGGUUUGCAUCUUUCUUAAAUUUCAAAUAAAAUUACAGUUUUGAGUAAGACAUUAAUCCAAGCUUGUGGUCCCAAAAAAAAUGGGAUAAUUCUAGGCUAGAUUUAUGUAUAUCAAUCGGGGAAUUGGUGAAACCCCUACAUAAGGAAAUUUUUCAAAACUCAUCUUUAUUGCCCCCUUUGCUAUUUGAGGAACUCAUGUCUAUCUAUUUUUUUAGGAAUUAUAUAGAAGAUAUAAGUGAUAAUUGAUGGUUUCGUAUACUGUGAUAAUUUUUUGUUUAUGCUAAUUAGAUAACAAGCAUGCUAAGAAUUUUUAUUUUAUUGUUUGUUAUCUAACCUCUCAUGUCUUAUGGAAGCACGUUACAAGUUAUCUAUGCUAUCCAGGUACGUCUCCUGUCACCUACCUUCUAAAUUCUGUAAAUAUGAUUGUCAUUAUGAAUUAUACCUAUGUUUGGGAAUGCUUGUGAUGUCUUGAUAUUUGCUACAUUGUUUGAUCAUUCAUGAUAAAACGCAUGUUGAGUGAUAUAUUAUCUAAACUAACCAUUGAUGUUUUAUGAUAGCGCUUAAGAAGUGGUCCAAGUACGCAUCCUAACUUUCCUUUAUGAGCGUGAUUGGUUUUUCUUGUUUGGCAUGCUAGUUUUGAGAUCACCUUAGCCUACCUAGGUAUCCUCAAUUAAUCAGUUGAUUGCCACAUUUCCUUCAACGUAAUCGUAGAGACCUUUGUAGGGCUUAAAGGGGUGCUACCUCCUAGAGGUACCUUCCCAAUAAGUAACCUGAUCUCCGGACCUAGACUCGGGUUUUCUUUAAAGACAUGCUUUUCCAAACACUAUGGAGUCAUUUUUAGGGUUUUAUUUCUUGUUUUAUUUUCCCUUUAAAAUAAAAUAAAAUAAGUGGCCGCUCCGACUUUUCCAAAAACAAAAUUUUCACCAAAUAAAAGCGAGUCUCACCGAUCGAGUGAGGGCGCAUGUGAAAAAUGCGGGUCCACAAUGGGUUAGACCCUCAGAGGGACUUUGAGCAAAGAGGGUCCGAGCUUGACAUUCCUCUUCCACCUCAGUCAGAGGAUAUUCAUUUUAAGGCCACAUUCUCAGAGCCUAUGAUGACUGAGUCGUCUUACACAGUGGGGCCGUCCUCUCAGCCAUAAUUCACCGAGCUUCCUCACACAGAGAUACCAUCCCAGGCACCUCACGCUCUUGAUCAUGCACCUUGGAUGGAUUUAUCAACACAGAUCAACUCACUUAGGACUCGUAUGGAGGAGUUCGCCGUUGUCAGUGAUACUCAAUUCUAUUCCAUGGAGGAUCGCAUAGAUUAGUAUCAAACUAGCUUCACUUCUCAGUUUGAGCACUUCUAGUAGAGAUUUGAGCAUAUAAAGGAGCGUAUGGAUCAGCAGUAGGCUACAUUCGAGCAUCUCCAGCAGAGUAUUAAGCACAUUGAGAGUCGCCAGGAGAGUCAGCAUGAGGAGAUGAUGGCUUACCUCCGCUCCGUGUUUCCACCUCCACCAGCCUUGAGUUUAUCUAGAGUUCCCCUUUAGUCUCUUUUUUAUGUUACCAAAUAGGAAGAAAUAUCUAGGAUCUAGGAGACCUUCAUGCAUAUCAUUGUCAUAUCUAUCUGGAUUAGCAUAUAUGUUAUGUUUUCGUGUACAUGUGAUGUUACCAUAUAUAUAUAUGAUAUGCUAUUUUCAUGAUCCAUUGUUUCCUAUUGAAAAUUGAUUGAUUGAUCCAUGAUUGGUUUAAGAGAAAGCUCUUUUUUUUCUCCUAGAUAACUAAGGUUUGUCAUCAUAAAAAAGAGGGAGAUUGUUAGCCCAAGGGUUCUCCUAAUCGGGUUUUGAUGAUAACAAACCAUGGUUAAGUAACUAAUUGGUUUAAUGGUUAAGAAUCUCAGGCAUAAACUCAGUUUAUCAUACCAUUUCAUGCAUCUUUGAAAACUCGGUUUAUCCUUUAAACUUUCAAUUUCAUUAAAACCUGACUUUUAACAAAUGUACCUUAGGCAAAAUGUUUUAAGAUUGGCAUAAUAAUUCACCUAAAGACCUUGCCUAAGUGUUAGAAAAGAAAGAAAUUGAAAAAGAUAGGUUUUCAGGGCCAAAAGACUCAAUCGGUCGAGGUUAUGGCCAACCAGCUCAACCGGUUGGGGAAUCGGUCAACCGGUUGCCCUUGUCCGGUCGGGGUCUGGUCGAGGGAUGCCCAAAAUCUUCUCUCUCUCCUAGUAGCUUCCUCUUCCUAGUUGAGGUACAUCCCUUUCCGGUCAAGGUCCGGUCGACCUCCAGUCAAGGUUUGGUUGAGGCUCCCUUUUGCUGUUUUUGGCUCCCGAGCUUAGAAACCUAUAAAUUGAGAGCUCCACUUCAUUUAUGAACAAGAGAACACUUGCAAUCAAUUGUCUACCUACCUGUUCUUGACCAAAAAUCUCUCAUUUCUUUCUUAGUGCAUUAAAUCAUCACUUGCAUAUCUUUUAGUGUGCUCUUGUGUGUCAUCCUAGCUUUGUCUUGUAUUUGAGCUAUCCUUAAGCUAGGUUGAGGGAUUCAUUCUUGUAAAAAACUGAGUGUUAAAGCCUUCAAGAGGUUUGAAUCUUGAAGAGAUUGUGUAAGAGCCCAUUGGAGCCAGAAUCCAAGUGUAAGAAGAUUGGAAGCUUAGUUGAAGCUUCAAGUUAGUGGAACCCUCACUCGGUUAGGAGAUUGAGAAGAGUGGACGUAGGCAAGGAAGUGUCAAACCACUAUAAAACCUGAGUUUGAAUUCUCUAACUCUAUCUCUUUAUUUUUGUUUAUAUUGUGCUUGAACUUGUUGUGUUUGAAAUUUUUUUUAAAAACCCAAUUCACUCCCCCCUCCCCCCUCCCCCCCCCCUUGGGUGUUUUUCUUAAUUAAGCAUAAGCUUUAGUUUCUCAUCUAGUUAUUUUAUUUUUAUUUUUUAUUUUUUUAUCCUUCUUGUUAGUGAGUUGAUCUUUUCCUCAUCUUGGUCACCCAUUGGUAAUUUGACUUGGAGCAACAGACCGUGACCUCCCUCUUUAGUCUUACAGUGCCCACAUCUUAGAGCCGUUCAUUUUAUUACAGCAUAGUGUUGUUCAUUGCAUCCAUAGCCCAGAGUUGUUCAUUGCACAUUAGUUAUGGGUUUGUUAUCAUUUUAGUUUUAUUUAGGGUAUUUUCUUGUUUUAGUUUCAUUUGUGUCAUCCUUUUAUCGUUGAGUUUCAUUUGGGGCAUACCCCCAUCCUUUAGUCAUUUUGAUCAUUCUUGUUAGUGAGUUGAUUUUUUCCUCAUCUUGGUCACUCAUUGGUGAUUUGACUUGGAGCCGCAGACCGCGAUCCCCCUCUUUGGGGCAUACAAUGCCCACAUCUUAGAGUUGUUCAUUUCAUUACAACCCGGUGUUGUUCAUUGCAUCCAUAGCCCAGAUCUAUUCAUUGCACUUUAGUUAUGAGUUUGUUAUCUUUUCAAUUUUAGUUGGAACAUCUUUUCAUUUUUUUAGUUUCAUUAGCGCUACUCGUUUCCUUUGAGUUUCAUCUAGGGUAUCCUACUCCCUUGAGGCAUUUAGAUCCUCAUUUUUAGUGAGUUAACCCUCAUCUUGGACAUCCUUUAGUGGUUUGACUUAGAGUCGUAGACCGCAAUCUCCCCUUUUGGGCAUACAGUGCCCCUCUUCUUGAGUUGUUCAUGACAUCCACAUCCCUGAGUUGUUCAUUGCAUCCACAGCCUCGAGUUGUUCAUUGCAUCAUAGCCUGGUGCUGUUCAUUUCAUAUUCAUUAGCAAUACGCACCUUGACCUCAUAGCUUUGCACUCGUUGCUCUUUUCCUCACUUCGAUACAUUAUAUUUAUCACUUCUUUAUCAUGCUAUUAUAGGGUUUCCCCUCCUCCAUGGCACAUGACAUAGUCUUUUCAACUCAUAACACGUGUUUCAGUUAUAUUGUUGGAUACUCUAUGCAUUGUGUCUUUGUAUGGUACACGUAUGGUUUUUCCCUUUGUACUCAUUUCUAUGCUCCUUAGUGGUUCAACUGCUACUCGACUUCGACAUCGAUUUUUGAGUCACUUUUGGAGACUUUUAUGAGAGAGUCUGGAUUUAUAGUAUAACUUUAAGGGCACCUUAGGAGUUUCCGUUCUUACCAUUUCAUUUUUGUAGGGUUUUAGAGCCUCUUUGUUCUUGUUUUGGUUUUAGAGAGCUCAUGUCAUACUGGGACAAAUUUGGUGGUUUUUCUUGUUCUUUGGUAGAGUUCACUUCAUUUUGCUUUUGUAUACACUCACUUUACUCAUGAACUCUACCAAAGAGGGGCAUAUUUGUAAACCCCAAAAUUUGUCUCAUACACAUUCUCACUUAUUUUAUUUUAUUUUUAUUUACUAUUAUUUAUUUAUUUAUUAUUCAUUUAUAAGGCUUAUUUUGAUUGUGUUUAUUUGGGCUCAUUUCAUUUUACUUUUAGCCCAACCUAGGCCCAACUUUCCAUACCCAUGUGGGAACUAAUCCUAGCCAUUCUUUUUCUUUUUUAAUCUCCACCAUCCAUUCCAAAAGUCAAACCCUAAAAGCCAAUUUUUUUCCCCAUUCUGCUGCCCACUCACAACCUCCAUUCCUUCUCAUUCUUUUUCUCUUUUUUUCCUUUCUUUUUCUUUUUUCCUUUUUUUCUUUUCAUUUCUUCUUUCUUCAUUUCUUCAUCAACUCCACCACCGCCAAGUUGUUGUCGGCGGUGCCGCUAUUUGCACCACUUCCAAUCGUCGCCCCCUUCACUCCCUGACUAUAUAUUCCCCAUUUUUAUCUCUUUUAAGUUUUUAUUUUAUUUUCAUUUUAUUAUUUUAUUUUAUUUAUUUAUUUUUACCUUUUUUUUCUUCUUUUAUUUUCUUUUAUGCACUGCCACAAACAUGCCUCUGUCUUCAUUAUCACUCCUCAUGGCCAUCGAUUGUUGCAUUUCUGUUCGUGGGUUAGGAGAUAGGUAAGAUUUCAUUUACUUAUUUGAUUUUUUUUAUUAUUUCAUUUUAUUUUAUUUUUCUCAAUUGUUUUUAUUUUUAUUUUUAUUUGUUUUUGUCUUUGGCUUGACAUUAUGAGAUUUGAGCCUAAUUUGCUUAUUGGUAUGGAUUUUGGGCCCAUAUGUUGUUGGUGAUUGAAAUUUGGGCCUAUUAUAUUAGUUGGAUUUAGGUUGGUGUAUUUAUUAAAUCUUGUAUUGGGCUUGACCCUUUUUGCUAAUACAUGGUUGUGGUGUUUUUUUUUUUUUUUUGUUGCUAAGAGCAAGAAGAGAGGUGUAGUGUUGAUUGGGAGCAGUUGGAGGCAAGGCAUGGGCAUGGGAAGAAAGUUGGUGAACCUGAUUUGGGGAGAAAGGGAUCAUCUUGCAGCCAGAGAAAGGAUGGCUAAGGAGGACGACUCUCUGGAUUUUUCUGAAAAAACUCUCUCUAUUGAGGAAGUUGUAGAGAACCACUAGAUUUGGGAUUACACUGUAAAAGGUAUACCGAUUAUUCAUGUCAUCUUCUUUGUUUUUAUUUUAUUUUACAUUUUUUUUUUUUUUUUUUUGUAUAUAUUGGAUUUAUUCUACAUGCCAUUUUGAUAUUAUUUCGUUUCAUAUCCUCGUAAAUAUUUUAAAUUUUUUUAGUUCGGUUAUUAUUGUGUAUGAAGUAAUUUAUUUAUUCGUUUGUUUAUUUAGUCAUUCAUUUAUUUUGUAUUGUUUCUAAUUUUCGGAUUAUUGCAUAAAUCUAAUGAUAACCGAAUAAUGAUGUUUCUGCUUAGAGAUUUUUUUUUAGUUUAUCUAUUUAUUUAUUUGUUCAUUUUAUAAUACUAAUGAUAACAAAACUAAAUCUCUUUUUCUAGAUUUAAUCAUUUGUAAAUAAUAUUUUUAGUUCUAAUAAACCAAAAUCCCUUUUCAAUAUUUUUUUUAAUAAUUUUUUUUGUCCUAAAAAUAAAUAAAUACGGGAGUCAUCUAGGUGAUUUUAUUUUAUUUUAUUUUAUUUUUAAUGGAUAAACUCAAUUCUACAAAACUAACUUUCUUUUUUUAAUAAAAAAUAAUUCCUUUUUAAUAAAAGACAAUUUUCUUCCAAGCAAGUAAAAAUUCCUUAUUUAAAGUUAUAAAAUUUUAAAUAAAUUUGUAGAUAAAUAAAAUUGUAAAUAGUUUUUUUAAAAUAAAAUUGAAUUGAAUUUUUUUCUUUUAAUACAAAAUCUUAAAAAUCAUUUUUGUUAUGGUGAAAGUCAAAUAAAAUUCAUCCAUUUUAAAUAAAAUUGUGAAAAUGCAAAAUUCUCUUUCUAAACAAAAUAUAAAAUUUUAAAGUUCAUUUUUUUUAAAUCAACAAUCAAAUUGUAUUACUCUUAUGAAUAAAACUUGAAAAAAUCAAUUUUUAAAUAAAAUUAGAUCAACUUUCUUUUUAGUUUUUAUUUUAUUUUAUUUUAUUUACUUUUAGUCCUAAUAAAAUUGAAUAAACCUUUUUUUCAAUAAUUUAAUUUUUUUAAUAAAAUCAAACAAUAAAUAAUUCUAGUAGAUAAAAAAAAGAUUGAAACAUUUUUGUAAUUAAUUUUGGAAAAAAAAUUGUGUUUCUAUUUUUUUUCUUUCUUUUAUAUAUAUAUAUAUAUAUAUAUAUAUAUAUAUAUAUUAAUAAAUUCUUUUGAUACAAUAAGUGCAAAUAACUUUUUUUUUUAAAUUAAAUACAAAUGAAAUUGAAUCAAAUCAUUAAUUGAAAAUAAAUUGAAACUUCUUUUUUGUAAAUAAAUAAAUUGAAACCAUUAAUUCAAAAUCAUUUUUAAUAAAAUUCUUUGAAGUUUCUUGACAACUAUUUUUUUUAAUUUUUUUUAUUUAGUUCAAUAAAUCAUUUUGCAUAAUUAUCUUGCUAUUUAUUUUGUGUAUUUUGGUAAUUAAAUUUCAUCAUUAUUUUUAUGUAUAUUGAUUUUUACCAUGACUUGUACAUACUCAUUUGCAUUAUUAUUUUUUCUUAGUAUCCAUAAUUAAUUAAUUAAUUAAUUGCCACAAAUCCUUUAAUUCGUUUAGUAGGGGUUGUACAUAUACGGGCUUAGAGAGGUGCUACGGCUCACCACCGUACCUUUCCAAUAAGUAACCUAAUCCCCGGACACAAACUCGAUUUUUUAUAGACCUGUUUUUCUUUCAAGAGUCAUACUUAGGGGUUUUCUUUUUUAUUUUGUUUUUCCCUUUAAAAAAAUUAAAAUAAGUGGGACUCCAAGUCUUUUUCUAAAAAUCAAUUUUUCACCAAAUAAAUAAAAAAACGAGUUUCACCAUUGAGUGAGAACACAUUGAGCAAAUUGCGGGGUCCAUAAUUAUUUUAUAUAUUAUUUUAAUUAUUGUAAUAUUUAAAGGAAAAUUUUUUUUCUACAAACUAUUUUAUUUUUAAUAACAAACAUAUUUUGAAAACUUCUAUAGUUAAUGUAAAUUAUCUCAUCUAACAUAUUAAAAAAUAAUUAACAUUAUUUCCUUCUUUUUUUCUCGAAAAAAUUAACAUUUUUUCUUUUGUUUCUUUGUUUUUAUACAUAUACUUCUUUCCUUUUAUAUAUUUUAGCAUUUUAUUUAUGACUAUGAAUAUCAUGAAUAAAUGAUUGGAUAUAAAUGAAAGUUGGAAGAAAUACAUUAGGUGAUGAACAAAGAUGCAACAAAUAAUAAUAAAUCUAUCUAUCUAUAUAUAUAUAUAUAUAUAUAUAUAUAUAUAAACUUCCAAAUUUAAUUUAACUUAUUCAAAAAGGUUGAAACCAAUAAAAUAAUAAAAUAGAAUACAAGACUUGGUGGGGAUGUAUAAGAAAUAAAAUUUUGUUUGAUAUGAAAGAAAUACUAACCCAAAGGAGUGCCUGUGUCCCACCAGUAUUCACCAGGAAAUGCAGCAACCCUUGAGAGAAAACCAUGAUAUUCCCCUCUUCGACAGUCUUCAAGUAGACGGUAUCAUCCGAAGAAAUUAAACCAGCAGUGACAGAGCCCUUGGCUACAAGAAUUAUCUCUGAACCGCCGGGGUGAGUGUGCAUUGGAAGCACACCGCCAGGGGCUAUGUCUGCUCGUGCCACGGAGACGCCAAGGCCAUUCAAGACUGGGAACUUAUGAACAGAUGCUGAGUUGAUGGCGGCAUUGAAGAGGGUUGAGGUGUUACCAGGCACACGUAGGCCUGAAUACACGAAAUCAUCAGCUGUUACUUCUGCAGGCGUCUUGCAGGAGUAAUGGGUUGGGAAAUAGUAAUUAAUUGAGUUAUUUUAGUUCCAAUUAAUUAUCAUUAUUAUUAUUUUUAAAUAAGUGGCAUGAAUACUCAAAGGUCUUAUUACUAUUCCAUGCGCUAUAAUCAAAUGAUAAUGCCUAGCUCAUUCAGCCACUGAAGGGUCACAAUAGGAAUUUUCAACACGAUACGCAAGCAUAACUUAAAAAUGAUAAAAGUAAUGGUUUCCAUUAAGGUUAAUUAAUCAUUUUUGUAUACUCAUACAAUUGUUGACCUGCCUAAUUCAUUUCUUAACUAACUCAAACACAACAUAUUUUGACUUCUUCAAUUUGUUGCUUUUGUUGAUCUGAUUAUUAUCAUGAUUUGACCUAUACAUUAAUUAUCAUGUUAUAUCAUUACCCCCUGAUUCAACUCCAUAUAUUACUCACAUAUAAAACACUUUUUAGAUUAAAAACACAUUUUAGAAUUACUAUCAAAUGGAUUUUAAACAAAUUAUAAUUACAUCAAAUGGGAAAUAAUCACGUUUAGAUAACAUAUCGAUGGUAAUUUAACAUUAUUCAAUCCAAUUCAACCUAUUGACUACAUAAAUUAUAUAACUUGAAAUUUGACAUUAUUGAGUAAUUUAUAACUUUUUUAUCUGAUGAUGAGACUAACCAAUGACUACCCUUAAACCAAUGUGACAUCUUCGAACAUAUGGUGAAAAAGAUUAUAUUUUGAAUGGGUAUUUGAGUUGAUGAUAUGUAAUCACAAAUCAUUUAUUAUUACCCACAAAAUAGAUAUAUGCUUGAUCUUAGACUAGAAAUAUUUGUUUGGCUCUGAUGGAAGUCUUUAUUGUUGUAUUGAAGGAUUAAUUUGGGAAGGUUCUUAAAUAAUAUUAGUUUGUUGUUAACUUUUACUUUUCAUAUGCCCUUGUUGAUUUAUUUUAAAUACAUGUUUAAAACGUUGGGAAUUUAAAAUUAUUAUAUAUGGUUUUGACUUUUUAAAAUAAUUAAAUGUGAAAUUAUUUUUAAAAUUUGUUAGAAAUUUAUCAAGCUUUAAAAAUAUCUUCAUUACUUGUUAGAAUACUUGAGAUUUGAGGUGUUGAUGAUUCAACAAAACAAUGUGGGGUUGCUGUGUGAUCUUAAAUUCCACAUUGUUGAUUUGCAUGUAUCUUUGAACGUAGAAAAAUCUUGGUGAUGUCCACAACGUGUGAUUCUAUCAUGGAAAAACCCAUAUUAAAGAAUCUCCAAGUGAAGAGAAAAUCUGUAAUUUUGAAAAAUGAAAUCUGAUUGAAAACAUCGCAAUGCCUUGAUCAAUUCCACAAGAAAAUCUCAGCAGAUCCUUGUUUACCGUCACUGAUUUUGACAACAAAGCAAGUUGAAUGAGUCCUAAAAAAGUUUCAAACUUUUUUGGUUCAGUUCAGCAAUCUAAAUUUAGUCAUUUACGUCAGCACUUAAAUAAAUUAAAAUUGGAUACGAUAUUAAAAUGUUACCAUGGAAAUUUCCUAAUCAAUUUGUGUAAAUUUUAGUGGAGUCUAAUAUAAAAAAAAGUAUUAAACAUUAAAUAAUUAUACAUAAAUCUUAAAUGUAGGUUUGAUUCAAUUCGCAUCGUGGUUUGGUAACAAGAAAGCCAAAUUUCAAACAAACAAAGUUGAUUUUCAAAAUUUUCAAACUUAAUUCAACUUCACGAGUUUUGAAAUUUGAUCAAUCGCCACAAGUCACGAUUCAUUUGUUUUUAACGUGAAAGUCAUGGUAUUUUAAUGAAUGGGAAUGGAAUCCUAACGGUCGUCAUUGCGUAUCUCUGGAAAAACAUACAUGCUAGGCCCGACUUCGUUUUCAAGCCAAAUACCAAAGAUCUUCUCUGCCAACCAAGAUUUCAUGCUAGUUUUCUUGCAAAUUCCUUCUCUAUAAAUACCCCCUUUCCUGCUUCUCCCUCCACCAACUUCUUCUUUACGCCUUUCUUCCAUGGCUAGGAGUUGUCCAAUCUCAACCUCCUUCAUUAUCAUCAUUGUUUUAAGCCAUUUUACAUCAAGCAUAGGGUUAAGACCAUGGCCUGAUGUGCUCCCAAAUGAACUCCAGUCCCUCGAUAUUGCGUCCCGACUCAGGGUGGAUCCCGAUGCCACUAGAAUGGCCUCUAGGGAUUUUGGCAAACUUGUUCAUCCACCAAAUCCAGCUGCAGUUCUUUAUCCUUCUUCCAUAGAAGAUAUUGCAUCUCUAGUCAAGUUCUCUUAUAAUCGUUCCUUUCCUUUUAGCAUAGCCGCCAGGGGCCAAGGCCAUUCCCUCCGCGGACAAGCCAUGGCUCCUCAUGGGGUUGUGGUGGAGAUGAGAUCGUUAAAUAACUGCAGCCGUGGAAGUGGAAUUAGGGUUACCAAGAAUCCGAUAUCGGGUUCCUAUGCUGAUGCUGGGGGUGAGCAGCUAUGGAUUGAUGUGCUGCAAGCUACGCUCAAACAUGGACUUGCACCAGUGUCGUGGACUGACUAUUUGUACCUAACAAUUGGUGGUACACUCUCUAAUGCCGGAAUUAGCGGCCAGACAUUCCGCCAUGGUCCUCAGAUCAGCAACGUCUAUGAAAUGGAUGUUCUUACUGGUAUAAUAUUUACCCUUAUCCUCCUUCUCAUUCUCAUUGUAUGGAUAGAAGAUGUGCCUUAGGUACCAUAUGCCUUUAAGAAUUAUCACAAAUUUUAAUCAAAUGGUUGCAUGCAAUUAGUUUCAAAUGUGGGACAAAAAUUUCCAUUCAAGAGAUCUCCUAUUAAUUACCUGCAUGCAUCNNNNNNNNNNNNNNNNNNNNNNNNNNNNNNNNNNNNNNNNNNNNNNNNNNNNNNNNNNNNNNNNNNNNNNNNNNNNNNNNNNNNNNNNNNNNNNNNNNNNAUCCCGAUGCCACUAGAAUGGCCUCCAGGGAUUUUGGUAGACUUGUUCAUCCACCAAAUCCAGCUGCAGUUCUUUAUCCUUCUUCCAUAGAAGAUAUUGCAUCUCUAGUCAAGUUCUCUUAUAAUCGUUCCUCUCCUUUUAGUAUAGCCGCCAGGGGCCAAGGCCAUUCCCUCCGCGGACAAGCCAUGGCUUCUCAUGGGGUUGUGGUGGAGAUGAGAUCGUUAAAUAACUGCAGCUGUGGAAGUGGAAUCAGGGUUACUAAGAAUCCGAUAUGGGGUUCCUAUGCUGAUGUCGGGGGUGAGCAGCAAUGGAUUGAUGUACUGCAAGCUACGCUCAAACAUGGACUUGCACCAGUGUCGUGGACUGACUAUUUGUACCUAACAAUUGGUGGUACACUCUCUAAUGCCGGAAUUAGCGGCCAGACAUUCCGCCAUGGUCCUCAGAUCAGCAACGUCUAUGAAAUGGAUGUUCUUACUGGUAUAAUAUUUACCCUUAUCCUCCUUCUCAUUCUCAUUGUAUGGAUAGAAGAUGUGCCUUAGGUACCAUAUGCCUUUAAGAAUUAUCACAAAUUUUAAUCAAAUGGUUGCAUGCAAUUAGUUUCAAAUGUGGGACAAAAAUUUCCAUUCAAGAGAUCUCCUAUUAAUUACCUGCAUGCAUCAGAUGUUUAGAGUUUGCUUCAUUUUCCUGAUGAAGUGAGCAUUUUGUUUGAUUCAGGUAAAGGGGAACUUGUGACUUGUUCCAAAGACACAAACUCCGAGCUGUUUUUUGCGGUUUUAGGAGGUCUCGGGCAGUUUGGGAUUAUAAUAAGAGCAAGGAUCGCUCUAAAACCGGCACCAAAAAGAGUAAGGGUGAAGCAAAUGAACCCAGUAGAUGAUAUAUGACUAAUAUAUAUAUAUAUAUAUAUAUAUAUAUAUAUAUAUAUAACUGAAACAAGGCAAGAGCAGUACUUUGGAAAACCCUUUUACUCGUGUUCCUCAUUUAAUUAGUAUGGCCAAUUUGAUUGCAGGUAAAAUGGAUACAGAUGCUUUACGAUGACUUCUCCACAUUUUCUAGAGACCAAGAACAUUUGAUUUCAAUCAAUGGACUGGACUAUUUGGAAGGUUCACUCUUGAUGCAAAAUAGUUCUCCUAAUAACUGGAGAUCCUCUUUCUCACCCUCUGAAUACCCGAGAAUAUCUUCACUAAUAUCCAAGAAUGGCAUCAUCUACUGCCUUGAAGUGGUCAAGUAUUACGAUGAACUCACAAGCCAUACAGUUGAUGAGGUACAUAUAUAGCUAAUGAAUUUCUGUUAUUCCUAUUACCUAUACAUGUAUAUAUCUGCUAGGUUAAGCAUAUAUGUACUGGGCCAUACUUGACUUGAGAAUGAUUGUCUUUAUAGGAACUCCAGGAGCUGCUUAAAGGCUUGAAUUUCCUUCCUGGUUUUGUUUUCACAAAAGAUGUCUCCUUAGUAGAUUUUCUAAACCGAGUUCAUAGCGAAGAGCUAAAUCUUCAAGCAAAAGGACUGUGGGAUGUUCCUCAUCCAUGGCUGAAUCUCUUUGUUCCGGGAUCCCGUAUCUCAGACUUCAACUCAGGUGUCUUCAGGGACAUUCUCCCCAAAAUAAACCAGACCACUGGAACAUUCCUCGUCUACCCAGUGAUCCGAAACAAGUAAAAUUCUGAACCACUAAGUUAUCUUGUUUAAUGUCAAAAUAGAUCAUUGAUUAUAACUUUUCUCUCAAAUCUGAAUAAAUAUAUCUUGUUUAAUGUGAUUGAAAUUUUUAUAUACAUUGCAGGUGGGAUGAUAGGACGUCUGCAGUUAUACCAGAUGAAGAUAUAUUCUACACUGUAGGAUUGUUGCAUUCAAGUGGGGCUGAUGACUGGGAACCCUUGGAGAAUCAAAACAAAGAAAUACUCCAGUUUUGUGAUAAAGCGGGUAUCAAGAUUAAGCGGUACCUUUCCCGCUACACAACCAAGGAAGAUUGGAUGAAUCAUUUCGGGCCGAAAUGGAGGACCUUUGAAGACAGGAAAGCUCAGUUUGAUCCGAAACUGAUAUUAUCACCUGGACAGCAAAUUUUCAAUUCCAUUUAAGUUUUAGAACUGGACAUUUGGGUUGAGGUUUUGAAAAAGAAGAACAGAAGAAAAUACAAAUAAAUACUUCCAUUCAUGGAAAACCCAGUAUUAGUCAAUUAGCUAGCACGCAUAUUUGUUUUGUACUUUAUGUUACAGGGUUAGAAGAUCAAAAAUGUACUUCUUUAAGGGAUUCCUGUAUAUUUCAAGCAUCAGUUGUAGUGUUAAUUUUCUAUAGAUUAAAAAGUGAAUUUUCAUUAGCUCAGCUCUUAUUAUAUGAGGGUUUAUGAUGAAUUAAUUCAGUCAGUUGUCUUUUGAACCAAUCCUUUUGCGUUUCGUAUUGAUAUAUUCUUUUUGUUUUGAGUGUGCACAGAGGUUGGCGCCUCGCUUUGACAUUUGACCAUCAAAUUUCUUGCUGGUUAGUUGAUAACGGCUUGAUGUGGCUUAUUGGGUGCAGUCUGAUGAGGCGUAUGCCGUGCGUAAUUGGCAAAAUUUUAUGCUGGCCAGGUGGCCUUAAUGGCUGGAUUUUGUGCCUGAGAGCGUCAUGCAUAUGAAUUUGAUGGUCAGCUUGUGUAGCCGGCAGGGGAGUUUGGUGUAGACACAAGUUCGGGGUAUUCUUGACCUCAUCCACGUCACAAGUUCCUUGUAAGUAGAUAACUCGCUCACAAGCGGUUCAUGGGCUUAGGUAACCCUUUAGAGGCUAUAGUGAACUGCCUCUUAAUUGGAGGGAUGACUAGUCUUGGCCAUCGAAAUGGGUUUCCCAUGGUUAGUGUACUAGUGUGUACAAUUACACAUUAGAUAAGACCUAUGAUGAGUGAUGACUUAAGGCGAUCAAGUAGUCAUAAUUUCAUCAAGUUGUUUCAUUGUAUUGUUUCUCAACCUUGAAAGAAUAUUGAGCUUGUGCUAAAAUUAGUAGUGACAUGGGAUCAUAAGUUCAUCAUAUAUUCUCCAUGGAUUGAGUCAUUAUUGAUGAAAGCUAGUAUUAAUAGGUAUUCUCAAUAGAGGCACCAUGAUAUCUAAUGGAAUUGAGACAGAGUGUUCUCUUGGGUGAUCCUAAGGAGGUGUGUUCAUGUAAACUAUAGUCAUAGUAAUUCCUUAAGUAGAACUUGACAUAUGUUCUUUAAGGGCUAAGACAUGUCAGUUGAACACAUAACAGAUAGAUCUGUAGCUCAAGUAUAAUAGAGGUAAUCUUAAAAGGCUGAUAGUUUUCACUUUGUUGGACUACAAACACCAGCUCAUGUGGAGACUAAACAUAACGGAUAGCAAGUAAUGAAAACACUUAGUGUCUUAUUGUUAUUUAAAUAGCUAUUGGAGUGUAGUUGAUUUUCUAUAGUGGAAUGUUAAAUCAACUUUAGAAUUGGAUUAUAAGGGAGCCAAUACUAUCCCAUGGGUCACAGUGGUCCCCACUCAAGUUCAUACACUUUAAUGGCAUGGUCUAUAGUGGAUUGGUCUUAGGUUCACUUUUGUACAUAAGGAUAUUUUGGUAAUCACACGAGGUUGCACAAGGAUAAGUGAACAAAGUUUCUAGACUAGGCUAAUUGAUUAAUUAGAUGACCCUAUGAGGUUAAUUAAUCAAUUAGAACCCAUUUUGGACUAGAUUAAGUGACUCAAGCCUAAUUAGGAAACCUAUAAAUACCUUUUAGGGGUUAAGGUUUCCAUAAAGUUGUCUUCAACCUCCAGAGAGAAAGAGAGUCAUAGCUUCCACCCUCUCUUCCCCCCACGGAAAGUGUGCUAAGAUCAAGGAAGGGUCAAAUGGAAGAUUGUGGGUCUAUGAGACUUCCUAUGACUACAAAUAUACUUUUCACCGAAAUGAAUCAAUUUGAGAAUGUCCAAAUCGAAGGUAAUGUUUUUUGUUGCACAAUCUAAAUCUGUUUUGUUUAAAAUUAUGCUUGUUUCCAUUAUGCAUAGAAUUUAGAAAGCCUAGGAAAGUUUUCUCAUGUACCUAACCUAAUCCAAGUAUAAGGUAUUAAAGGAUCUAGUUAUCACAACAUAAGGAGAUUCUCAUAGAUCAUAAAGGUUUUCAUAUAAGAGUCAAGGGCUCUUUAGGUUUUUCUACUAAGAAGAAGAAUGAUAAUACCAAAUACAAAAAGUUCAGGAGGAAUAAGAGAGCAAGCUUAAAGACAAUUGAUUCCUUCAUAACCUUCUGGAACACUAGAAAGCGAAUGCUUGGAUUACCUAAGGAAAAGAAAAGUACACAUCAUAUACUCAUUGUUGAAUAUAGAUAGUGGUGGAUUUCACCAGUUAUGGUGGAUAGAUUCCAAGUCCACUAUUUGUAAUUCUUUAUAGGAUUUUCUACAAGUGAGAAGGUUACAUGAUGGGAUUGUACUAACCAUAACUUCAAUUGUAAUGUAAGCUAUACAGGCUAGUAGAAGGUCUAUAGUGCCAAAAUACUUAAGCCUAAAUACGCAAUAGCUUUAGCCAAGAAAAACCAGAGAAAAAACAACUAUGACUUUUGUAGUACUCCGAGUACUGUCCAUAGGGACUGGUGUAUGGAAAUUGUCAAUACUAGGUCAAAUAAUUUUCUUUUACUUAAGUCCUAAAAGGAAAAUAAUAUAUAAAAGGAUUUUUAUGAAAUAGAGUUAAAUUAAGAAAACUAAUUUAAUAACUAAUAUGAAUAUUGACUUUCAAUUCAAAUUAUCAUUAGAGUAUAGAGCUUUCCACAACCUAACUUCAGGUAUAGAAACCAAAGAGAACAAGGGUUUCUUAAGUAGGUGAUCUUAGGGCUUUGGGAUCCUUAGUCACUGAUGAUCAAUCUGAGCUCUAUAACUCAUAAUUGCAUCUAAAACCUAAUUUUUCUUUUUUUUCUUUUUUAAACCAAUUCUUAAAACCAUUAAAUAAAUGAGAUUGAUUACCAAUUCAAGGUCUAGCUUUUUAACUCUUCCUACUCCUUAUAGCUUUGUUUUGGGAAAGAUAACAAUAGAGUAGACCAAGAUAACUAAUGAUCAAGAGUUAAAAAGAAUCACUAGUAUUAGGUAAUAACCUACCAUGUCAUUCCCUAAUAUAAAUCACAAGGAUAAGAUAAAAAAUUCAUAAAAUGUAACCUAACCAUUCAUUAAUCUUGAUAUUACAAUUAUUUACCCAUUGUUCCUUUAAGUUUCUAGCCCUUAGGUUUUCAUGUUUAAAGCCCUAAAUUGGCUUUCUAGCCUCUCAUGGGGGUAAUGUCACAUUCAGAACCAAAGUUGUUGAAUCAAAAGAAACUAAAAACAAGGUAUUAAAUAAAGAUGAAAAAAAAACAAACAAAAGUUAUUGCCUUUUUCCACCACAAACAUCAAACUCUAAGAAGAGAACUCCUAAACCUUAGAAAUAAGAAAGUUUAUAUAGUAAAUUCUAUAACCUAACAUGUGACCCAUUUGCCACUUAUUACAAAGAAAAUUCAACCUAAAAAACUUUAUAUACUACAAUUUCUAAAUGAAUAUGAUGCAUUUUGAAUUAGAUGGAGGCAUUUGGAACUUGUUUUGAUGUGUUUUAGAGGUCAAAAUUCAAUAACUAGUGGCUAAGUUUGAAAUUAAAGUACGUUCAAAUUCAAUUUUGAACUCAGAAGUGUGGGAAGAUGCUUGACUUAAAAUCAAUAUGAUGAGUUCGAAAUUCAUUGCAAAUUUUGAAAUCACCCUUUUCCAGUUCAAUUCUAACGUGUGUAACUUCAUUGUUUCAACUUCAAUUCGCACACUAUUAAAACUUUGAACUCCUAACUUCCCGAACUUCAAAAUGAUAUAUAACAUGGCUAAAAAUGACAUUGAGAAGUGCUUUAAAUUUCACUUCAAGUUUGGAGUACAUGUUGCUACCAACCUUUUUAGUUCCAAAUUUUUGUGUUAACUUGAUUGCUUUUCACCUCAACUUGAACUUUGCUAGUCCCUAGCAAAUAAAGAGAAUAAAAUGAAUGGAACAAGCACAAUAGAGUUCAUGCAAGCAUAGUGACUUGGUCAAUAUCUUUUACACAAAAUAAUUUAAGCCAUCAAAUUUUCAUGGAAUUGAGAAGGGAACAUAAAAUUAGGUAAUUUCUUAAUUUACUCACCUUAUCCUUUUUUACAUAAGUAUGCAUCCAUGUUUAGCAUCCUCCUUAGUUUCCUUAGAAUUCCCUUGAUUUAGUUCUUCCACCUAAAUUUCAUUUGUUUAAAAGAAGAAGAAAAUCUAUUUUGAUUUUUUUUUUCUUCAGUCUAGGAAAUCUCCUUCUAUAUGGCUCAAUAGGGAUCCACAUGAAACUCCCAAAUUUUCACCCAAGGUACCAAGUAUUUAGGACCUUUGCAGGCUACUUACCCCUCAAGCAUCACCCUAGGUCAAGGUAAAGCAAGGUUGAAUUUCCCAAAGAUGAAUUUCCAUUUUAUUUUUUUUCAAAAUUGAGUUUAGCUUAUACAACAAUCAAGAUAUCAGUGACUCAUAACUAGUUGGUUUUGACCACCAAGGCUUAAAGACACAAGGCCAUUACCCCCUUGGAUACCCCAAACAUAGUUUUUUUUUUUUUUUUUUUCAAAAUUAUGUUUAGAAUCCCCUUUAGUUUCCCUUAGACUUCUCUUGAUUUAGUUCUUCCACUUAAAUCUCUUUUGUUUAAAUUCAGUGUCUUUUUAUAGCAUUCUUUUUAAAACUUUUUCAUUAAACUCAAAAUUUCAUCAUUAUUUUGCUUAAAAGGGGAACAAAAUUUAUUUUGAUAUUUUUUUUUUGGUCUAGGAAAUCUCUUUUUAUAUGGAUCAAUAGGGAUCCACUGGAAACUCCCAAAUUUUCACCUAAGGUACCAAGGUAAAACAAGGUUCGAUUUCCCAAACAUAAAUUUCCAUUUUUUUUUUCAAAAUUAAGUUAGCUUAUAUAGGAAGCAAGAUAUCAGUGACUCAUAACCAAUUUGUUUUAGGUAUCAGGGCUUGAAGACACAAGGCCAUUACCCCCUUGGAUAGUUGCUCAAGUUUUUUCCUUAUUACAAAGAAAAGUCAUAAACAACCUAAAAAAACUCCAAAUAUUGCAAGUUCUAAAUGAAUAUGAUUCAUUUUGAAUUAGAUGAAGGCAUUUAGAACUUGUUUUGAUGUGUUUUGGAGCUCAAAACUCAAUCAUAAGUGGAUGAAUUUGAAAUUGGAGUGAGUUUGAAAUCAAUUUCAACUCAUAAGUGUAGGAAGAUACUCAAUUUGAAACCAAGGCGAUGAGUUUAAAAUUCAUUGUGAAUUUCACACUCACCCACUACUAGCUCACUUCUAACAUGCAUAACUUUCUUAUUUCAACUUCGAUUUGUGCACUAUUUGAAGUGUUGGACUAUUGACUUCCUGAGCUUAGCAUAGCCAAAAAUAACAUUGAGAAGUGAUCUAAAUAUCACCUCAAAUUCAAAGUACAUGUUGCUACCAGAUUUUUGAGUUCCAAAUUUCCAUGUGAACAUGAUUGCAUUUUCUUUAAACCUCCUCCAUUAUGGUUGCUUGAUCUCCAAAUCUUUCCACAACCUUCAUUUCUCACCAUUUAUGCUAUGAAUUUCUUUAUUUAUUUAUUUUUUGUAAGCUUUCAUCAUGCUUUACUCUCUUAGAGCUCAUCUUAAGUACAUUUAAUUCAUUAUCUACCAUGGUUGAAAAUGACUCUUUCAACUUAUAGUUCAUCCUUUAAACCCAAGAUUUGACUCAAUAUAUACAUUAGAUCCAUGGCUAGGGUCUUAGCAAUAAUUUAAAUUAAGUUAGGUGAGUUGAGCCUUUAUAUUUGCAUAAUUCAUUCCUUAUUUAUGUCAUUGGAGCACAAAUUAUGACUUUAAUCAGUAUUAUAAGACUCUUUAUCACUUUGCAAAGUAAUGAGAAUAGUCAUAUCUCAAGAAUGAACCUAGCACUAAUCAAACACUUUGUUUCUAAAGUCUAGACCAUGUUAAUCUAAAUAGGAUCUAAAGGCUGAUCAAGUAUAAACUUUUUAUUUUUAAAGAUCUUUUCAUUUGUGAAUCCUAUAUAAAUGAUAAAAUGACUAAGAGAACCUUUGCUUUUAAAAGACUAGAGCCAUGUAAUGUUUUAAGCUAGUGAAUAUUAUUGACAAGUAUGGAACUUUUAGUGUUUAUGCAUUGGGAGGGUUAGGGGUACUUAAUCACUUUUAUUGACAAUUACUCUAGGUUUGGAUAUGUAUACCUAGUACAUAGGAAAUCCAAUGCCUUAGAUGAAUUCAUUGAAUUUAGGGCUAAAUCAGAGAAACUAUUAGGUAAACAUAUCAAGGCAUUUUGAUUACGUUGAGUUGAUAAGUCUAAUAGUUUCGAUUCUUCCUAGAGAGCAUGAGAUUAUAUCCUAAUAAAAUUCACUUAAGACUCCAUUGAAAAACAGAGUAAUGGAAAGAAGAUAUCAAACUUUGAUACAUAGUGAGAUCAAUGAUUGGUUUCCCAUCACUUCCCAUAUUCUGUUAGAGCUACAUUGUCUGCCCUAAAAACCACUCCAAGGGUGUGAUAGUCAUUUCGCACCUCAAGCCCAAAGGCUCUAUGUGGAAACAACACAAACAUGAAUCUUGUAAUUAAAAAUUACCAAUCACCAAAUUCAUGUUUAAAGUAGUGGCAAAAAUUCUAUUAUCUCCAAAUAUCAACUUUAAAACUAACAUAUCAACUAAAGUAUUAUUGUCUAAGCAAUUUCAAACUUAAACAAUAGCUAAUAGAAAUCCAUUCUAACAUUUAAACAAAGUCCCAAAAGAGAGUUUAAACAAAUGUGCUAAUAAAGUCAAAUUCCUUUCCUAACCGUCAAUCCUCACUUGAAUUAAGGGUACCUCAAAGGAAGUCCGCAAAAACCUAGGAGAAAAAUAAUUCUGAAGAAUUUACUCUUCAAUCACCUAGGAAAUUGAUCUUCAACUCUAAACCUUCAAAUCUUCCACCCUACGUUGCCCUAUGUUCUCCAAUCUCUCUAUUUUUAGUGUAAUAGGGUUUUUUGAAUGAAGAAGAUAAGAACAAUCUAAUUUAUACCUAGGGUUGUUAAAUACGAAAAUACCUUUUUACUCUAAUUAAAUUUAUUUAACUUAUUUUAUUUAUAAAUUACGUUUUUACCCCUAAAUUAGGUUUGGGGCGUCACAUCCUCCCCUUUCUAAUAGAAGUUUAGUCCUCUAAACUUGACAUACAUAAGUUUUGAAAUAAAUGAGGAUGUUUUUCUCUUAUGUCUUCCUUUAAUUCCUAAGUGACCUAUCUAAUACUCAGAUUGCUUUACUUGACCUUUAUCAACUUGACAAUAAUAGGACAUAGUAUCUUUUCCAUCAAGCACCACAUAAGCCUAAAACCCUUUGACAAUCCUUCCUAGACAAGGAACUAGCCCAUAAAGUCGAGAUCAUACACAAUGGUCUAACCAUAACUUUCCCUCAAAACUAAACUCAUGUUGGUUAGGAAUGUGGAAAUCACCAUUUUGCCAAAAUAAUUAUAAAAAAAAAAACCAUAAUAGGAAGCUAACAAAUCUAUCCUCAAAAUCACAUGAAAAUCCUGAAAGUCAAGGAGUACAAAGUCAAUUGACAUCUCUCUAUAUCCAGUCAUCACAAGACAGCCUCUAAACAUUAUGUUGUCCACAAUAGAAUGUCUCAUAGGAAUAGCAACAAUCAAAUCAAAGUCCAAGCUGCCAACAAGCAUAUCCAAUAUACCAACAAAAGAUGUUGAAACAAAAGAGUAUGUUGAACCAUGAUUAGCCAUUGAGAAACCAAUUAGACAAUUUAAAAUAAAAGGGGAAUUUAUACUAGAUGAAACUGAAACUUAAACUAAUGUGUCACUCAUCUAUCCCCAAUCUAAACCAAUUCAAGAUCAUAACCUAGUGCUCUGAUACCAUUUUGUCACUCCCUAAACCCCACUCCAAGGGCGUGAUGGUCAUUUCACACCUUAAGCCCAAAGACUCCAAAGUGGAAAUGACACAAAUAUUCAUCUUGUAACUGGAAAUUCUCAAUUACCAAAUUCAUGUUCAAAGUAGUGGAACAAAAUUCUAACAUCUCCAAAUAUCAACUUUAAAACUAACAUAUCAACUAAAGCAUUACUAUCCAAGCAAUUUCAAACUUAAACCAUAGCUAAUAGAAAUAAAAUUCUAAUAUUUAAAUGAAGUCCCAAAAGAAAGUUUAAACAAAUGUCCUAAUAAAGCCAAAUUCCCCUCCUAAUCGUCACUCUUCGCCCGAAGUAAGAAUACCUCAAAGAAAGUCCUCAAAAACCUUAGACAAAAAUGAUUCUGAAGAAUUUACUCUUCACUUAGAAAAUUGAUCUUCAACUUUAAACCUCCAAAUUUUCUAUCUUACGUUGCCCUAUGUUCUCCGAUCUGUCUGAUUUUUGUGUAAUAUGGUUUUCUGAAUAAAGAAGACAAGAACAAUCUAAUUUAUACCUAGGGCUGUCAAAUAUGAAAAGACAUUUUUACCUUAAUUAAAUUUAUUUAUUUAUUUAUUUAUUUAUUAUUUCUAAAUUAUGUUUUUGCCCCUAAAUUAGGUUUGGGGUGUCACAUACAUCUUAGAGAUUGUGUUAUAGCUUCUUUACCUAAGAGGCAUAUUAGUUAAUAAAGUAUACAAGAGGAUUUUGGGUUAAUAUCUUUAUAGUCAAGUUCAUCAAAAUGUAUUUGUUGGCUCAAAUGUUAGAUUUUCUAAUGAAAAAUACAUGAUAAGGAAUAAGACAAAUAGUGAUACAAAUUGGAGAACACUAGAAGAUGUCCCACAUUGCAAAAGAAAAUAUGGAUCCAUGGAUAUAGAGGCAUACUAUUCCCGAUACUUCUAGUACAUGAGUGUCUUAUCAUAGUGGGAGGUUUGUAUCCCAUAGAUUAUGAUGAAGUAGUGAGUAGUGUAGGUGCUCAUUUUUUUGGCAAGGAACUAUGAAGGAAAAGUUAGGAUCCUUGUGUUCUAACAUAGUCUAUAUUAUUUUAGAAGCACCUUAAAGAAUAAAACCUAUAGGUAUAAAUUGGUCUACAAGAGGAAAAAAAAAAUAGAUGGAAAGGUUGAGUUUUAUGUGAAUAGGUUGUAGCUAAAGGUUAUAGUUCUAACAGUGUUUUGACUAUAGGAGACUUUUUCACUAAUAGUCAUGCUCAAAUCCAUCAGAGUAAUAUCUAUUGCGGUGUAUCUCAAUUUUAAGAUGUAGCAAUUGGAUAUCAAGAUAGUGUUCUUAAAUAGUUAUCUUGAUGUUAGCAUCUAUAGGAUGCAAUCAAACAUUUUCAUAGCAAAGGGCUUUGAGUACUAUAUAAGAAGGCUCAAGAAAGCAUGGUGGUGCUUUAAGAUCUUGUAGGUAGAUGAGAAUCUACUAUUUGGGAAUGAUGUAAGGAAACCCUAGCCACCCUCAAGAAAGAGAGAAAAAUCUAUCUUUCUCUCGUCCUUAGAUCUAUGAAGGGUGAAAUUAGGGGAAAGAUUAUUAGAUAGAUGCUAUGAAGACUGUUGCAGUUUCAACAUUUUUUUUUCCACUAUGUUAGAUCUAGAGAACCUAAGGAUAGAUUACAUGCACCCCAUGAGAUCCAGGGCCAAGAAACAAAGUAAUUUAGGGUUCCUAGUAGAGAUGCCAUGCAACAUAGUAACUUGGUGAAUUAUGAAAAUUCAAUAGUCUUAUGUCGUGAUUCAUUGUAGGUCAUAUCUAAUGUGUAAUCACACACUAGUGCAUUCACCAUGGGAACUCUAUCCCGAUAGCUAAAACAAGUCAUCUUUCUAAUUAGAAAGUAAUGCACAAUAGUUUUUGUUAAAUUGCCUAAAUUCAUGAACCGACUAUGAACAAUGAUUACUACCAAAAAGUGCUAUUUUGUAGACCUAAUUAUAAUGGUUUUAAGCACCUUUGAGUAGUAAUCAUAUUCAUUUAACCAAAUUAAUUCAUUAAGGUCCUUAGUAAUUGGUUUUAACCUUUUUGUGGCAAAGUUGACAUGUUUUUAUCAGCUUAUGAAUCGAUUCAAGCAUGCCAAUUGAUGGAGGAGCUACUUGGGCGAGUUAAGCAAGGAUUUUGUACGUUUAUAGGCUUGAAUUUCAAGUGGAAACACGAGCACAAGCAAUGGAGAAGAGGAAAACAGAGUGAAGAAAACAGAGUAAAGAAAACAGCUGCAGUCUUCCUUUGAACUUUUGGAGCACUUCCCGAAGUCUAUUUUUUGCAUUCUAUAUACCAUUUGAAAGCUUAGGAAGUCAAAAAUCCAACGCUUCAAACCGUGUAUGAUUUGGAGCUGAAAUGAGGAAGAUAUGGCCUUUAGAAGACAACUGCAUCAUGUCAAAUGACCAAUUUCGCAAUGUGAAUUUCACAUUGCGAAAAUUUCGCAAGGAGAUUUUCUUCAUGGUGCGAAAUUUUGCCAUUUCGCAAUGUGAAUUUCACAUUGCAAAAAUUUCGCAAGGAGAUUUUCUUCAUGGUGCGAAAUUUUGCCACUUCGCACCAUGAAGAAACACAUUGCGAAAAUUUCGCAAGGAGGAUUUAGGCACAUUGCGAAAUUCCUUUGAAUCCCCUGUUUUGAGACGUUGUUGAUGUUAUUCCACUACCGGUUCUCCAAGAUAUUUUGCUUGAUUUUUAGCUUUGUAAAUACCUAUUUUACCCUUGUAAUCAACCAAUGAAAAGGUUGCUUUUGUAAUAGCUCUUGUAAUUUAGCUUUUUAUUGUCUUUAAAUAGAGGUGAAGAGCCUCAGAUCAUCUAAUCUUGUAACCUGUAACUUUAUAAGUUAUAAGAGCACUUUUGUUCAUACGUUUCUUUUCUCUUUUCUUUCUCAUUUUCUUAGUAGCCAAACAUCCUUGGAGGAUGAAAUCCCCAAGGAUGAGAGGCUAAAACCUUUUAGUUUCUUGAAGUAAUGGAUGCCAUGUGAAGCUCCCGUGUCAGGAUGGAGAUUUCCAAGCCAUGAAUGUAAGUAGCUGAGCGUCAUAAAUGUUUUCAUUCAAAGUAAAGCUUUUAAUCCCUCUGACUUGCUUUGAAUGGCCAAUACUUGAUAACCUUUUGGUCUCAGUGGAUUCUUAUUGUUAGAUCCACUGACGUUCAUUAGUUAUCUCCUACGAGCCAUUGUAUUGCAAGUCGAGGAAAUGACCUAUAUCAUUAAAAGAGCAUUUAUGAGGUUCAGCUACCCUUUUUGUAAGUUUUCAAGGACUAAAACUCAGUUGUUAAACACAUACCGGUUCGGGAAGUAAGCAUCACCUUAGUUGCUUCCCCAACUCGAGGUGAAAAGUUCCAAAAUCUCCAUUUUUACACAGUGAGUUAAGCAUGGCUAUCCAAAGCUUUGAGAAACUUCUUUUUCCAUCUUUUAACCUAUUUUCAUGUUAGUUUAGUUUACACACCUUCAUCUUUUUAUGUUUUCAUCUUAACCUAAUUUUUAUUAAGAAAAGUUCACUCCAUCCUCCGAACUUCACCAGUUAAAGUAAAAACCCUUCCCAGUGUUCGAUCCUAGAGCCACUAUGCUAUAGUAGCUUUGCUACUUUAGUGUAAGGACGUUAGGUAUAAAUUUUGUUGAUACCCUUACAUGCCAAGCUACCAAGAGUCGGGUUAUCAAAUGGCGCCGUUGCCGGGGAAGGUGCUACUUCACUAUGAAUAUAUCAGCCGGAGGUAACUUGUGAGACUUCUCAUGAGUAAGGUGAAUUCUAUCUCCUUUUUCAUUUACUAACUUUUUAUUUUAGUUUUAGAACAUUUUUAACUUAGUUUAGAUAAGUUUCUUUUAGCUUUUAACUUUCAUUUUUAGUUUAUUUUUCAUACUCUGUUUUUCCUUCCGCAUGCUCUGUUUUUUCUUCUUUUUCUUUGUUUUGUUUAUUUGUUUUGUUCCAGCUGAAUCCGUGCAUGCCCUAUUGGAUUAGAGACCAAGAGGGAAGGUUAGUACGGAUAGAGACUCCACGAGCUACUGAAUUAGAGAUUAUUUUGGAAGUCAUAGAGAAUCAACCAGAGGAUCAACAUUCACAACACGGGCAGGGGAAUGAUCCGAACUUGUAUAGGUCCAUGAGGGACAGGAUGCACCCUCCGAGGAUGAGUGCACCAUCUUGCAUCAUUCCUCCUACAGAGCAAUUGAUUAUCAGGCCACACAUCGUGCCUCUGCUUCCUACUUUCCAUGGGAUGGAAAGUGAAAAUCCAUAUGCGCACAUAAAGGAAUUCGAAGAUGUGUGCAAUACUUUUCAAGAAGGGGGAACAACUAUUGAGCUUAUGAGGUUGAAGCUCUUUCCAUUCACAUUAAAGGACCAAGCCAAGAUAUGGCUCAAUUCCUUGAGGCCGAGAAGCAUAAGAACAUGGACAGAACUUCAAGCUGAUUUUUUGAAGAGGUUUUUCCCUACUCACAGAACAAAUGGAUUGAAGAGACAAAUCUCCAACUUCUCAGCACGUGAAAAUGAAAAAUUUUAUGAAUGCUGGGAGAGGUAUAUGGAGGCCAUCAAUGCAUGUCCUCACCACGGCUUUGAUACAUGGCUUUUGGUGAGCUAUUUUUAUGAUGGCAUGUCAUCUUCAAUGAAGCAGAUAUUGGAGACAAUGUGUGGGGGUGAUUUCAUGAGCAAGAACCCUGAGGAGGCUAUGGACUUCCUAAGUUAUGUCUCAGAGGUUUCCCGUGGAUGGGAUGAGCCCAAUAGUAGAGAAAUGGGGAAGAGGCCAGUUCAGCAAAUGUCAAGAGGGGGGAUGUACAGUCUGAGUGAAGACAUGGAGAUGAAAGCCAAGGUAGCUGCCAUGGCUAGAAAAAUAGAGGAAAUGGAGUUGAGAAAAGUUCACGAAGUCGAAGCUAUUUCAGAACCUCAACAACAAGCCAAUCUUUGCUCCAUAUGUCAGUCAUUUGAACAUAUGGUGGAAGAAUGUCCCACCAUUCCGGCAGCAAGAGAAAUGUUCGGGGAACAAGCUAACCUGAUUGGCCAAUGGAAGCCAAAUUCAAAUGCUCCCUAUGGCAACACGUACAACUCUAGCUGGAGGAACCACCCAAACUUUGCAUGGAAGCCAAGGCCAAACCCAUAUCAGUCACCAGCCCAAUCAAGCCAACAGAGUCAAGGUCAAUCCUCAGUUGAGCAAGCACUCGUAAGCCUUAGCAAGGUUAUGGGUGACUUUGUGAGUGAGCAAAAAUCCAUCAACUCUCAACUAAAUCAGAAGAUUGACAACGUAGAGAGUACAUUGAACAAGAAGAUAGAUGGGAUGCAUAAUGAGUUGUCUCAGAAAAUUGACAACAUCCAAUAUUCCAUCUCAAGGCUCACAAAUUUGAACACUGUCAAUGAGAAAGGGAAGUUUCCCUCUCAGCCUCACCAAAAUCCUAAGGGGAUACAUGAAGUGGAAUCCAAAGAUGAGGAUUCGUCAAAGGUGAGGGACGUGCAAGCUAUUAUCACUUUGAGAAGUGGUAAGGAAGUGCAUCAGCCGAAGAAUGAUCAGAGGAAAGCCAAAGAAGAUAAGGCUGAUAGAAAAGAAGAAAAGAAGAAUGAACAAAAGGGAAAGAAAGUUCAGAUGAAAGAAAGCAUCAUUCCUAGCAUGGAUGAGGAACCUCAAAUUCUUUUAAAGGAAGGCAUGAUGAAGAAGCACAUGCCUCCUCCAUUUCCUCAAGCCUUGCGUGGGAAGAAACCGAUCAAGAAUGCUUCUGAGAUUCUUGAUGUGCUAAGACAAGUGAAGGUGAAUAUUCCUUUACUUGAUAUGAUCAAGCAAGUACCCACAUAUGCAAAGUUUUUGAAGGACUUGUGCACUGUGAAAAGAGGACUUAAUGUUACAAAGCAAGCCUUCCUAACCGAGCAAGUGAGUGCUAUAAUCCAAUGCAAGUCUCCAAUCAAAUACAAAGAUCCGGGGUGUCCUACAAUCUCAGUCAAUAUUGGAGGAACCCAAGUGGAGAAAGCAUUGCUUGAUUUGGGGGCAAGUGUUAACUUGCUUCCAUACUCUGUAUACAAGGAGCUGGGGUUAGGAGAACUCAAGCCAACAUCGAUCACCCUAUCCUUAGCUGACCGAUCAGUGAAAAUCCCCAGGGGGUUAAUAGAGGAUGUAUUGGUUCAAGUUGACAAAUUCUACUAUCCAGUAGAUUUUGUGGUGCUUGAUACAGAUCCCAUUGUCAAAGGGAUCAACUAUGUUCCAAUCAUCCUUGGAAGACCAUUCCUUGCAACAUCCAAUGCAAUCAUCAAUUGUAGGAAUGGGGUCAUGCAACUCACUUUUGGGAAUAUGACAUUGGAACUCAACAUCUUCCAUCUAUGUCAAAAGCACAUCCAUCCUGAAGAAGAUGAGGGCCCAGAAGAAGUUUGUAUGAUAGAUACCCUGGUGGAGGAGCAUUGUAAUCAGAGUAUGCUUGAUCAGUUUGAAGAGAAUCCAGAUGAAAGCCAUGAAGAUCUUGAAGAUGGGUUAGCUGAACCCAUGGGAAUGAAUGCCGUUAUGUCAAACUGGAGACAAAAGCCAGUGAUCCUCCCUUUGUUCAAGGAUGAGAAAGAGAUGAAAGAAGCUAAGGAUGCAAUCCUUAAGCUUGAAUUGAAGACCCUUCCUGCCGAGUUGAAGUAUGCUUACUUGGAGGAAGGCAAUAAAGCCCCGGUGGUAAUUUCUUCUUCUUUAACCGUUUCACAAGAGGACAAUCUUCUUAGAAUCCUUAGAAAGCACAAGAAGGCCAUCGGAUGGCAAAUUUCUGAUUUGAAUGGGAUAAGCCCAUUGAUUUGCACGCACCAUAUUUAUAUGGAGGAUGGAGCUAAGCCAACUCGUCAGCCAUAGAGAAGAUUGAAUCCUCAUAUGCAAGAGGUAGUAAGGGCUGAAGUAUUGAAGCUUCUUCAAGCGGGCAUCAUUCACCCCAUUUCGGAUAGCACUUGGGUGAGUCCAACCCAAGUUGUUCCAAAGAAGUCCGGAAUAACCGUAGUCAAGGGGGAAAAUGGAGAUGAAGUGUCCACAUGCCUCCCAACUGGUUGGAGAGUGUGCAUUGACUACAGGAAGCUGAACACAGUAACGAGAAAGGAUCACUUCCCUUUACCUUUCAUGGAUCAAGUCCUUGAGAGAGUAUCUAGGCAUCCUUUUUAUUGCUUCUUGGAUGGGUAUUCCGGGUAUUUUCAAAUAGAGAUUGCUGUGGAGGACCAGGAGAAGACUACCUUCACUUGUCCAUUCGGCACCUAUGCUUAUAGGCGGAUGCCUUUUGGAUUAUGCAACGCUCCUGCUACCUUCCAGAGAUGCAUGCUUAGCAUCUUCAGUGACAUGGUUGAACGAAUCAUGGAAGUCUUCAUGGAUGACAUAACUGUCUAUGGGACUUCUUUUGAGGAUUGUUUGUCACAUCUUGAAGAUGUUUUGAAAAGAUGCAUAGAGAAAGACCUUGUACUCAAUUGGGAGAAGUGCCAUUUUAUGGUAAAUCAAGGUAUUGUUCUUGGGCACGUAAUCUCAAAGAAGGGUAUAGAGGUAGAUAGAGCUAAGGUGGAAAUAAUUAUGAAGUUGCCACCUCCCACCAAUGUAAAAGGAAUAAGGCAAUUCCUUGGGCAUGCCGGGUUCUAUAGGAGGUUUAUAAAGGAUUUUUCCAAGAUUGCUAAACCUCUUUGUGAAUUAUUGGUGAAGGAUGCCAAGUUUGAGUGGGAUGAUAAAUGUCAAAGGAGUUUUGAGCUUCUUAAGCAAUUCUUGACAUCAGCGCCCAUUGUGAGAGCACCAAAUUGGGAGUUGCCAUUUGAAGUGAUGUGUGACUCAAGUGAUUAUGCCAUUGGGGCUGUUUUGGGACAAAUAGAAGAUGGUAAACCUUAUGUGAUCUACUAUGCAAGCAAGUCUUUGAAUGAUGCUCAAAGGAAUUACACCACUACUGAGAAGGAAUUACUUGCUGUGGUGUAUGCUUUGGAUAAGUUCAGAGCUUAUUUGAUAGGGUCUUCCAUUGUGGUAUUCACGGAUCAUUCAGCUUUGAAGUAUUUGCUAACCAAGCAAGAUGCCAAGGCUAGGUUGAUUAGGUGGAUACUUUUGCUUCAAGAGUUCAACCUCCAGAUCAGAGAUAAGAAAGGUGUUGAGAAUGUGGUAGCUGACCACUUGUCAAGGCUCAACAUUGCUCAUGACACCCAUGGACUUCCCAUAAAUGAUGAUUUCCCUGAGGAAUCCUUGAUGCUUGUAGAGGAAGUGUCAUGGUUUGCACACAUUGCCAAUUACUUGGUCACGGGAGAAAUACCAAGUGAAUGGAGCUCUCAGGACAAGAAGAAUUUCUUUGCCAAGGUCCAUGCAUAUUAUUGGGAGGAGCCUUUUCUCUUCAAGUAUUGUGCGGACCAAAUUAUAAGGAAGUGUGUGCCUGAACAAGAGAAGCAUGGGAUCCUAUCUCAUUGCCAUGAGAAUGCAUGUGGAGGCCACUUUGCCUCUCAAAAGACGGCAAUGAGAGUUCUUCAAUCGGGCUUUUGGUGGCCCUCGCUGUUUAAGGAUGCCCAUGAGGUAAGUAAAGGAUGUGAUAAGUGCCAAAGACUAGGCAAGCUUUCAAGGAGAAACAUGAUGCCUUUGAACCCCAUCUUGAUAGUGGAUCUUUUUUAUGUUUGGGGCAUAGACUUCAUGGGACCUUUCCCUAUGUCUUUUGGCCACUCCUACAUCUUGGUAGGAGUUGAUUAUGUUUCAAAGUGGGUUGAAGCUAUACCCUGUAGAACCAAUGAUCACAAAGUGGUUCUCAAAUUCCUAAAAGAAAACAUCUUCUCGAGGUUUGGAGUGCCUAAAGCAAUCAUCAGUGAUGGAGGCACUCACUUUUGCAACAAGCCCUUUGAAGCUCUUUUGGCCAAGUACGGAGUCAAGCAUAAGGUAGCUACACCUUAUCAUCCUCAGACGAGUGGCCAAGUAGAGCUAGCCAACCGGGAAAUUAAGAACAUCUUGAUGAAGGUGGUGAACACCAAUAGGAAAGAUUGGUCUGUUAAGCUCCUUGAUUCCCUAUGGGCGUAUAGGACGGCUUAUAAGACUAUCCUUGGGAUGUCACCGUACCGUCUUGUUUAUGGCAAAGCUUGUCAUCUUCCUGUUGAGAUUGAGUUCAAGGCAUGGUGGGCCAUUAAAAAGCUCAACAUGGAUUUAACUAAGGCUGGGCUAAAGAGGAGUUUGGAUUUGAAUGAGCUUGAGGAAUUGAGAAAUGAUGCCUAUCUCAACUCAAAAAUAGCUAAGGAAAAGCUAAAGAGAUGGCAUGAUCAGUUGGUGACCAAGAAAGAAUUUUUCAAGGGACAAAGAGUCUUGCUAUAUGACUUUAAGCUUCACCUAUUUCCAGGAAAGCUCAAAUCAAGGUGGGUAGGGCCUUUUGUCAUCCACCAAGUACACUCACAUGGAGUAAUUGAGUUACUCAACUCAAAUAGUGCAAAGACCUUCAAGGUAAAUGGGCAAAGACUCAAGCCCUACAUCGAGCCAUUUUCCCGUGACAAGGAGGUACUCAUCCUCCAUGACCCAUCACAUCCUUGAGAAAGUGUGGUAAGUUGAUGAGCUUAGCAUGAAAAGCUAAGUGCUCAUCUCUUUUUGUUUUAGUUUUAGUAUUACAUUCUUGUUUACUUUGCAUUUUUAAUACUUUUGCACAUAUUUUGUUUAGGUUUCUUAGUUUUGAUUUUGAUUUUUUUUAUGUUUUUAAUGGAGCUUUGAUAUCCAAUAGCAGGUAUGAAAGCUCAAAAGCACACAAAUGUGGAUAGAAAGGUGAAAUAGGGGAGAAAUAUAUCUAAGUCCAAGCUUAAAAGCCCAUUUCGCAAGGUGAAUUUCACCUUGCGAAAUGCACAUUUUGGCAAGAUGCAAAAUGCAACCUCUCGGGAUUGCACUUUCGCAAGGAGUAACCAGUGCGAAAAUUUUCGCAAGUCAUUUUUCACCUUGCGAAAUUGUUUUCAAAGCAAAUAUCAAAAUGCAACCUCUCGAGAUUAGUUUUUAAGGGGAGUAGCCAGUGCGAAAAUUUGGCAAUGUGAAUUUUCACCUUGCGAAAUUUUUUCUUCAUGCUUACCAAGGUUUUGAUUCUUUUUAAAUUCAUUUUCACGGCUAUCCUGGACCAGCACUCCGCCAUGCUAUCUCAAAUCCACCAUCACCUGGGCAUAUCACCUCCUCCACCUCAGGAGCCACAUCCAUGAUUGGAUAUUUCUAUCUCCAUUUUGUAUAUGUUUUUUGUAGAUGUACAUGUUUUAUAUUCUGAGAUUGUAUGUACCUCAUGCUUCUAUCUUGUACUCAACUCUCUCAGUUUAUAUAAGCAUCAUUUUUUGUAUCUUAUUUCCUCUCUCACGUUUCUUAUGGUUUUUGAAUCAUGUGGAUGCACUCACACGCUUUGAAUACCACAUCACCAUAAGGUAUAUCAUUCCUUCCUCGUAUUUUUCGAUAGAAACAUUGGGGACAAUGUUCAUCUCGGUUGGGGGGAGAGUUGAGGAAGUAAGUAUUUCCUAUUCUAGUUAGUUAUUUUGUUGAUUUAGUAGUUUUUGCCCUUUUUCAAAAUUUUUUGUUUCAUUCUCUAUGGUUGUUAAAGAUAAUUUCUCAAAAUAAAAUAGGAUAAGUCGAGUUUUAACUUAAUUACUUAAGUCUUAGAGUUUGUUUUAUGCUUUCAAAGUUGAUAAUCUAUUGAAGCCCUCUUUGAUUUCGAACUUAUUUCUUCCAUUUCAAGCUUUACACACACCGUGCACAUUAGAUCCCGGAUUUAUGAUGUAAAACUUUCUCACCCUCUAAGCUUAGGAAAAUUUUGACUUGGUUUAUUACUUAACCUCUUUUUAAUAGUGUUGGGACACCUCAAAAAGACCAAUGAGUCUUAGAAAAAGAAAAAGAGAAAAAGAAAAAGAGAAUAAGCUUCUAUUCUUUCCUUGAAACCUAAGGUGGAAGCCAACUUCGCAGCCCUGUGAAGAUAGCUUGGUGUUGCGAAAUAAUUUCGCAGCCCUCUUGGGUGUCUGCGAAAUCUCACAGACACCAUUUUUCUCCUGCGAAAUGGUUCCUGAAGCCUCCCGAAGUUUGCUACCGACAUUUGGAGAUAUUUUCCAUUAGAUUUUUGUUGUCUAAAUCCCAAAAUACUCCUUGUAAACCACCAAUUACAUGAUCCUUAGUUUUUAAGUUAGUAAAAAGACUAAAUAUCUUUGUAACAAUUAGUUUUAUAUUAUGUUGAUAUAUAUACCUCUCGGGAGCCUGUUCUCAGGGAGGAGUUCCUUCUGUAACCGUUUGGGUAAGCAAGUAAAGUCUAUUUUCUUUCUACUACCUUACCUUCUCACUUUGUAUUUUCAUUUUAUUUCUAAGUUAUGAAUUCUCUGAGGAGUUUUCCCCAGAGAAUGAGUAACUAAACCUCUAAUUCCUUGGAGCUAAGGUUGCCGGGGAAGGUUCCAAGUGCAAGAAUGCAAAGCUCUGUGGUUUUAGCUAGUAAUGAAGAGGAAGUGAAAUCCUUUAGUGAUUUAUAUAUUUUUAGUUAACUUAAAACACUUUGGAGUUACCUGGGCCAACACUUGGUAAGGCAAGUGAUUUCCAACCAUGGAAAUGCACUAGUUUACCCCUUGCGAGCCUUUGGGAGGUGACUUCAAGGUAGGAUUUUCUAGAAUAGCCAACACUUGGUAAGCUUUUGGACUCCUAGGAGACAUCCAUUAGUUAUCUCUUGCGAGCUUUUGACGGUUAAUCCAAGGUUAAAGAUCACCUUGAAUGGUUAAGGCUUAGUGAGAGGCUUAAACCAUUGCAAAGUGCAUCAGUGAGAGAAUUAAAGUGAAAUCUAAUUGAAGGAGUCUCUGUACAUCACCGGUUAGAGAAUUGACUAUAUGUUGAAUCUCUAACGCGAGGAAAUGAACCAUCUGACCAGAGUCGUGUCUUUUGCAUGAGGAACCACCCCAGUGAACCUAACUCUCCAAGGAAUGUUUUCUUCCUAAGUUAUUUCAAACUUCUGUUAUGUUAGUUAGUUUAAGUCUAAACCUUUACCAAUCAAAGUUUGUGUUUUACUUCUUAAACUAACCUUGAAAUGAAACAAGGCCAAUUCACUUGGAAUUUGUCACACCCCAAUUUUUUUUUUUUCUUAUUAUUAUUAUUAUUUAUUCUUCAACUAAACAAUUGAUACUCAAAUACAGUAUAAGUGCUCUCAAAAACUUAAAUGUUGAGUUCCUACUUGAAUUUGUUCAAAAAGAGGAUAUGGAAAACCUGUUAUAAGGAGUACAUCCUGUAUUAAAUAUUGUGACUAUUAAGUUAACAAAAUAUGUUUUGUUUCACAAAAGAAACUUGUACAACAUUCAUUUACAUAUACCAAACCCCAUUGUUUACUACGGGUAGCCCAUACUACAAGUGUAUCUAACAAAUAUAUACAUUACAUCAUUCCAACAAAAGGUGUAGUCUUGAUACAAAAGGCAUGGCCUCAAAAGACUUUCAAUAUGAGCAAACAGCAUCCAAUCACAGUAAAGCAUUGCUCAAGCAUUCUUUCCUGCAUAGGUCUUCUGACCUGCAUCUAUAGGUGGAAGGAAUAGGGUGAGUUCACAACUCAGUAGGAAAGUUUAUAACCAUCCUAAGUAUACCCUUAAAAACCUUGAAUUAAACGUUUAAUAACAUGCAUGAUAAACAUUUCAUAACAAUUAACAAAUGUGUAAUCAUGUCAAACAUGUAUGCAUGUGUUUGUUGGUUUCAUCAUUGCUUUUCCCCAUCCAUCCUUUCACAACUGAUAAUUUGCUGACUCCCAACAAUCUACACAGCAGAUAUCAAUGCUCCACAAGAUACUCGAUCAAUAUAAUAAUGACUAUUCUGGGACAUCACCCAAGGGCAAGUCAUACCCCGUGUCUUUUGGGACUCAUACCCAAGGGCAGGACCAACCCCGUGUCUUUAGGGACUAAAACCCAGGGGCAGGACCAACCCCAUACACCCACAUCGGAGUGUCUUCCUCGAGAGCUUUAGGGACUUUCACCCAAGGACCCACGGUCCCACAUAAACAAUAUAUCAAAUGAUAAGGCCUGUAGCAUCACAUAAGCACUUCGCCACCAAUAAAUUCUCUGAAUAUGAUCUGUGAUAAUUCCAUAUCCUACUUGCAAUGCAAUCACACCAUAAACCAUUUCGACAACACAAAACCACGAAUCUUCAUUCCAAUAUACGUUCCAACAUCAUGGUAACAUUUCAAUGCAAUAAACCGAGAUGCAAUGACACUUUAAAAGAUUUGAUGAAAUCAUAGAAAUAACAUAAAAUUCCAACAAAUAAUUCAAGGAAAGAAAUCAGAUACACCAUAGAAUAGCAUAAAAUUCCCUACCUUACACCGACUUCCUUUUUGUGUUUCUUCUAAGUAGGCGAUCUUUGCCUAUUACGAGGAACUGAAAUGAAACAACAUAAUUUAGGUUUCCUAACCAUGAAAAUUUAUAUAGUUUAUUGUUGUAAAUUUUUAAUUCUCACGUUCUCUAAUCUAUAUCCUACAUGUUUACAGAUCAAAUUAGAAUUGAAUUAAACAAUAUUUGCAAUGCAUAUUAAUUUCCCUAAUUAAUUACCAAACACUAAUUCUUUUGAUUUUCUUAAAGCCUAACCUAUUAACAAAUCCCAAGUGUCCAAAUAACCCAAUUCAUCACAUGUUUACUAAUCUAUUUUUCAAUCAAACCAAAUUAAACAAAGAUUUAUGCUGAUCUUACCAUUAAUAAAAUACUUAACUGAAAAUACUUUAAUCUUUAAUUAAUUGUGAUUUUUAACUAAAACAGGUUUAUAGCUAAUUAUACUCAACUUUUACACAAUUUUUACCAUUAAUUCUAUUCAACAUGCCAUUAGGAACCAAAAUAAACGAAAAUUACAAAAUUAAACACUUGCUUACCUCAAAUCUACACUUUCUCUCUCUAGUUUCUCUCUCUAACCCAAGUUGCUGCAGGUGAAAUGGAGCAAAACGAGCUGCAGCCCCCCUUAUAAAGGGUCUCCAAGCACCCAAGCAUGAGGUGGCAGCCCACAUGGCUGCCACCAAUCCACCCAAGUAGGAGGUGGCAUUCCACUAACCUUAAUUUUCAAAUAUUGCACUUUAGUCCUUCAAGUUAUAAAAAAAUAAAACCCAUAAUUGCCCAUUAGUCCUUUAGGUUUUCAUAACCCUAAUUAGUCCCUAAGAACCUAAUAAGCAUGCUUAGGUCAUUAACUAAUCCCACUUAACCUUAAUCAAAGUUUAAUUCAUAAUUAAACAUGAUUAACACUAAACUAGUUUUAACAUCUAAUUAAGCAAGCUUAAAGUUAAGUACUAAAAUAGUCAUUAGUACUAGGUGUUACAGAAUUGGUAUCAUUGAUUGCUUGUUAAUCAUUCCCAGUGAACGAUCCUAGAGCCACUAUACUAUAGUAGCUUUGUCUUUGCUACCCUAGUAUAUGGUGUUAUAGGUUAUAAAUUUUGUUGAUUACUCCCUCAAUCAAGGAGCACCAGCUGGACACAAAUCAACUAAGACACCAAUUGGGCACGAAUCAUGCCAUAUUCUCAAAGUGGCAACUUUAAAAUAAAUAAAUAAUCUGAUAUAUAGUGGAGGUUCAAAGUGGCAGCCUCAUCCUCUUAAAAAAUCUGAUGCAUGCUGAAGCUAUCUCCAAGUAGCAACCUAUGGAGAUUCCAAGUGAUUGCAGCCUGUGGAGAUGUCCCUCCUUGCAGCCUGCUUUAAUCUUUCCACCGAAUUCUUAAACCACAUGUUCAUGGCCAUAUUUAAUUUAAAUAAUCCACCCACCAUCCUCCACUAUGCAGCACACUUUAUCCAUUAAUUUUCAAUGAACUCUCAACCACCAUACAUUCACUAUAUGAAACCAUUUCAUCCAUUGAUUUUUAAUAAAAAAAUUCAGCCAUGCACACACAUGUCCAACCACUAUUCUCAUGAAUUUAAGAGAAUUUUUAGCCACAAAAUUACCUUAUAUGAAACCACUUUAUGCCAUGAUUUAAUUCACAAAAUUCAGCUUCACAUUUCCACUUAGUCAUCUAACAAAUUCAUAUUUUUACCAAUGAAAAUUCAUGCACCUCACAUCUCCAUUAACAUGGUCGCCACUCCAUUUCUCCACCAACACAUACUAAAUCCAUUAAACCCUUGUAUUCACAUCAAUAAAUUGUUAGGAUAGAGCCCUUAAAAGUAUAACAUGAUAUAAUAAAUUUGGAAUUCGUUAUUUAUUUAAUGAUAUUCCAAUUUCAUUUUUAUCUAUCCUUAUUCCAUGUAUUAUACUUUAUGAGCAUUCUUGUCUGCAUUUUUUGCAUUGUACAUAACUUAGGUGAAUUAGGAAUUGCAUAGAAUAUCUAAGUCAUGGGUUCCUUGCAAAUAGAUGACUUGUUCACAACUGGUUCAUGCGUCUAGGCAACCCAUUAAAGGUUGUAAUGCACUACCUCCUAAUUGGAGGGAUGGUUGGUUUUGGCUAUUGGGAUGGGUUUCUCAUGGUAAGUGCACUAGUAUGUAUGGUUACAUAUUGGAUAAGACCUACGGUGAGUCAUGAAUUAAGGCUAUCAAGUAGUCAUGACCUCACCAAGCCACUUCAUUGUAUUGUCUCUCAACCUUGAGAGAAUAUUGAGCUUGUGCUAAAGGCUUUAACCUACGGGUGAGAUCGUAAGCUAAUCAUAUAUUCCCUAUGGAUUGGGUCACUGUUGAGGGAAGCUAGUAACAAUAAUUAUUCUCAAUAGAGACAUUGUGGUAUCUUAUGGGAUUGAGACAAUGUGUCCCCUUAGGUGAUCCUAAGGAGGUGUGUUCAUGAAAACUAUAGUCAUAGUAGCCUUAAGUGAAACUUAACAUAGGCUCUUUGAGAGCUAAGACAUGUCGGUUGAAUACACAAUAGGAGGAUUUAUAACUCAAGAAUAGUAGAGGUAGUCUUGAAAAGCUGAUAGUUUCACCUUGUUAGACUAUGGACACCAAUUCAUAGGGAAACUAAACACAAUGGAUAGCAAGUCACAGACUUGAGCACUAGUGUCUCAUUGUUAUUUACAUAGGAUACUAGAGUUCAAUUGAUUCUUUGUAGUGGGAUGUUGAAUCAACUUCAGAAUUAGAUUAUGAGAUACUCCUAUGGGUCCUAGUGGUCCUUGCUCUGAACUCAUAUACCUUAUUGGCAUAGAUUUUGAGGGUUGGAUUGGCUCUAAGUUCACUUAUGUGCAUAAGGGAAUUUUGGUAAUUACGGAAGGUUGAUUUUGGUAAUUAUGCAAGGUUACAUAGGGGUAAGUGAACAAGGUCUCUGGAUUAGGCUUAUUGAUUAAUUACUAGGCCCUAUUGGAUUAAUUAAUCAAUUAGGACCCAUUUUGGGCUAGAUUAAGUGACCCAAGCCGAUACUUAAGCCUAGUUAGGAACGCUAUAAAUACCCCCUAAGGGUUAAGAUUUCCAUCACUUUUGUCUUCCAAAAUCCAAAGAAAAAGAGAGUCAUAGCCUUCACCCUCCUUUCCUCCCCACUAGAAGUGUGCCAAAAACAAGGUUGAGUCAUCAAGCAGAAAAUCGUGGGUUUACGAGACUUCCAACAAUUUCAAGAUCACCUUUAACACUUGGAAUUUAAGGUUUGGGAACAUCCAAACCUAAAGGUUAAUACUAAACCCUAAAAGAUCAUUUUUUUUUUUUAAAUUGGUAUUGCUUUCAUUUCUUAGAUCUAAGAUGCCAACAUAAAUUCCCUCAACUACACUUAAACUUCCUUCUAAAGCAAUUUAAUAUUAAAAAUAAAUAAAUAAAAUAAAAUAAUACCCAAUGGUGCAUGUUGACGAUUACUGAUGGCGCAUGUUGAAUAUUGAUCCUAAAAUGUAGAGAACUCUAACCAAAGCAAUGCAACUCAUGUUCCAACGAAGAGACAUCGGGUUGAUCUAGAAGGUUUGUUGUUGAUGAAUUCCUCUAGAAACAAAUAAGUAAUGAUUUCCAAUGGUUGUCCUUCUUGAAAAAAAUCUAUCGGUUUGUUCUUUUUUUUUUUUUUACAUUUUAUUUCUUCCUCUCAUUCCUACUCAAAAUUAGAACCCUCCCCCCUUAUCAGAAUAUUUUGUCCUAAAAAUGGCCCUUCCAUAUCUUUUCUUUCAAAAUCUCCUCUUUUCCCAUGAGAAACCCUUUGAAACUCCCAUCUCCACAUGCCCUAGCAUAUUCCUUUUACUUGUUGCAUGGGUGUCCAUAACAUGGUCUUCACUUGUAUCUAAUUUCCAAUAAAGCAUGAGUUAUGCCUUGUUGACUGCAUGCAUAUAGAGGAGAUUACCUACACCUAAGUGGCCAUGCAUGGCCAUGCAAUAAGUAGGGCCUAGUCGAGGCGUAUUUCCAAUAUUGACAGUACUAAACUUUGAUUUGUACGAUACUAAUGGCUUGCCAAUGACAUUUUUCUCCGAAGUUAUAGUCCUCAAUUUCCAAUAUAUAUAGCACUCAAGUCCCAUGCAAAAUAAGCUAAGGUCAAACGAAUUAAAACUAAACAUCAAAAUUAUGCAAUAAAUAAUAAAAACUAAAUAAAUAAAUAAGUAAAUAAAAAUAAUGAUAAUAAAUAAAUAAAGCAAAUAUAACCAUAAAUAUCACGUUUGCAAUUUGAGGAAUUUAAGAUGUUAAAUGAGCUCAAUGGAUAGUAAUAAAAAAAAUAAAAAAUAAAAAAAAAUAAUGUCAAAUUCACAAAGACCAAGCCAAAUGUUACUGACAUUAAAAAACAAGCAACCAAACUUAGGAACAAACCUAACUGAACUAACCUUACAGGAGCAUCUGAAUGAAAACUAUCCUUAAAAAAUCUAAGUGAGAUCUAAACUAAACUAGAAAGGCAACCAAAGGAUGACUACGUGUUAAGAGAGAAACAUGGGAAGGCACCUAGUGUCAUGUGCUAAAAGGACAAAAUAGAGGGUCCACAAAUAUGCCCCUCUUCGAUACAGAUCAGGAGUGCAAGGAAUAUGAGUGGAAACAUGAGUAAUAAGUGGUAACAAAGUGAACUAUAUCGAAGAACUAAGAAAGGACUAGAAAUUUUGUCCUAGCACAUGACAUAAAAGAACGUAAGAUAGAUCAAUCACAAGAGAAGAAAUAUCCUUAAUAAGAGGAAUACAAGAAAUCCAAGCAACGAACUAAUAGACAUGAUUAAUAUGAUGGGACGAUAAGGACAAAGAAUGGAAGCUAUCAUCUCUAAGCACUAAAAGAUUAUAACUUUGAACACCUAUGGCUCUAAACGCCUACGAAAGAAAUGGCUCUGAACACCUAUGAAAGAAAUGGCUCUAAAUGCCUAUGAAAAUGAUGGCUCUAAUUGCUUAUGAAAGAGAUGGCUCUGAACGCCUACAAAAAUAGUGGCUCUAAAUGCUUAUGAAAGAAAAUGGCUUUGAACACCUAUGAAAAUGAUGGCUCUAAAUGCCUAUGAAAGAAAUGGCUUUGAACUCCUAUGAAAGAGAUGGCUCUAAAUGCCUAUGAAAGUGGUGGCUCUGAACACCUAUGAAAGAAAUGGCUCUGAGCACCUAUGAAAAUGGUGGCUUUGAAUGUCUUUGAAGCAAAUGGCUCUAAACGCCUACAAAAGUGGUGGCUCUAAACACUUAUAAAAGUGGUGGCUCUGAAUAUCUACGAAAGUGGUGGCUCUAAACGCCUAUGAAAGUGGUGACUCUGAACACCUAUGAAACCAGUGGCUCUAAACACCUAUGGCUUUAAACACCUAUGAAAGUGGUGAAUCUGAACGCCUAUCCGAAAGAGUAGCUCUGAAUGCUUAAACUAAAAAAUAAAAAUAAAUAAAUAAAUAAAAAUAAAUAAAUGGCUUUGAACACCUAACUAAAAAAAGUGGCUCUAAGCACUUAACUAAAAAAAGUGGUUCUGACCACCUAAUUGAAAAAAAUGGCUUUGAAUGCCUAAAUGAGAGUGGCUCUAAACGCCUAUGAAAGUGAUGGCUCUAAAUGCCUAUGGCUCUUAAUGCCUAUGGCUCUGAACACCUAUGAAAGUGGUGAAUUUGAAUGCCUAUUUGAAAUGGGAUGGCUCUGAACACCUAAACUAAAAAAGAGUGGCUCUAAACGCUUAUGAAAGUGGUGGCUCGGAACACCUAUGGUUUUGAAUACUUAUGAAAGUGGUGGCUCUGGACACCUAUGGCUUUGAAUGCUUAUGAAAGUGGAGGCUCUGGACGCCUAUCCAAAAUGGGGUGGCUCUAAACAACUAAACUGAAAAAAAAGUUGCUUUAAAUGCCUAAAUAAGAAAAUGGCUUUCAACGCCUAUGAAACAGAUGGCUCUAAACGCCUAUAAAACUGAUGGCUCUAAACGCCUAUGAAAGGGGUGACUUUGAACGCCAAACUUAAAAAUGCGGCUCUGAAUGCCUAAUUGAGAAAGUGGCUUUAAAUGCCUAACUAAAAAGGUGGCUAUGAACUCUUCUGGCUUGAACACCUAUGAGGGGAAAUGUCUCUGAAUACAUAUGAAAUAUAGGGGCUAUGAACAUCUAAAUUGAAAGGAAAAAAAAAAGCUCUGAAUGCCUAACUGAAAAAAAUGGCUCUAAACACCUACAAAAAUGGUGGCUUUGAAUGCUUAUGAAAAUGGUGGCUUUGAACUCCUAUGAAGGAAAUGGCUCUAAACGCCUACAAAAGUGGUGUGGACCCACAUUUUUCACGUGUGUUCCCACUCGAUCGGCGAGACUCACUUUUUUAUUUGUGAAAAAUUAUUUAGUUUUGGAAAAGUUGGAGCCGCCACUUAUUUUAUUUUUAUUUUAAAGGGAAAAUAAAACAAGAAAUAAAACCCUAAAAAAAGUAACUCCAUAAUUUUUGGAAAAGCGUGUCUUUGAAAAACCCGAGUCUAAGUCCGGGGAUUAGGUUACUUAUUGGGAAGGUACCUCUAGGAGGUAGCUCCCCUCUAAGCCCUAAAGAGGUCUCUACUAACUAAGUUGAGGGAAGCGUGACCAUUAAAUGGUUGAUCACGGAUACCUAGAUAGACUAAGGUGAUUUCAAAAAAUAACAUGCCAAAUAGGAUCAAAUUACCAUAAAAGAGAGUUAGGGUGCAUACCUGGACGACUUCUCAAGCGCUAUCAUAAAACAUGAAAGUUAGUUUGAACAUAUGACACAUAACAUGCAUUUUUGUCAAGGAUGAUCAAACAAACAUCAAGGCAAUCAAGUAUGUCAUCAAACGUGGACAUGGCUCAUAAUAACAUGCACAUUCAUAGAAUUUUAUAGUUGGAGGGUAGAAGGAGCGUACCUAAUUAGUGAGCAUCCACACGUCUUUGGAAAACAAGAUUAGCUCAAUAAAAAGUAUAAACGCUUCUCAUAUAUAUCAUAAAGAAUGACUAAAACUAGCCAAAUAUCAAACAAUCCCUUCAUUUGGAUCAAUAUUAGAGAAGAUAUCAAGAAUGUCGGACCCCCCCACCAAGGUCCAAAUUGCUUUCGCACAAAUUGAUUCAAUCAAUCCUAUUAUUUAGAACCAUGAAGUUUAUUCGUGCUUGAGGAAAAUCAAGAAAAUCAAGAAAAUGGUUGAAAGUCAAAGAGAAUAGUGAAAGUGCAUGCCAAGAAGAAAAAUGGCAGCAAAUAGCAUAUUAAAAUCUGGAUUUUAUGCCUCGAAGUGUUCUAAAGAUGGAUUUUUCAAAGCUGGAAAUGUUUAGUUAAAGAAGGAUUCAAAAUUUCAAUUUAAAACAGUAAAUUUUCAAUCAAAAGAGCAAAAAAUGAAGAAGUGUGUGUAGCAAGAUAACCAUGAUGGACUGGAGCCUGCGAAUGAGAUUGAGACUGUCUUGCUGGUGUUGAAUCCCUAAAUACAUUCUACUCUCUCUUGGCACUUUCUGGGACUCCCUGUUGUUCAAAGUUUUGGUGACUUCCGGUAAGGGAUGAAAAAUUCCAGUAAACCUGAGUUGCUCUUGAGGAGUCCGAACCUUGGUGUAAUCAGCUUUCCCUAUUCGUGUCUCUCUCGGAUCCAUCAGCUCAAACUGACACAUAAUGGGUCACCGGAGUGGGAUUGAUAUGGUAUGAAGCAAAUCUAGUCACAACUCUUCACUUUAUUACUGACUUGAAGCAGUUACUGAAUGGGAAACUUGGUGGGCAUUUGAUAUCAAAGACGUUGCUGGAAGGGAGCUUGAGGGCUUCAUGUAGUCAUGGGUGGUAGUGGAACUUAACAGGAAAUGAUAAUUUCGACUCUUACUUAGUUGGGGUGGCCGCAAUGCUAGGAGCCCGUAUUGAGAAUUCAUUUACCGAUUUGGCAACACAGCAUUUGGAGUCAUAAUCGGAUGAGGCCCAGUUACACCUUUAUUCCUCUAUUGAUACUAUUGCUUCUGAGCACUGUUCAGUCUACCUUCUAUGAGCAAUAAAUACUUUUUGGCUGCAGGUAUUAGUACCCAAAUGCCUGCUGCAAUUUUCUCCUUACUCAUCAAAAGCAAUACUGGGCUUAGUACGGAUUUCAAGAUCUAAUCUUGCAAUUUCGAAGCAAAUCUUUGUGGAUUAGUCUCGCUGAGGUUGGCCGUUGCAACAUGAUUCCCAUGGCAGUAACUCCGGAUUCCAUUAUAGCUCUCUACAGCUUCGAACAUGGGAACACUCUCCUUUAUUACCAGUCAAACUAAUGAAUGCCUUUUACUUCAGCAAUGAUAGGUGAGACUGGAGUUAGUGCAAACCAGGAGUACAUUCCCCCGUAUGUUUUCUUGUUAGUGGUGACAUGGAAUACUAUUUUCUCAGGCUGUAGAGAUGACUGAACAGCAGAAUUUAGCAACUGAAGCACCCAGGAUAUCGUCAGUUGACAUAAUCAUGUGAUGGUAAGAGUUGUCAGAGAGUAGAGGAAGUAAUUCCGAAGAAGCAACUGUCUUCGUGCAUGAGCAUUGGAGGGGUAUUCAUUAUUCAGAUAAAGAGACAGGCAGUGAAUACCUUUUGGAAUGGCAUUUGCUGCAAAGUGCUUAUUCAUCAAUUCUGCAAACUUUGAUUCCUCGAUAUCCUUUUCAAGUUUCUCCAUCAUUUCCCGUAACAUGGAAGCAUAUGCCUUUGCAUCGUAGUGUUUGUUCUUCAAUUCAGAAACAAGCUAACUGAAUGUAUUUGGAGGCUUUAGAAGAUGCCUUUCUGCUUAACCCUUCUAUGACGUUCUUGAAGUGUGUCUCCCAAGCAUACAGCUUCAGGAUUUUCAUGUUUAUAAGUGAUUCUAUGAUAGCCUUCAACUUCCAUAACCAGAAUUUUAUCGACUUCAAAGAGGAACUCCACUUGAUGAGUUACCAAAAUUAUAGUUUUAUGAGCAAGAGCAGCUAUGACGCUUUCAUUGAGAGGAAUUGUAGCUGUAUGUGCAUCUACUGUUGGAGUAUAAAAAAAUUAUUUCCAUCUUCUAAACUACUUUGCGCCGAAUUGCCAUAGAUUUCAUAGGCACAGAGGUUAUAAAAAGGGAUCCUUUUCAUCAGAAACAUCAUCCUUAACAUCUGAAUUACUUAGUAUGAUCAGCUUUCCAUCAAACCUACCCUUUUCUGCUGCAUUUGAAAGGUUGCGGAGUCGUGGAUAUUCAGACCUUCAGGAAGAAGGCCUUCGAAUAUACUUCCAGAUUCACAAGCUUUUAUAGGUACCAGGAGCAUGCUUCUUCUUUAAGAAUUCGAUCAGAUCAUUAGCGUAAAGGGUAAGGAUUAGUUGGCAUACUGAGCACCCCAGGACCUCCAUAAUCAGAAUAGUAUAUGAAAAUAUGAUCAUCCAAACCGCUGUCUAGAACCUUCGUAAGCAUCUUCGUCAUGCGGGUUGUUUAUGAUAAUUCCAGGCCGAGGGUUCAUUUCAUUGAAUGAGGUGUAAUCAUACAUGUAAGCAAUGAUGUUUUCAUCUUUCAAUCCACCUUCUUUCACCUCCAAAGUGAUGUUCGUCAUGAUAGUAAUCAAAAUCUCUGAGAUUUUCAUCAAUAAGGACAUCAAAACUAGGAGAGGACUCUCUAUAAAACCCGUCAACAUCAAGGACCACCAUUCUGAAAACUGUGAUCAUCUUAUACAUUAGAUUGAUGCAUCCGAUUGGAUCUAUUAGCAGUGUUCCCAUUGCUGGCAGGGGGCACAUCAAUUGCUUUGUACCUAGGUAGCUCAUCACGCAAGCCUACAGGUGGCACUGCAGUUUUGUCAAUGCUAACUGCGUGUUUUGGUGGAGCAAUUCUAGUUUUUUUGUAGUUGGUAUUGCUAGACGAGGCACUUCGAACGACUUUGAGAAGCUUGGCUGUAGAAACCUCUGCUCUUGGGUACGAUUUUCAAGGCCACCAAACACCUUCUUGAGAAACGGAGGCUCAGUGUCAGGAGCAGCUACUGGCACCUGUGGGAUUUUGUUACGGGUAGGAUUUGGUCCAUGCAAAAAGGCACAUCUGUCACCUUUUAAGCACAGUCCCUUCUGGAAGAAAAUGUAGGGAACUAAUUGUUUUUCCCGAAGAGCUAUAAGGAACAUGAGGUGUAGGGACAUGAGAUGCAGGAACAUGAGGUGCGGGUGGUGCCACGAAUUGAGAUGCAGGAGUUGUAGCUUGGGUUUCCAACAAGCCAUCAAGAGGCAGACUCCGGAACGAACACUUUGGAUUCAAGCAAAUACCAUUCAACUAGGACCUGUAAUCUUUAGGGUUCAUCCGGGCAUGUUGCAUAUUUUUCCCAGUAAACCCAACGUUUAAAGCCCCUCUUGAAAAAUCUUAAGUCUCCUGCUACAUAACUUGAUGUAUAUAAUAAAAUCCGAACAUCUAUCCCAAAGACUCUAUUGAAGUCGGUGUUUCAGAUUCAACCACACCGAUAGGAUCCAUUUUAUCAAUUAAAUCAAACAAAAAUUCAGUUUUCCAUAACUGGAUAAUUCCAUAUCCUAUCUUUUCAGCAUUGAAAGGAACUGAAGAGAGAGACGCUGUACUGAUUCGCUUCACAAACCCGCGCAAAGUCUUGAACUUCACAUUGUCCAUAUCAACAUAUUUCUAUGGGGAUCAUCUCCAUAUAUCCUGUUGGCUUGAAUAGUACUAAUGAUAUUUGCAAUAUUAUCCUUCCAUGACAGUAGUCUUGAUUGAAGGUAUUGCCACUGUUGGGACAAGGAACAGCCCGCUAGGAUUCCAGCCCAGAAUACCACGAACAAAGAACCUUAGAAAUAGAAGCAACUUCUGCAUCCAACUAAAUCACAUCCGGGACCCGGUUUAACGACUUUCUUGCUUGCCUUGAAGAAGAAAAUACCCAAUUCGAUUCAACAAUCUGCAAUCAUGUGCCAAACCCCACAAACAGCCCACAUUCUACACAGCCUUUAUAAAGUCUCUACCUUUCAUGAAAUACUCAUGCCAUCAUUGUCUCCAUAGCCCAAAACACCAAAGAAAGAGAAACGAGUGAAAUAUAGAUGCUGAGCAUAGAAAGAAAUGACCCAAGAGAAACAAAGGAAGGAAGACUGAGGAUGGGUAACAGAGGAGCCACAUUCCAUUAUUUUGUCAAAGGGCUUGAAAACAGGUGUCAAUAGCAGAGAACAAUGGCUUGAUUUCAAACACAUUUAACUCAAGGAUAUGUCAUUCAUCAAUCGAAAGAAGCAGUUAUAAAAUCAAAACAAAGCAUGUAAAGAAAAAAUAAAUAAAAAGAUAAAUAAAGAGGACUCGGAUUCAGCAGAACAACCAAGUGGCCAUAGACGUCCACAUCAAGCAGCAAAAAUGAAUAUUUAAUUAGAAACGACCAGGGAUGAGGAGAAAUCGAAAUUAAACAGUGACAUGGUGAAUAUCUGGAAACAUACCUGCACGAUCUCCUCUCCUUAUUGCUCGGCUCCCUGCUACUGCACCUUUUCUUUAAACCGAGAAAUCUUUUCCCAAACUUCCAUCCACCCCCCUAUCUCUCUCUUCUCAAUGUAUAUAUAUCAGCCUUCCAAAAGAGACCCUCCAAAUCUGCUGGAGGAAAAAUCCCCUCCUUUCUUCUUUUUUUAAAUCUUCCAAUUCAAAGGCAAUCUUUCCAAUUUCAAAUUCCCCUCCAAAACCUUCCAAGGAGAGUCCCACUUUCCUUAAACUCCAAUGGUAAGUUUCCUUGCAAAAAGCAUGAAAUUUAGAAGUUAAAUAAUUGAAUGAAUAGAUAAAUAAGUAAAAAAAAAAUCAGAAAAUGGUAAAAAUAAUAAAUAAAUAAAUAAGUUAAGGAAAAUAAUAUAAAGAGGAAGAUAACCAAUAAAAAGUGAAUGAUAAUCAUAAAACUAAAACUAAAAAUAAAAUAAAAAAUAAAUAAAUAAAAAUAAACAAAUUAACAAAAAUUGUACCCCACGAGCCAUGCAAACACGCAAGUCAUAUAAGUCACGCUAAAAAAAAUCUUAAUAGACCUAGUGUACCUAAACAGGCCUAAGGUGAGACUAAGUGGGCCUAGGGUGGUGCCUAAUGGGCCGAAUGUAUCUAAAAGCUACCCUAAAAAAAAGCAAGAAAAGCCUAAGUCUAAAUCAAGACUGCCAAGGGUCAUAAUAAAGGAUCAAAUAAUCCCUCAACCAAAGUCUCCGAGGUGACUCAGAAAAGGGUAAGUCGUACGAGUAGUAAUGGGUCACCAAGGAACUACCGUGGAGCACUGGAAGUGAAUUUAGAGACAUGUGCUAAAUGGACAAAAUUGAGGGUCUACAAGUGGUAGCUCUGAACGCCUAUUAAAGUGGUGACUCUAAAUGCCUAUGAAAAAAAUGGCUCUGAACGCCUAUGAAAAUGGUGGCUCUGAACACCUAUGAAAAUGAUGGCUCUGAAUGCCAUUGAGGGGAAUGACUCUGAAUGUCUAUCCAAAAGUGUUGGCUCUGAAUGCUUAUGGCUCUAAACACCUAUGAAAGUGGUGACUUUGAAUGCCAAUAAAGGGAAUGGAUUUCGAACACCUAUUUGAAAGUUGUGGCUCUGAAUGUCUAUGAAAGUGUUGGCUCUGAAUGCCUAUGGCUCUAAAAACCUAUGAAAGUGAUAGCUUUGAAUGUCUGUGGCUCUAAACACCUAUGAGGGAAAUGGCUCUGAACGCCUAUGAGGUGGGUGGGGGGAAGAAAUGGCUCUUAACGCCUAUGAGGGAAAGUGGUGGCUUUGAACAUCUAUGAAAGUGGCGGCUUUUAACUCUUAUGGGGGGAAUGGUUGUGAAUGCUUAUCUGAAAGUAGUGGCUCUGAAUGCCUAUGAGGGGAAAUGGCUCUAAACACCUAUCCAAUGGUGGUGGCUCUAAAUGCCUAUGAAAGUGGUGGCUCUCAACGACUAUGAAAGUGGUGGCUCUCAAUGCCUAUGAAAGUGGUGGCUUUGAAUGCCUAUGGAAGUGGUGGCUCUCAACACCUAACUGAAAAAGGUGGUUUAGAAUGCCUAAUAGAGAAAGUGGCUAUGAACACCUUACUGAAAAAAGUGGCUAUGAAAGCCUAACUAAAAAAUAUGGCUCUGAAUGCCUAACAGAGAAAGUGGCUCUAAACACCUAAUUGAAAAAAGUUGCUCAAAACGCCUAAUUGAAAAAAUAGCUCUAAACGCCUAAUUGAAAAAGUGGCUCUAAACUCCUAUGAAAGUGGUGGCUCUAAACACCUAUGAAAGUGGUGGCUUUGAAUGCUUAAUGGAGAAAGUGGCUCUAAACACCUAAUUGAAAAAAAAAAAAAAAAAAGGCUCUAAAAUGCUUAUGAAGGUGAAAGUAAACAAAAAUAUGAUAAUCUCAACGCAGGGGAUAUGCCCCAAUGUGACAACCCACAAAGGUUAAAACCUAGACUAUGUAAUGAUAGUGUUUUGCCAAAACCUCAUAAUCUCAAAGAAAGAGGUAUGCCCCGAUAUUAAAGGUGCAUUGAGCUACUAAAAUGUCAACGAAACAAGCAACUAUAAACAUUGUAAUGAGAAGGGAACAAUGCAUUAUGAUAAAGGUCUUAAAAAAUUAGUAUGAACAUAAAUCUCUCUAUAUCUUAAAUAAAUUCUCUAUCAACUGAUCUCAAACAUAAAGCUUAAUAAAUGUACAUCAUAGUUUGACUAAAGAAUGACUAUGGCGAAAACAAAUUGUCUCAUAAAUACUUGAUUAAGGAAUCAUUGAUGUUUUCUGGGUGGAAUUUGAAGCAAUCUGUAUCAGUCUUAAGCAAAGUCACAUAAAGCUGACUAUGAUAUCACAAAUCAUACGAAUCUUAGAGAAUGUGCUCAAACCAAAAGGUGAACUAGCUACGAAAAUACUAAUUGGUCAUGGAGAAGCCAAUCCCCGAUGUAGAACAGGGAAUCAUAAAUACAAGGCAGAAAACUAUCCAUCUAAUCAAAGUGGGGAAUAUACCCUAGUAUAACAAAAAAAAAAUACUCAUAUAAAGUAAGCAAUCAAUACUGACCAUUUGCCCAUGCAUCAUUGCCCCUAAUAGAUCUCAUCAAUGAGAGGGGGAUAUGCCCCAAUAUGGCACCUAAUGUACAAAUCUCAGGAGGAACAAACAACACUGAUCAUUCAUUUAUGCACUUAAUAGUCACACAAAUCUCAAUGUCCCAAAGAAAAUAUAGCACACCCAUAUAAUGAUGACCUAAAGUGAUAGGCCAAAGCUAUAAUAGAUUAGAGGCAUGGCAUAUGACAAAGGUCUAUCAUUACCAAUCAAGCAUCUCCACAAAUCAUGGAUAUGAGAUUCGUACAGACCAAUGACAUCUAGGAAAAUAUUAUGAUGAGGGUAAUAUGGCCCAGUAUAAACAUUUGGUACGUCAAAGAGACAAAAUUGAUAUCGUCAAAUGAAUACUAUCUUCGUACUCAAGUCCCCUCAAAUUAGUACAACUAAGGAAAGUUAUAUCACCAGUGAUGCAAUGGUAGUGGAGAUAGUGAUCCGGAGAUCCUAGUAAAAGGUUACUGAUUAAUCCUCACACCCAAUGUAUAUCAACCCUGAUCCUUGAAGUGAAAGAUCCCAUAGAACACUCACCAAACUACCAUCAAUCCAAAUGCAUAACAUAAGUGAUCCAAGAAGUGAAACACUCUCAAAAGGCUCACAUAUGAGCUCAAUGAUAGAUAACCUAAUGGAAAACCCUCAAAUAUCAAUGAAUGCUCAAUGGAAUAUGCUACUAUAAACAAACAUAUCAUUGCACUUUUUCUUUUCCUUUUUUUUUUCUUGUUUUUUUUAGAACACUAGUAUCAACAAACUGAAACUGCAUUGAGAAAACAAUAGAAAUUAAUAAACUCUUCCUAAUCACUGAUAAAAAUAUGAAUCCUACACAAACCUCAAAAGUAUGCCAACUCCAAUCACUAACAAGUGUAUAAAAUCCAAAUCCUAAGACCACUUCUCAAGCUAAGAUGUUUGUAUCAAAGUCAACAGGUGGAAUGAAGGGUAUGACAUGACUAUCUUGAUGCACUAAAAAUGUCAAAAGUCAUCAAUCAAAUCAAAUAAGGUGAGUGAGAUGAAGCAAGUGAAGAGAAAAACAUGAAAAUUAGAGGAAAAUGAAGAAUAAUGAAACAUAAUAAGAGUGAGAUGAUAAGAUGAUGAUAGUAAGAAUAAAUAACAUAAAUCAAAUAGUUCAAAGCUCAUGAGACUAUCCAAGUAAAACAUGCAUACACAACCAAGGGCCCCUGCCUAAGUGAUGAAAGGUAAGCAAAGCUAUAGGAAAGAAAGGUUAUAAUGUACCUCAUGAGGCUCAAGGGGCUAGCAAUUGGUUAUGUGUGAAAUGGGUGCGAUAAGGUAUGAGGCUAACCAAAAUGAUGAUCACCCAUCAUUUGAUCAUGAUCUCAAAUGUAAUACUUUUUCAGUUGAUCCAUAUUGGUUGGCUCUGAAAACUAGUUUCCAUCUAGGUUAGUUAACCAUGUAACCCCUUCUAGAGUUAGCUCUCAAAUAACAUAAGGUCCACUCCAAUUAGGUCUGAACUUUCCCCUGGGGUAUUCAACUAAACCUCUGAGAAUCCUCAAAACCAAAUCCAUUUGUUUGUAAUGUCCUAAGCUUAACCCAUUUCCUAAAUGCACGGGUGAUCUUCCUCUAGCAAGCCUAAAUAUCAUCCGCAACUCUCAAUCUCCUUUCAUUUAAAAGGUUAAGUUGAUCAAACGGAGCCUGAGCCUACUUUGUUUUUAAAACUUGCUACUCAAGGGCUAUAAAUGCCUCAACUACGAAAUGUGGCUCUAAACGCCUAAGAUUAUGGUUCUAAAUGCCUAAACUGAAAAAUGUGGCUCUGAACACCUAAGUUGAUGAAGUUGCUCUAAACGCUUAAGGAAACGACUCUGACUACCUAAGUUGAUGAGUGACUCUAAAAGCCUAAGCUGAUGAAGGUGGCUCUAAAAGCCUAAGUUGAUAAAGGUGGCUCUAAAUGCCUAAUUGAGAAGUGGCUUUAAAUGCUUGACUCAAAAAGCGACUCUAAACACCUAAUUGAGAAAGCAACUUUGAACGCCUAAGUUGAGAAAUGUGGCUCUAAAUGCCUAAGCUAUAAUCACAUACCAAAUCAAACUAGAAUGAGGGAAUGACCUAAAUAGACUCGAAGAAUAGGAAUGCUUCAAAAAAAAACUAAGAGGUGGGGGUACAAGGUCUACAGCCAGGAACACCUAAAAUAGAAAUGGGAACAAAGGAAACCAAUCUAUAACCUAAAGACAACUAAAUGACUCAAGAGAAGGAGCAACUAAGAUAAUAAACUCAUUGAAAAUGGGGUAUGUCCUAGUAGAAGAGCUCUGAAAGAGGGAAUGCCCCAAGUGAUUAAAGGGAAAACCUAGAUCUCUCAUUUUCCCAAGCCUAGAUUAGGUUAGGAAUAUGCAUAACUAUCCUAGGCUUUUUCUAAAUCCUAUGCAUAAUGGAAAAAUAGCAUUUUUAUUCUUUAAAAUGAUUCAGAAAGUGUUAAUGAAAAACAUACCUUCGAUUCGAAUGUUCCUGAAUCAAAUCCACAUGGUGAAAAUGAAGAACAAAAUCGCAAAAGUCUCGUAAACCCACAAUGUUAUGCCCAAUGACUCAACCUAGUUUUUGGCACACUUUCGGUAGGGAGGAAAGAGAGUGGAGACUAUGGCUUUCUAUCUCUCUGGAUCUUGAAAAACCAAAGUUAUGGAAACUCUAAACCCUAUAGGGUAUUUACAGGGUUCCUAAGUGGGCUUAAGUGACAUGAGCCCACAUGGACUUAGGUCACUUAAUCUAGCCCAAAAUGAGUUUUAAUUGAUUUAUUAACCCAAUAAGGCCUACUAAUUAAUCAAUUUGCCCAAUCCAAAAACUUUGUUUACUUACCCCUAUGUAACCUUACGUAAUUAUCAAAACGUUCUUAUGCACAAAAGUGAACUUAAAGUCAGUCCUACCUUCAUAACCCAUGCCAACAAGGUAUAUGAGGUCAGAGUGGGGACCACUAGGACCUAUAGGAAUAUUGGCUCCCUCAUAAUCCAAUUCUAAAGUUGAUUCAACAUCACACUAUAGACAAUCAACUAAACUCCAGUAUCCCAUGUAAAUAACAAUGAGACACCAAGUUCUCGGGUCUGUGACCUACUAUCCAUUGUGUUCAGUUUCCCCAUGAACUGGUGUCCGUAGUCUAACAAGGUGAAAGCUAUCAACCUUUUAAGACUACCUCUACCAUCAUUGAGUUACAGAUCCUCCUAUUGUGUAUUCAAUUGACAUAUCUUAGCUCUCAAAGAGCCUAUGUCAAGUUCCACUUAAGGAACUAUUAUGACCAUAGUUUCCAUGAACACACCUCUUUAGGAUCACCCAAAGGGACACACUAUCUCAAUCCCAAGAGAUAUCAUAGUGUUUCUAUUGAGAAUACCUAUUGCUACCAGUUUCCAUCAACAAUGACCCAAUCCAUAGGGAAUAUAUGAUUAGCUAAUAAUCUCACCCGUAGAGCAAAGUCAUUGCUAACUUUAUCACAAGCUCAAUAUUCUCUCAAGGUUGAGAGACAACAUAAUGAAGUAGCUUCGUGAGGCCAUGACUACUUGGUAGUCUUAAGUUAUGACUCACCGUAGGUCCUAUCCAAUAUGCAAUCAUACACAUUAGUGCACUCACCAUGGGAAACCCAUCUCGAUAGCCAAGACUAGUCAUCCCUCUAAUUAUGAGGUGGCACACCACAACCUCUAAUGGGUUUCCUAGGCCCAUGAACCAAUUGUGAACAAGUCAUCUAUUUGCAAGGAACUCAUGACUUAGAUCUUCUUUGCAACUCCUAAUGCAUGUAAGAAUGCUCAUAAAGUAUAAUACAUGGAAUAAGGAUAGAUAAAAGUGAAACUAGAACAUCAUUAAAUAAAUAAUAAAUUCCAAAUUUAUUACAUCAUGUCAUGCUUUUAAAGGCUCUAUCCUAAUAGUGAUAACUCAUAACGAUCCGUAAAAUGAGUCGAAUGUCCAUGAAAUCCACAAGAGAUCUAAUGAACUCAAAGAGCGGAUAUGCCCUAGUGUAAGAUAAUGACCAACAUAAGACAUAGAAUGUCACCAUACAGGACACUCUAGGAUAUGCUCAAUGGCAAUGCAAUGAAAAUAUAUAGUCUUAAUCAACAAAUGAUUAAACAAGAUUAUGUGUCACCAAGACUAUGCUGACAAAGCAAAACUAAAAUAAUGGACCAAACAAAUGUUGACUAAGACUCCAAGUCUAAAAUGUAAGCAAGUUAAGGCAUGACAUGUCAACUAUCAAUGUGAAAAUAUCAUCACAAAUACUUCAAAAAUAUAACAAGUCCUAGUAUCGUGGAAGAUAUUGAACCUAAUGUCCAAAGACAUGUGAAAACUCGGCCAAAAAGCUCAAGACUAGUCCACAUCCUCUUCUAAUCAAGACUUGUUAUGGUCUCUUGGAUCGAAGCCAUAGCAACAACAAACUAAUCAACUAUAACCACCUACGGAUCCAUAUCUCUCUUAUCCAGGAUCUAAUCUAACUAGUCUGACAAUUUGAUCAAUCUACCUCUAACACUGAUCCAAGAAGUUGAACCUAGAUCAAACGUAUCAAUACUCCUACAAUAAUGGAAACACUAGAUAAGACACAAUGUAAAGGAAACUCUACAAGGAAUGUCUAUCAACCAUGUAAGAUGGUAACUCUAGAAAUACUCAAACCAAUACCAAACUCCAAGAAAAUAUAUAAGAGGCUACUCCUAACCACUAGGUUGGUCAAAAGACAAUCAUAAAGUAACAAGUCUCACAUGAAGUAUGAGAACUAGGGAAGCAAGGUCGACUAAGACUAGGGAUUUGAAAACAAUGGGAUACAAGUGUGUCCCACACAAAAAAAGCACCAAAUAGUCAUGCAGAAGAAAAAUGAGUCAUGUAGCAACCAGUCAUGCAAAGGACAGGUGUAAAAUAGUAAACCAUUGAUGUCCUAACUAAACAUAAGUGAUAGUAUAUCAUGCUAAAGUGAAUAGUAUAUCAUGCUAAAGUGAACAAGCAAUUAGAUAAUCAUACAAGACAAGCAAGUAUAAAGACAUGUUGAUAUAUUAAAUCAAUCAAGCAAGUAAACUUAAUCAACUUGCCUAAAAAGGAAGGUACCCUCUGAUCGACUAAUUAAAUGUCAUAUUUUCCUCAACUAGUGUUCAAACUUGAUCUUCUAUGAAAGUAGAGAUUCUAAGUUCGAUCCCUAGUGGAGUCGCUAAUUUGUGGACCCAUAUUUUUCACGUGUGUCACCACUCGACUGGUAAGACUUGCUUUUUUAAGGUGAAAAACUAAUUUUUAUAUUAAAAAAAAAAGAAAUUGGAGUCACCACUUAUUUUAUUUAUUUUUUAAAGGAAAAAAAAAUAAAACCCUAAAAAAAAUUACUCCUAUUUUUUAGAAAAGCUCUCUACAAAAAUCCGAGUCUAGGCUAAGGUGAUUUCAAAACUUUAUUAUCACUAACAUGCCAAAGAAGAUUUCAGAAUAGAAUCAUAAAGAAAUGAUAGUAUGCGUACCUGAAUCACAACUUAAGCGCUAUCACAAGACAUCAAAGUUAAUUCAAACAACAAGAUAUAUAGCAUACAACAUGCAUUCUAUUCUAUUCUAUUCAAAAGACUAGGCACUAGUUAAAGCAAACCAAAACACAAUCAAGCAUAAGGGUAUUUUACAUACAAAGCAUAUCUAUUUAUAGAACUUAAAAGGAUAAAAAUGGGAGUGGUGUACCUAGACAUGCAUAAUUUAGGAAGUGCUUCCAAAAAUUCUAGAGUGGGUUAGAACGAGUAUAAUAACAAAUAAUAAUGAUGGUGGAUCCUCAUACACAUUGUAUAUACAUAAUUCAAAUGAAAUAAAAAGAACUUAGCAAGAUCAAAUGACAAAGAACAAAUAAAUUUGAAGUUGUACAUCUCAUGCAAUCAACAAAACAAGUCUUCAUACAUUGUCAAAAAUUAGUUUGAGACCCUAAAUAAUAUUAACUAUUGUAUAUGACAUGCAUGAAAUUCAAUGUUAAAGCUAAGCUAAUGUAUAAGAGAGUUUAAGAUAUCAAAAUUAGUGACCAAGACAAGACAUGCAGUAGAGGGGCAGAAUAAUAGCAUUUACAAGAAAAGUCUUAAUUAGAUACCUAGAAGCAUUAUUUGAUCAUGGAAUGAAUUAUAGAACAUCCUCAUUAUGUCUAAUAUAUAAUACCAUAGCUAAAGUUGAUCCAGCAUAAGUCAAAUAACUCCUAAAUAAAUAACAAAGUCAAGCAAAGUACAGGAUCAUCUGUACAUAGUCAUAAUAGGGAGCAUCACAAUACAAAUCCUAAAAAAAUAUCUUGAAGUGGAAUUCAAUUACAAAAAUUUUCAGGAAACAUCUACUAAACGUCUAGAACAAUUUACAAAAACCUAAAUACUCAUUUAAAUAACAGAUUUAAGCAAAAACACUCAAAAGUUCCAAAAGGUCCAAAAUUAGGCAAAAAAUAGUAACCAAUGUACAUUGGAUUAAAAAAAACAUAAAGGCCUUCUAAAUUCAUACAAAAAAUAUACAAGUCAAUUAAGAUGUCUAGAUUGUAUAAAAAAUCAAUCCAAAUGGAGAAUGCAUUCAAAAGAAUUUUUAGAACACUAUAAUUGAUCAAUUGUCCAAAUUCAAUCAUAUACAAUAAGUGUGACUUUGAAAAUUCAUAUCUCCCUCAAGAAAACAUAUUUUUUAAUAUUUUAUAUAUUAAAAUUCAAUUUUAAGAAGUCAAGAAUCUAGGAAAAAUAUUCAUUUAAAUUGAUAAUAUCAGAAGUUAAUUCAAUUUUGUAAAGUUCUCUCAAGUAUACAAAAGUUGGACUAAAUAGAACAUACUAAAAGAGAUGAUCAUAACACGACUUUAAGAAAAGCUUUGUCACAACAAAUCCUCAUUAACAUUGCAAUUAGUCCUAAUAAAUUUUUUAAAUUUAAAAUUAAAUAUUUCAUGAUAAUUAGUAAAUGCAUAUAACAUAGAAAAGAAAAAUAAACAUAAAAGACAUAGAUGAUCAUUUUCAUAAUAGACAUUAUAAUGAUUGAAAGAAAGCUUUGGUUACCAUGAAAAAUAGUCAUCAAUGAAUUAUAAUGAUAGUAGAAAACAAACUUCAUUAAUAUAAAAAUGACUUGAAUAAAUAGGCAUCAUUAAGAAAAGAUGAUUAGAAAAAACAAUCAUCAAUACCUUUAUAAUGAUAGGGUUAAACGGUCAACAGAUGACACCCCAAUGAUGACUACCAGAAAGAUAACUCUUUUUUGAACAAUCAUCAUUCAUUCUCUCCCAUUUUCCUUGUAGUGUCGUGAGGGUUUGAACCAUUACCCUUCAGUUUAGGAGGAAACCUAGUUACCAAUCAACUGUCCAAUUGAUUUUUGCUCUUUUUUGUCCCCUUAAAUAUAUUUGUAUUCUUGCACCCCCCCUCAUAUGGUUUAUUUGGGGCAGAUUCUACUCCUAUAUAUAAUUUGUGGAUCUUUGGGUUAAAGAUUAUAGUUUGAAUGGGUAUUUUAGUUGAUGAUAUAUAAUCACAAAUCAUUUAUUAUUACCUUAAAAAUAUAUGUUUGAUCUUGGACUAGAAACAUUUGCUUAGGUGUUAUGAUAUUCCUUAUUGUUGUAUUCAAAGAUUAAUUUGGAAAGGUUCAACAUGAAUAAUAUUAGUUUGUUUAUGACUUUUACUUUUUUCAUAAGCCCUCGUUGAUGGCAUAUUAAAGAUAACGAAAAUAAAAAGGAAAUAGAAAAAGACAUGUAUUUAUUCUUCAGUCCAUUUUUAAGGAAAUUAAAAAGUUUAGCUCUAAUCAAACUUAUACUUCACCUUAUUUUCUCUUUUACUUUUUAUUUUAUCUUUGAAGGCUUCUAGGUAGAUUCUAAUAAUUUUGCAGUUUCAAAUGUAAUAAAAAUUAAUCAAAUGGUUGGUAAAAACCCAGUAGCAUUAUAUUUAUGAUAUGGUUUUCACUUUUUAAAAUAAUUAAACAUGAAAUUAUUUUUUAAUUAUUUGUGAGAAAAUUACUAAGCUUCAAAAACAUCAUUACUUGUUAGAAAACUUGAGAUUUGAGGUGAUGAUGAUUCAAUAAAACAAUGUGGGGUUGCUGUGUGCUCUUAAAUUCCACACUUUUGAUUUGCAUGUAUCCUCGGAAACAUACAAACAAAAUACUUGUUAGAAAAUCUUUGUGGUGUCUUCCCUCCUCUCAACUCACGUCCACAUCUAUCAUGGAAAAGCCUAUAUUACAAAAUCUUUAAAUAAAGAAAAAAUAUGUAAUUUUGAAAAAUGAAAUCUGAUUGAAAACAUUGUAGUGCCUUGAUCAAUUCGGGAAAAAAAUCUCAGCAGAUCCUUGUUAAUUACUAAUUUUGACAACAAAUAUAUAUAGUCCUAAGAUCCUAUUUAAUCUGCAAGUUGAAUGACGUCAUUUGGUUGCAUUAAGAUGUGUAUUUUUUUUAAGCUAUUUAUUUCUUAUUUAAUGAGGUAUGAUAUAAAAAGGCAUCCAUAUCCUCUCCUAUCCUAUCAACCAAAUAUAUCAUAAAGAUUUUCUCUGCCAACCAAGAUUUCGUGCUCGUUUUCAUGCAAAUUCCUUCUCUAUAAAUACCCCUUUCCUGCUUCUCCCUCCACCAACUUGUUCUUGCCGCCUUUCCUCCAUGGCUAAGAGUUGUCCAAUCUCAACCUUUUUCAUUAUCAUCAGUGUUUUAAGCCAUUUCACAUCAAGAAUAGGGUUAAGACCAUGGGCUGAUGCGCUCCCAUUAGAACGCCAGUCCCUCGAUAAUGCGUCUCGACUCAGGGUGGAUCCCGAUGCCAUUAGAAUGGCCUCUAGGGAUUUUGGUAAACUUGUUCAUCUACCAAAUCCAGCUGCAGUUCUUUAUCCUUGUUCCAUAGAAGAUAUUGCAUCUCUAGUCAAGUUCUCUUAUAAUCUUUCCUCUCCUUUUAGUAUAGCCGCUAGGGGCCGAGGCCAUUGUCACAGCGGACAAGCCAUGGCUCCUCAUGGGGUUGUGGUGGAGAUGAGAUCGUUAAAUGACUGCAGCCGUGGAAGUGGAAUCAGGGUUACCAAGAAUUCGAUUUUGGGUUCCUAUGCUGAUGUUGGGGGUGAGCAUGUUAGUUUUGUGAUGUUUAUCUUAUUGGUUAAUUUUAGUUUUUUAUGUUUAUCUUUAGUGGUUAGUUACCACCACGUUUAGGAGUUAUCUAUUAUUUUGGGUUCUGAUAUUUGCUGAGGGUUAUCUUCUCAGCACUUUUAGGAGUUAUCUAAAUAUGGGCUAUUUUCUGUAAGGCUAUAUAUUAGCCAAGUUUGUUAUUCAAUUUAGUAAAGUUGAUUUUCUCCAGCUUCAUCUAUACUCCUAUUCAAUUUCCAACAUUUGGUAUCAGAGCCCCAUCAUAGGGGCCUGAUUAUUUAGAAGCAGCAGUCUUCUACGUGUGUUCUGUUUGAACAAUGACGACAGAGAGUUCAUUUGUCCAGCCAGCUAUUUCGAAAUUUGAUGGCUACUAUGAUCACUGGGCAAUGCUCAUGGAAAACUUCUUGCGUUCCAAGGAGUAUUGGGGACUUGUGGUGAAUGGAGUUCCUGCAGUGGCUGAAGAUGCUGUUCUCACAGAUGCACAGAGGAAGCACAUUGAAGAUCAGCAGUUAAAGGAUUUGAAGGCAAAGAACUAUCUAUUUCAGGCAUUAGAUCGUUCUAUCCUAGAGACAAUUCUAAACAAAAAGACUACGAAGGAUAUUUGGGAUUCUAUGAAGCAGAAAUUUCAAGGCACCACACGAGUGAAGCGUGGAAAUUUGCAAGCUUUGAGGAAGGAAUUCAAAAUUCUUCACAUGAAGUCGGGAGAAACUGUGAAUGAAUAUUUCUCUCGCACUCUUGCCAUUGCCAACAAAAUGAAGGUCAAUGGUGAGGAUAAAGGAAAUACUGCUGUUGUUGAAAAGAUUUUACGAUCUAUGACUUCCAAAUUUGAUUAUGUUGUUUGUUCCAUUGAAGAGUCUAAAGAUUUAGACACUUUAACCAUAGAUGAGUUGCAGAGUAGUCUUCUUGUCCAUGAACAACGCAUGACCUCUCAUGUGUUAGAAGAAGAACAGGCUUUGAAAGUUACUCAUGGAGAUCACUCCGGAAGUAGAGGUCGUGGUCAUGGAAAUUAUAGAGGAAGAGGAAGAGGACGGAACAGAAGAUUUUUUGAUAAGGCUACUAUGGAGUGCUAUAAUUGUCACAAGCUAGGACAUUUUGCAUGGGAAUGUCCACACCGAGAGACAGGGGCUUACUACGCAAAGAAUCAAGAGGAGAUGUUGUUGAUGGCAUAUGUGGAUCUAAACAAAACCAGUCGAGAAGAUACGUGGUUUCUUGACUCUGGAUGCAGCAAUCAUAUGUGUGGAAAAAAGGAUUAUUUUUCAGAUUUUGAUGGAACCUUUCGAGAUUCAGUGAAACUUGGGAAUAACACGAGCAUGUCUGUAUUAGGAAAAGGGAAUGUAAGGCUGAAAGUGAAUGAAAUGACACAGAUCAUCACAGGAGUCUUUUAUGUCCCUGAGUUGAAGAAUAAUUUGCUGAGUAUUGGACAAUUACAAGAAAAAGGGCUUACCAUUCUGUUUCAACAUGGCAAGUGUAAGGUGUUUCAUUCACAGAAAGGUUUGAUUAUGGAUACCAAAAUGUCUUCAAAUCGGAUGUUUAUGUUAUAUGCUCUAUCCCAACCUAUCUCAUCUACUUGUUUUAACACAGUCACAGAAGACAUUUUGCAGCUUUGGCAUUGUCGAUAUGGGCAUUUGAGUUUUCAAGGUUUAAAGACUCUUCAACAAAGGAAGAUGGUGAAUGGACUACCACAAUUUCAGCCUCCCUCUAAACUAUGCAAAGAUUGUUUGGUGGGAAAACAACACAGGUCUUCAAUUCCAAAGAAAAGCAAUUGGCGAGCUGCUGAAAUUCUACAGUUAGUGCAUGCAGACAUUUGUGGACCGAUUAAUCCAAUCUCAAACAGCAAGAAAAGGUACUUGCUCACUUUCACUGAUGAUUUUAGUAGAAAAACAUGGGUUUAUUUUUUGGUAGAGAAAUCAGAAGCCUUUGCUGUUUUCAAAAGUUUUAAGACUUAUGUUGAGAAGGAAACAAGUUCAUUUCUUAGAUGUUUGCGUACUGAUCGAGGAGGCGAGUUCACAUCCCAGGAAUUUGCAAUUUUUUGUGAUGUUCAUGGCAUACGACGACAGUUAACAGCUGCAUAUACGCCACAACAGAAUGGAGUUGCGGAACGUAAAAAUAGAACCAUUAUGAAUAUGGUUCGUAGUAUGUUAUCGGCGAAAAAACUUCCCAAAACCUUUUGGCCUGAAGCUGUAAAUUGGACCGUGCAUGUUUUGAAUCGAAGUCCAACCUUUGCAGUACAAAACAAAACUCCAGAAGAAGCUUGGGGUAAACUUAAACCUUCAGUUGACUAUUUUAGAGUUUUUGGAUGCCUUUCACAUGUUCAUGUGCCUGACAGUAAAAGAACAAAGCUUGAUGAUAAAAGUUUUAGUUGUGUAUUGCUGGGAGUUAGUGAAGAAUCAAAGGCUUACAGACUCUAUGACCCAAUUUCACAAAAGAUCAUAAUCAGUAGGGAUGUUGUAUUUGAAGAAGACAAGAAUUGGGAUUGGGAUAAGAAGUAUGAAGAAGCCAUCGUGUGUGAUCUGGAAUGGGGUGAUGAUGGGGAAGAAGCAACUGUGAAUGAAGAAGAAAGUGANNNNNNNNNNNNNNNNNNNNNNNNNNNNNNNNNNNNNNNNNNNNNNNNNNNNNNNNNNNNNNNNNNNNNNNNNNNNNNNNNNNNNNNNNNNNNNNNNNNNNNNNNNNNNNNNNNNNNNNNNNNNNNNNNNNNNNNNNNNNNNNNNNNNNNNNNNNNNNNNNNNNNNNNNNNNNNNNNNNNNNNNNNNNNNNNNNNNNNNNNNNNNNNNNNNNNNNNNNNNNNNNNNNNNNNNNNNNNNNNNNNNNNNNNNNNNNNNNNNNNNNNNNNNNNNNNNNNNNNNNNNNNNNNNNNNNNNNNNNNNNNNNNNNNNNNNNNNNNNNNNNNNNNNNNNNNNNNNNNNNNNNNNNNNNNNNNNNNNNNNNNNNNNNNNNNNNNNNNNNNNNNNNNNNNNNNNNNNNNNNNNNNNNNNNNNNNNNNNNNNNNNNNNNNNNNNNNNNNNNNNNNNNNNNNNNNNNNNNNNNNNNNNNNNNNNNNNNNNNNNNNNNNNNNNNNNNNNNNNNNNNNNNNNNNNNNNNNNNNNNNNNNNNNNNNNNNNNNNNNNNNNNNNNNNNNNNNNNNNNNNNNNNNNNNNNNNNNNNNNNNNNNNNNNNNNNNNNNNNNNNNNNNNNNNNNNNNNNNNNNNNNNNNNNNNNNNNNNNNNNNNNNNNNNNNNNNNNNNNNNNNNNNNNNNNNNNNNNNNNNNNNNNNNNNNNNNNNNNNNNNNNNNNNNNNNNNNNNNNNNNNNNNNNNNNNNNNNNNNNNNNNNNNNNNNNNNNNNNNNNNNNNNNNNNNNNNNNNNNNNNNNNNNNNNNNNNNNNNNNNNNNNNNNNNNNNNNNNNNNNNNNNNNNNNNNNNNNNNNNNNNNNNNNNNNNNNNNNNNNNNNNNNNNNNNNNNNNNNNNNNNNNNNNNNNNNNNNNNNNNNNNNNNNNNNNNNNNNNNNNNNNNNNNNNNNNNNNNNNNNNNNNNNNNNNNNNNNNNNNNNNNNNNNNNNNNNNNNNNNNNNNNNNNNNNNNNNNNNNNNNNNNNNNNNNNNNNNNNNNNNNNNNNNNNNNNNNNNNNNNNNNNNNNNNNNNNNNNNNNNNNNNNNNNNNNNNNNNNNNNNNNNNNNNNNNNNNNNNNNNNNNNNNNNNNNNNNNNNNNNNNNNNNNNNNNNNNNNNNNNNNNNNNNNNNNNNNNNNNNNNNNNNNNNNNNNNNNNNNNNNNNNNNNNNNNNNNNNNNNNNNNNNNNNNNNNNNNNNNNNNNNNNNNNNNNNNNNNNNNNNNNNNNNNNNNNNNNNNNNNNNNNNNNNNNNNNNNNNNNNNNNNNNNNNNNNNNNNNNNNNNNNNNNNNNNNNNNNNNNNNNNNNNNNNNNNNNNNNNNNNNNNNNNNNNNNNNNNNNNNNNNNNNNNNNNNNNNNNNNNNNNNNNNNNNNNNNNNNNNNNNNNNNNNNNNNNNNNNNNNNNNNNNNNNNNNNNNNNNNNNNNNNNNNNNNNNNNNNNNNNNNNNNNNNNNNNNNNNNNNNNNNNNNNNNNNNNNNNNNNNNNNNNNNNNNNNNNNNNNNNNNNNNNNNNNNNNNNNNNNNNNNNNNNNNNNNNNNNNNNNNNNNNNNNNNNNNNNNNNNNNNNNNNNNNNNNNNNNNNNNNNNNNNNNNNNNNNNNNNNNNNNNNNNNNNNNNNNNNNNNNNNNNNNNNNNNNNNNNNNNNNNNNNNNNNNNNNNNNNNNNNNNNNNNNNNNNNNNNNNNNNNNNNNNNNNNNNNNNNNNNNNNNNNNNNNNNNNNNNNNNNNNNNNNNNNNNNNNNNNNNNNNNNNNNNNNNNNNNNNNNNNNNNNNNNNNNNNNNNNNNNNNNNNNNNNNNNNNNNNNNNNNNNNNNNNNNNNNNNNNNNNNNNNNNNNNNNNNNNNNNNNNNNNNNNNNNNNNNNNNNNNNNNNNNNNNNNNNNNNNNNNNNNNNNNNNNNNNNNNNNNNNNNNNNNNNNNNNNNNNNNNNNNNNNNNNNNNNNNNNNNNNNNNNNNNNNNNNNNNNNNNNNNNNNNNNNNNNNNNNNNNNNNNNNNNNNNNNNNNNNNNNNNNNNNNNNNNNNNNNNNNNNNNNNNNNNNNNNNNNNNNNNNNNNNNNNNNNNNNNNNNNNNNNNNNNNNNNNNNNNNNNNNNNNNNNNNNNNNNNNNNNNNNNNNNNNNNNNNNNNNNNNNNNNNNNNNNNNNNNNNNNNNNNNNNNNNNNNNNNNNNNNNNNNNNNNNNNNNNNNNNNNNNNNNNNNNNNNNNNNNNNNNNNNNNNNNNNNNNNNNNNNNNNNNNNNNNNNNNNNNNNNNNNNNNNNNNNNNNNNNNNNNNNNNNNNNNNNNNNNNNNNNNNNNNNNNNNNNNNNNNNNNNNNNNNNNNNNNNNNNNNNNNNNNNNNNNNNNNNNNNNNNNNNNNNNNNNNNNNNNNNNNNNNNNNNNNNNNNNNNNNNNNNNNNNNNNNNNNNNNNNNNNNNNNNNNNNNNNNNNNNNNNNNNNNNNNNNNNNNNNNNNNNNNNNNNNNNNNNNNNNNNNNNNNNNNNNNNNNNNNNNNNNNNNNNNNNNNNNNNNNNNNNNNNNNNNNNNNNNNNNNNNNNNNNNNNNNNNNNNNNNNNNNNNNNNNNNNNNNNNNNNNNNNNNNNNNNNNNNNNNNNNNNNNNNNNNNNNNNNNNNNNNNNNNNNNNNNNNNNNNNNNNNNNNNNNNNNNNNNNNNNNNNNNNNNNNNNNNNNNNNNNNNNNNNNNNNNNNNNNNNNNNNNNNNNNNNNNNNNNNNNNNNNNNNNNNNNNNNNNNNNNNNNNNNNNNNNNNNNNNNNNNNNNNNNNNNNNNNNNNNNNNNNNNNNNNNNNNNNNNNNNNNNNNNNNNNNNNNNNNNNNNNNNNNNNNNNNNNNNNNNNNNNNNNNNNNNNNNNNNNNNNNNNNNNNNNNNNNNNNNNNNNNNNNNNNNNNNNNNNNNNNNNNNNNNNNNNNNNNNNNNNNNNNNNNNNNNNNNNNNNNNNNNNNNNNNNNNNNNNNNNNNNNNNNNNNNNNNNNNNNNNNNNNNNNNNNNNNNNNNNNNNNNNNNNNNNNNNNNNNNNNNNNNNNNNNNNNNNNNNNNNNNNNNNNNNNNNNNNNNNNNNNNNNNNNNNNNNNNNNNNNNNNNNNNNNNNNNNNNNNNNNNNNNNNNNNNNNNNNNNNNNNNNNNNNNNNNNNNNNNNNNNNNNNNNNNNNNNNNNNNNNNNNNNNNNNNNNNNNNNNNNNNNNNNNNNNNNNNNNNNNNNNNNNNNNNNNNNNNNNNNNNNNNNNNNNNNNNNNNNNNNNNNNNNNNNNNNNNNNNNNNNNNNNNNNNNNNNNNNNNNNNNNNNNNNNNNNNNNNNNNNNNNNNNNNNNNNNNNNNNNNNNNNNNNNNNNNNNNNNNNNNNNNNNNNNNNNNNNNNNNNNNNNNNNNNNNNNNNNNNNNNNNNNNNNNNNNNNNNNNNNNNNNNNNNNNNNNNNNNNNNNNNNNNNNNNNNNNNNNNNNNNNNNNNNNNNNNNNNNNNNNNNNNNNNNNNNNNNNNNNNNNNNNNNNNNNNNNNNNNNNNNNNNNNNNNNNNNNNNNNNNNNNNNNNNNNNNNNNNNNNNNNNNNNNNNNNNNNNNNNNNNNNNNNNNNNNNNNNNNNNNNNNNNNNNNNNNNNNNNNNNNNNNNNNNNNNNNNNNNNNNNNNNNNNNNNNNNNNNNNNNNNNNNNNNNNNNNNNNNNNNNNNNNNNNNNNNNNNNNNNNNNNNNNNNNNNNNNNNNNNNNNNNNNNNNNNNNNNNNNNNNNNNNNNNNNNNNNNNNNNNNNNNNNNNNNNNNNNNNNNNNNNNNNNNNNNNNNNNNNNNNNNNNNNNNNNNNNNNNNNNNNNNNNNNNNNNNNNNNNNNNNNNNNNNNNNNNNNNNNNNNNNNNNNNNNNNNNNNNNNNNNNNNNNNNNNNNNNNNNNNNNNNNNNNNNNNNNNNNNNNNNNNNNNNNNNNNNNNNNNNNNNNNNNNNNNNNNNNNNNNNNNNNNNNNNNNNNNNNNNNNNNNNNNNNNNNNNNNNNNNNNNNNNNNNNNNNNNNNNNNNNNNNNNNNNNNNNNNNNNNNNNNNNNNNNNNNNNNNNNNNNNNNNNNNNNNNNNNNNNNNNNNNNNNNNNNNNNNNNNNNNNNNNNNNNNNNNNNNNNNNNNNNNNNNNNNNNNNNNNNNNNNNNNNNNNNNNNNNNNNNNNNNNNNNNNNNNNNNNNNNNNNNNNNNNNNNNNNNNNNNNNNNNNNNNNNNNNNNNNNNNNNNNNNNNNNNNNNNNNNNNNNNNNNNNNNNNNNNNNNNNNNNNNNNNNNNNNNNNNNNNNNNNNNNNNNNNNNNNNNNNNNNNNNNNNNNNNNNNNNNNNNNNNNNNNNNNNNNNNNNNNNNNNNNNNNNNNNNNNNNNNNNNNNNNNNNNNNNNNNNNNNNNNNNNNNNNNNNNNNNNNNNNNNNNNNNNNNNNNNNNNNNNNNNNNNNNNNNNNNNNNNNNNNNNNNNNNNNNNNNNNNNNNNNNNNNNNNNNNNNNNNNNNNNNNNNNNNNNNNNNNNNNNNNNNNNNNNNNNNNNNNNNNNNNNNNNNNNNNNNNNNNNNNNNNNNNNNNNNNNNNNNNNNNNNNNNNNNNNNNNNNNNNNNNNNNNNNNNNNNNNNNNNNNNNNNNNNNNNNNNNNNNNNNNNNNNNNNNNNNNNNNNNNNNNNNNNNNNNNNNNNNNNNNNNNNNNNNNNNNNNNNNNNNNNNNNNNNNNNNNNNNNNNNNNNNNNNNNNNNNNNNNNNNNNNNNNNNNNNNNNNNNNNNNNNNNNNNNNNNNNNNNNNNNNNNNNNNNNNNNNNNNNNNNNNNNNNNNNNNNNNNNNNNNNNNNNNNNNNNNNNNNNNNNNNNNNNNNNNNNNNNNNNNNNNNNNNNNNNNNNNNNNNNNNNNNNNNNNNNNNNNNNNNNNNNNNNNNNNNNNNNNNNNNNNNNNNNNNNNNNNNNNNNNNNNNNNNNNNNNNNNNNNNNNNNNNNNNNNNNNNNNNNNNNNNNNNNNNNNNNNNNNNNNNNNNNNNNNNNNNNNNNNNNNNNNNNNNNNNNNNNNNNNNNNNNNNNNNNNNNNNNNNNNNNNNNNNNNNNNNNNNNNNNNNNNNNNNNNNNNNNNNNNNNNNNNNNNNNNNNNNNNNNNNNNNNNNNNNNNNNNNNNNNNNNNNNNNNNNNNNNNNNNNNNNNNNNNNNNNNNNNNNNNNNNNNNNNNNNNNNNNNNNNNNNNNNNNNNNNNNNNNNNNNNNNNNNNNNNNNNNNNNNNNNNNNNNNNNNNNNNNNNNNNNNNNNNNNNNNNNNNNNNNNNNNNNNNNNNNNNNNNNNNNNNNNNNNNNNNNNNNNNNNNNNNNNNNNNNNNNNNNNNNNNNNNNNNNNNNNNNNNNNNNNNNNNNNNNNNNNNNNNNNNNNNNNNNNNNNNNNNNNNNNNNNNNNNNNNNNNNNNNNNNNNNNNNNNNNNNNNNNNNNNNNNNNNNNNNNNNNNNNNNNNNNNNNNNNNNNNNNNNNNNNNNNNNNNNNNNNNNNNNNNNNNNNNNNNNNNNNNNNNNNNNNNNNNNNNNNNNNNNNNNNNNNNNNNNNNNNNNNNNNNNNNNNNNNNNNNNNNNNNNNNNNNNNNNNNNNNNNNNNNNNNNNNNNNNNNNNNNNNNNNNNNNNNNNNNNNNNNNNNNNNNNNNNNNNNNNNNNNNNNNNNNNNNNNNNNNNNNNNNNNNNNNNNNNNNNNNNNNNNNNNNNNNNNNNNNNNNNNNNNNNNNNNNNNNNNNNNNNNNNNNNNNNNNNNNNNNNNNNNNNNNNNNNNNNNNNNNNNNNNNNNNNNNNNNNNNNNNNNNNNNNNNNNNNNNNNNNNNNNNNNNNNNNNNNNNNNNNNNNNNNNNNNNNNNNNNNNNNNNNNNNNNNNNNNNNNNNNNNNNNNNNNNNNNNNNNNNNNNNNNNNNNNNNNNNNNNNNNNNNNNNNNNNNNNNNNNNNNNNNNNNNNNNNNNNNNNNNNNNNNNNNNNNNNNNNNNNNNNNNNNNNNNNNNNNNNNNNNNNNNNNNNNNNNNNNNNNNNNNNNNNNNNNNNNNNNNNNNNNNNNNNNNNNNNNNNNNNNNNNNNNNNNNNNNNNNNNNNNNNNNNNNNNNNNNNNNNNNNNNNNNNNNNNNNNNNNNNNNNNNNNNNNNNNNNNNNNNNNNNNNNNNNNNNNNNNNNNNNNNNNNNNNNNNNNNNNNNNNNNNNNNNNNNNNNNNNNNNNNNNNNNNNNNNNNNNNNNNNNNNNNNNNNNNNNNNNNNNNNNNNNNNNNNNNNNNNNNNNNNNNNNNNNNNNNNNNNNNNNNNNNNNNNNNNNNNNNNNNNNNNNNNNNNNNNNNNNNNNNNNNNNNNNNNNNNNNNNNNNNNNNNNNNNNNNNNNNNNNNNNNNNNNNNNNNNNNNNNNNNNNNNNNNNNNNNNNNNNNNNNNNNNNNNNNNNNNNNNNNNNNNNNNNNNNNNNNNNNNNNNNNNNNNNNNNNNNNNNNNNNNNNNNNNNNNNNNNNNNNNNNNNNNNNNNNNNNNNNNNNNNNNNNNNNNNNNNNNNNNNNNNNNNNNNNNNNNNNNNNNNNNNNNNNNNNNNNNNNNNNNNNNNNNN
rnacentral:lncRNA from 1 species